GGAAGAACGCCACUCAAUGGAUUUCCUGAAACCUCUAUUUUUCUCAAAUGCCUGCAAUUCGACAAAGAAGAAAGAAAGCUCCACUCAUGAUCAGUAGCAGAUCCUGUGAUGAAAUUAUUGUUUACGAUUCGGAACCGUUCAAGGUGUCUUAAGUUGCCAAGUGUUUUAGGGACUGGACCAGAGAAUAAGUUAUGUGACAACACUAGUUUCUUAAGCAUGGAAGCAUUUGAGAUAGAGUUGGGAAUGUUUCCGCUAAGUUUGUUUCCCCACAAAAAAAGAAUCUCAAGCUUUGGAGCACUGGUGAUGGGUGGUAAAUUACCUGUAAAAUAGCAUCUUUUAGUAUACAUAUUCAUUGAAUACCAAAUUCACAAAAUAUAUAAUACAUUAAAAUAAAAACUGUAAAACUUUAAAUCAAUUAAGAAUAAAAUUUUGGUAUGGAAAAAUGUGAUGAAAUCAAUUAGAAAGUUGAGACAUAAUAAGAAGUUUUGAGUAGUAAUUAAUCCUUGUGAUUUCUAUAGACAAAACAUAUAAAACACUAAUAAUUUUUUAAAAUAUUGUAAAACUUGAAAUAAAAUAAAAAUAAAAGUUUGGCAUGAGAAUGUGGCAUCUAAUCAAUCUUAAAAAUGAGACUGACACUGAAUAAUAAUUAGUUAUGAUUUGGGAAACAAAAAUGUUAAAGUCAUUGUUUUUAAUACUGGUAUGAUUUUGACCUAUUAGGUUAAUUAUUUAUUUUUAUUAAAUUAUAGUGUAAAAUUUAAAGAUUAUUAUUUGCUCAAAAUUUUUGUGUUUUUCGUAUAUUUGAAAGUUAAUCUUUAUAUUUUUUAUUUUUUGUGAUUUAGUCUCUCUACUUUUUGAAUUAAAAAUUUUAGGUUCAUUUAUUAACACUGGUAAAAAAGUUUUUGUGUUAGUAUGGCAUUUUGAAAAAUAAAAUAAACUUGAUAUCUAUGUUUUUAAUUAUUCCAAAUAUUGUUUUACUAUUUCAAGAUAAAUUAUUUGUGUCUAGACCAAUAUCUUAAGAACUAUUGUUGCAUGUUUAAUUAUUCUAAAGAAUUGUUGAUUGAGUCUUAGUUGAAGUGCACUAUUCUCCUAUUUAUGAAUUGGGGAGUUGGUAAAGUAUUAAAUUUUGAUAUAUUUUAAAAUAUUAAAAAUUUAUUAAAAUAUUUUUUUAUAGAAAUUGAUUGUACCACAAUAUACAAUUUUAAUAUCAAAUUUUUAAUUUUUUUUAAAAUAUUAGCGAAUAUAUACUUUCUUUCAAGUUACACAAUUUUUACUAGUUUUUAAAUUUUUUAAAAAAAUUUUAUCGUCUUUUAUAAUUUCUAAUAUUUUUUUAUAAUUUUUUACAAUAUUUACAAUUUCUAACCAUUUUUAAUAAUUUUAUUAUUUAUUACAAAUUUAAAAAUUAACAAAUUUUUAUUUUUUAAAACAAUUAUAUAUUUAUAAUGUAGUUAUUUUUUUUAUAAUUUUAUUUGAAAUUUUAAAGAUUUUUUUGGUUUUUUUAGAUGAUGAUGCCAUCAUGAUGUCAUCAUAUGUCACAUGGCAAUUUAUAAUUAGUUGAAUAUCUCAAUCUAUUUUUUUAACGUCCAAUGGACUAAAACAAGAACACCUGAUAAUGUUAGAGACUACACUAGGAAUGUUUGAUAAUAUUAGGUACUAAAGUGGGCAAAAAAAAUUAAGGACUAUAUUAAAAAUAUAUCUAUAAUAUAUAUAAAUGCAUGGAUUUUGAGAAACUUUUGAAAUGAUAAUUAUAUAGUCUUUGUUUUUUUUUCUAUAUUAUUGAAUUUUUUAUUUUAAAUAUUUUUUUAUUACUUUUAAGAUUUAUCAUAUGCAUGGAUAAGAAUUUUGGUUUUACUAAAAUAUUUGGUUAAAUAAAUUCACUUCAUAAGAAAAUUUAGGAUCCUUAUAAAUAACAAUUUUGAUUCUAUUAAAAAUAUUAUUUUAAAAAAUAUAUAAUAAAAAUUUAAAAUUUAUAUUGAAUUACUUUAUACUUAAAUUAUUAUUAGAAACUUUAUCAUACACAUACAUAUAUGAGAAGCACGUAUUUAGAACAUAAAUUUGUGUUUUAAAAUAACUUAUGAUAAAUAAUGAAAUGUAUAAUUUGAAACUAUUUAAUAAUAACACAUGGCAUAUCUACCAUAUUAAAAUAAAAAUAGAUUAAAUUGUAGGUAAAACAUAAUUUAAACAUAUGAAUACAUCAAAUUAAUAAUACUAAAUGAAUACAGUUAUUUAUGAUGAUGUUGUUGCCAAUUCUUAACUUGGUGUCGAGUUAAUUUGUGACAUCAUAAAUUUAAGUGGUAAAUUUAAGGUUUUAUGUAUUGAUGUGGAUUCAAAUAUCACCAUAAUUUUUUUUUUAAAAAUAAAAAACUAAAGUACCCUCAAACAAUAUAACUUAUAUUAAAUAUGAAAGGGUAUUUUUAUAAUUUCUUUAACCGAGUUGAUGCCCGGUUGACUCAUGACACCAACUCAAUCAAAAGCUUCAAUAAUAAUAUAGAUAUUCACGUUAAAAAAACCAAAAAAAGUACUUUAGUUCCAAAUAAUUAUAUAAUAAGUAAAUUUAUAAUUGAUGAAUAAAUUUAUAAAUAAUAUAUUUAUAUGAUCUAAUAUAUUAUAUAUAUUAAUUAUAUAUCAUCUACAAACUUUGAAGAUCAAUUUAUUAAGUAUCAAGAAAAGAAAAAAUGAAAUUGAAUUAACACUAAAUCGAUUUUUAGAUUUUGUCCAGAUGAUUUAAUGAUGAUAAAAAAAUUAUUAGCACUAUUUUUGAAUUAACAAAAAAUUAGUGAUAUAUUUUAAUUAUAUUUAUUAUUUAUUAGUUUUAAUAAUGUUUUUUUAAUUAUAUGAAGUAAAAUUUUAUCGUAUACUAAAUAUGGUACAUAUACUUUAAUUAUAACUUGAAAAAUUAUUAUAUAAAUUAAUAUAUUUUAAUUAUAUUCAACCAUUUGAAUAACAAAAUUAAAAAAAAAACUAAUUAGAAUUAUUUACUUUUUAAAGUUUAAUGGAAAUUAAAAAAUUAAAAAUAAAUCAAUUCAUAUAAAUCUUAUUGUUUAUUAUCAGAUUAAUAUGAUAAAAGUAUAUGACAUAAAUAGAAGAAAUAAAUUCAACACAAUGUUUUGAUGAAAUUUCAAAAUAAAUGUCAAGUAUUCUUCUUUUAGAAAUACGUAAAAAGAAGCGAAUUUUCAAAAUUUCUCCUAAAUUUUCUUCAGAUUACUCUACAUAAUCCAUUAAAAAAACUUAAAAAAUAUAUUUUAUUAAUUACUAUAUAUUCUUUUAUUUUCAGAAUAAUAAAUUGUUUAAAAUAUGCUAUUAGUCCCUGUAAUUUAAAAGUUAAAAAAAAAAUCCAAUCCUCCUAUUUUUUUAAUUUAAAAAUUCUAGUCCAAUCAUUUUUAAUUCCAUUAAAAAAUUUCAACUUAAUAGAUUUUUUAUUAUCAAUCAUAUGCAACAUUAUAUGAAGGCAGUCUACUCAGUAUAUAUCCAAGUUUACAGAUUUUAAUAGAAAAUACUUACAAUCCUAAUGAUAGGACUAAGUUUUUUAAACUAGAAAAGUAAAAAAAACUUAAAUUUUAACUUUUUUAAGUACAAGGAUUAAAUUUUAAAUGUUGUCAAAGUACAAGCACUAACAAAAUAUUGUGAUCUAAUAAAUGUAAAAAGCAUUUUAAACAAAAGAAGGUUGAAAUAAUCUAUUUGUCCUUAUACUUUGAUAAAAUUUGAGAUACCAUAAAAUUUGUAUCUUUUUUCGAAUUAUUUAAUGCCAUUUCAACAUUUUCAUUCAGAAAAAAAAAACAUAUCAUUUGCAUUUGAUCUUUUUCAAGAUGAAAAUAUUGAAAUGAUGUUAAAUUAUUGGAAAGAGAUACAAGUUUCAUGCUAUCCCAAAUUCAUUUAAUCUUAUCUCUCUAAGAAAGCUGAUGUAAGAUAUUAAUGACAUCAUUUGAACAAAGUUUUAGGUCAAAUUAUUCAUCUAGUCCUUGUAAUUAUUCUUUAAGGUGAAUUUCAUUAUUAUUCUUUUAUUUUCUUUGGCUUAAAUACACAUUUACCCCUAAUUUUAUCACAUUCUCCUUAAUUGGUAUUUAUAGUUUAGAAAAUUUUACAAAUAUAUUAUUUUUUAAGAAAUUAUAAGAAGAUUACAAAAAUUCCAAAAUAAUAUAAAAACGCUAAGAAAAACCUAGAAAUUCAAAAAAAAAAAUCAUGUUUUUACAAAUUGGGGUAUGCAAUCAAUUUUAAGAUGGUUUUUGGAGUUACAUCUCACUUUAGCAUUGACUUACUUUUCUACAGUUAGUCUUCUCCAACAAGUUAAAUAUUUCAAUUUUAACAACAUUGACAGGUCUUUGGGGUAGGGUCGAGCAAAACUCAAUAGAAAUAGAUGAUAUAGGUUGAGUUGGCUCGGCCAAGUCGAGUCGACUUCUUCAAAUUUGUUAAAUUAGUAAAUUUUAGGGUGCAGUUAGAAUUUUUUGUUUUGAGAUGCUAAGAUUAAAAAAAUUUGAGUUUUGAAAACUUUGACUCCUUUUUGCUUUGAGAGUUGAUUUGAAGAGAAAAGAGCUUGAAGGUGCUUUUGUAGAAAUAGGACAAAUUUUAAAAUAAGGAGUAAAUUGGAAAAAAAAAUUUGGGUUGGGCUAAUUUGAAAAUUUGACACUUUUGUGGGAUAAAAAUAGAAAAAUAUUUUGGUUGAAUACACAUAAUGAGUUACGAACUUGAGACUUAUAGGUAGACUAAGGCCUUACCACUUAACCAACAAGCUCAUUAUUAUUAUCUUUUAACACAAAUAAAUUUUAAGGCAUACUAAGGGCUUGUUUAGCAUUGCUGUGAAGAAGCAGUUUUGGCUUAAAAAACACUUUUGAGAGAAAAGUGGUUCUAAGCUAGUAACUUUUGGCUAAGAUUUUGGCUUUUCAAAAGCACUUUUGGCCAAAUGGAGAAGCUAAAAUUAUUAGCUUUUCUUACCCAAAAGCACUUUUGAGUACUUAAUUACUAAUUCAUCCCUCGAAAAACACAUUUUAAAAUAAAAUAAUACAAAUAUGUUAAUAUUUAAUUACAAAUAUUUAAUGGGUAUAUUUAAAUAUUUAAAAUAUAAUUUAUAUAUUCUAAUUAAAUUUUAUAAAUAAUUAAUAUUUGUUGCUUAAAAAUAUUUAAAAUUUAUAUUUUAUAUAUUAAAAUAUUAAAAAAUAUAUAAUAAAUUAUUUUUUAUAUUCUUACUAAAAUAUCAUAAUAUUAAAUAAUUUUAAUAUUAUUUAAAUGCAUAUUUGUUGCUUUAUAAUAUCAUGUCUAAUAUUGACGUUUUAUUUCUUAAAAGCACUUUUUAACAUUAAUAUUAAACACUUAAAUCUUAAACUAAACUUCUCAAAGAUAGUUUUCUACAACACUUUUUAAAAGCAGUUUCCAAAAUCAAUGCUCAACUAUUUCAAACUCUCUUACCUUAUACUUUAAAAGAGAAAAAAAAAUUUAAAUUUUAUCCCUAUUUCUUUUAACCCAAUUUUUAGGAUGUCAAACAUUUAUAAAUAAAAUAAAAAAAGGAAAAGAAAAAAAAAAGCAUAUACAUAUUGAUGGGUUUUUUUUAUUAUUAGACUUUAUUUUUAUCUCAGGUAAAAGUUUUUAUGGAGAGGAUCGUGUAAAAUUAUGAUUUGAAUCAUUUUAAACAUUUCAUCAUUGCAAAAAUGAAAUAAUAGGAAAGAAUGACUAUACAAAUUUGCAUUUGUGUUCUUUCUUUCAAUAUUUGCUUUCAAAACUGUGGGAAAAUUUUAAAUUUGAUGAAAUUUUAAAAUUGCACUUCAGACGUAAAAUAUAAAUUUUAUGAAUUUGGACUACCCAUUUUAUUUAUAAUUUUCUGUGUUUUUGUUCUUUGCUGACUUUUUUAAUGUCAUUUUCUAUCAUGAAAGAAAAUUAAAGAUUCACUAUUUAUUUCUCAACCACUAUGAAAUUACUUGACUAUGGGGGUAGAAUUUUCUCACCAAUUUUCUAACAUGAGAUUUUUUGAAUGAGACAAAUAUUCAAUUUUAACACAUUUCCCAUAAUUAGUUACCCCUAUUUGUGAGUGAUUUGGGGAUAAAAGCUUAAACAUUUCUGGAUCACAUUGCAUUUAAGACGGGUGUUUGGAGUUAUAUGAUAUUUUAACAUAUAAAGAGUCCUUGCUUUACUUUGGGUGGAUUCUUCCAAUUAGCGUGGUCGUUGGUAUUACUCUCCAACAAUUAUUGUACCGUCAUCGUUAUUCCUACUCCACCUAGCAGAGAAGUUUCAUAAGUGUUCUAUUUCAAGGGAUUAAUAUUAGCUCUCAUUUUUUUAAAUUCUGAAAUUUUUUUAGCAACUGCGUAAUUAACAAUGUAUCAUUUUUGAGUGCUAUAGAGGUGUUUUAAUCUUCCCUAUAUGUAAUUGAUUCCUAAACCUUUUUUUUUUAGAAUUCAACGCAUACCUCAAAUUUGUCUUUUUAAAAGAUUUUUAAAAUCUUUUUAUAAAAGAUGAUCACACUUAACAAAAAUGAUCAUGGACGACUUUUCUUUAAUAAAAUAUUAUGUUUUUGCAAAGACCAAAAUUUUCAUAUUUUUCAAGAAUUCCUCAAUCUAAUUUUCUUUUUGAAAUUUUAUUUUCAAGAGGAAAAUGAUCCCUACAAUUAAUAUUUAUUUUCCUUAUUUUUAAUUUCUUUUUAAGGGAGAUGAAUAGUGGAAUGAUAAUUUUUAGUUAAGGUAAAGUAUAUUUAAUUAUCCACAACCUUCAACUAUUAAUUUUUUCGAUUUAAUUACACAAUUUUUUGAAAUUAACACUCUUUUAUUAGUUGUCGCUAGUUGAGGGACCAAAAGUUGAUUUGGACUUUUUUAUUGACCUAAUAACAAAUUUAGAUAUUCAAAGUUUACUUAUUCUAUCAAUUUAAUGCUAAAUUUAAAAAAUUCAACAAAUGCUAUCAAAAAACAAUUGGACCUUGAGUACACAGGCUGUGAGAUUUUCACAUGGCUGUGUCUACGCUGCACUCUAUUUUAUCAAAUUCGGAUAGAGAGUUACAUAGGCAGUUCACACGGGCGUGUGCCUCCUUCACAUGGGGCGUGUAGACCUCCACACAGCUUAGGAACUUCCACAUGGCUGGGGCAUGGUCAUGUGGCCUUGUUUUGUAGAUUUUUGUUCUGUGUCAGAUUUUGACUCGUUUUGUGCCUCUGCGAUUUUUGACUCUAGUUAAGACUUGGUAAGAAUGUUUAGGACUCUGAUUAGUUCGAAUUUGUGCAUUUGUUCGUAACUAAUGUGUUAAUUUAUUAGUUUAAAAAUUUCACAUUAAACUAAUAAUAUUAGCAAUUAACUUUCAACAAAUCUGUAAAACCCCAAAUCCAGCCUAGACACUAUGGUCAAAUCUAAAAGGUUACAUCAGUACGUAGAAAAUUUUGUUCUUCUAAAUGUGUUUUGUAACGAAAUUGAAAACCAAAAUUUAUGUAAGUUAGUCAUGAUUCCUCAAUAGAAAAAUCUGUAAAUUAUCAAAACAUAAAUGUGAACAUAUUAAUUAUUAACUUAAAAAGAACCCAGCCUUAUACAAUCAAAAUGCUAAAAUCAUUUGCCUUGUGAAACUUGUAAUUUCACUAAAAUUUUUUCAGCAAAAACAUUUUAUUUAGCCUAUUGAGCAUAUUUUUAAAUUUACGUUAUUAACUUUCGUAAAAUCUCAAUUCGUAUUUUUGUGGCGGAAAAUUUUAUAAUUUUGAAAACCCAGCAUUGAUUGUUGGUUAACACAAAUCAUGCAGAAAAAAAAAACUUUAACUAAGCCAAAGAAAUCCAAAGCCAAAUUAAAUCGGAGAAAUUCAACCAAAAGCCAAAAGUCCAGUAAAUCAAUUUACUAACCAGAGCAAACAUUUAAUGAAAGAAUCAAUCCGAGCGCCCGCAAAUUUUAACUUACCGAUUACCUGAAACAUCAUAAAUAAAACAAAGGGGAGAGCUAUAAAGCUCAGUGCAUAACUAUAACUCAAGCUGAGAUCACACACAAUACAAUAUACAAAUCAUAAAAUCAUAGAAAAAUUCAUAAUAAUCAGUCAAAUAGAAUUGAGUAUACAUGAUUAUGCCAAUACGGUAUUUUUCAGAAAAUCUUAAUGCAGAUUUUUCAGAAAACGUCCUAGCCAAAUCCUGUACACACUUGAAUAGAGUUCUCUAGAACUUAUCCAUAAAAAAAAAACACACCAAUUAAGUCAUCCCAGGUUGCCCAAGAACGAUGACUCGCCACCAUGGGAUGCCCGACAACGAUGGCUUAUCAAUAUGCAAUUAAACUGUUAGAUCAGAUAUUUGUGUUCAAGCCAUUGAAUUGCAACUCAGCUACCGAAACAAAAAUAUGUGGUGAAGCCACUAUAUUGCAUCCAAGCUACCAAAUAAAAAUAUGUGGAUAAACCAUCAGAUAGUGCAGACCAUUAAACUACCAAAACUUCUUCCCUUCCAUAUUAUCCCAAUCCCAUGCAAUGUGACAUGGCAUGCAUUUACAUAAUCAAAACGACAAGCAUGUAAGGCAUGUAGUCGUACCGUAAUAGAAUUUAGAAAGCAUGGCAUUCCACACUUUUACAGAACAGAUGUAUCACAAAUUCAACAUAAGCAAGUUGGUAUGCUAUAAAGUCACAUGCAUGAUCACAUAGCAGAAUCAGAAACAUAAAAAUAACGUAACCAAACCUCAUAUAAUCAUAUACAAACAUAACAAUACAAAUCAUGCUACCAGAUUCAUUAGAAAACAGUUCAUGCACACGAAUUUCACAUACCUUAUUCAUAUCACCUACAAUAUCAAAUUAUCAGAUAUUACAUUUUCAAAGUCAAUUUUACACAGUACGAACCCUACAAAGUGGCUAAACAUGAUUCAUGAAUCAAAAUGGGCCUAAACGAAAUUUUUAGAAAAUGGGCCAACAGUCCAAUUUUUUAUUUUCAACAGUUCAUUAUUUUUUGAGUUUUUUGAUAUACACCUUACUAUUUUUCGAAGCAAAAUCAUGGCAAGAAUUCCAAAACCUAAAAUCCAUAUUCAACCCACUCAAAUUAGCAAUGAAACCCAAAACUAAAUCAUUAGACAACCAAAAUAGCUACCAAUAAACCUUAUCAAACCAGGAAUCAACCUUUUGGAAUCUGACUACUAACCCAGAAUAGUAGCAGCAGUACUAAAAAUCUCUCAAUUCACCAGAAGACUAUUUGUUACAGAAACGUCACCUAAACCAAAGAUUUCAGAGUAAUCAAAAUCGCGUCACACAAAGAAGGAAACAAAUUAACCCUAAAAUCGUGAAACUCAACAAAGUACGAAUCUUUUCACAUAUUCCUUACCACCAACUGUCAAGAUUGCUCAAAAACCACUAAUGACACCGACCUUCGCAAGGUUAAACUGAAACUAAAAGGUAACUAAUGAUGGAACAAAGGUUGUUAUAAAAAAAAUAUUAACAAAGACUUAUUGGAGCAAAAAUGGCAAAAAAUCAAGAAUAAGGAGAUUGGGAAAAAAAAAACAAUGAAUCGACAAAGAGGAGUGGGAAAGUGAUGACAGUUUGUGGAGAGAUUUUGGGUAACUAAAAAGUAACUCACCACUCAACCCAUUAAAUUUGGUUACCCUCUAAACAGAUUCCCUUAGAGUUUAAAUUCAACCCAAAUACCACUACAUGUGCGGCAUAGUGCAAGGAAAUAAAAAUAUUUCUACUUUGCACACACGGGGUCUUGAACACGAAAUCUUAGGGUAAUUUGAUGCCUUACCACUAAAUUAGUAGGCUUAUCCUUGAAAUUAAUUGAACGAAAAUAUUAUUUAUGUCAGAUGAUCAGGGAUAGAGGUUAAGACCAAAGAUGACAAAAAUUCAAAGGAAAGAUUUAAACCUAGAACCUCACACACACAAGCAUAACACCUAUCCAUUGAACCAGAUUUACUCCAUUGACAUAAUUUUCACAAUAUUAACUAAAAAUUCAGAAUAUGGUCACUCUUGGUUUCACUUACCCAAUUUCUUCUAACCCGAUUUUUGUGAUGUGAUAACUCUUCCCUCCUUAAAAGAAUUUCAUCCUCGAAAUUCCUGCUGCGGCACCAUACACUUAACCACAAAAUCUAAAAUUCCCUAGUCCAAAUCGACCACCAGGCUAUCAUUGUACAACUCUAAUCUCCAUUCAAGUUCGAUCUAGAUAAUAUUUUAGAGGAAUUUCCUAUUCACUACCUCGGAUUAUCUCAGUAAGCUUUCUAAUGAUCUUUUACCCCAGACUCUAAAAAACAUCAUUUACCACAAAAUACAGGUACAAACAAUUCUUAUCAAUGCACAGUACAUUUGGAACAUAUCAUAAAAGUACCUGUAUCAUUGUCAGAUGCAUCACGGCUCGCUUGAUACCUAGUUGCAUAUCCCUAUCUCAAAUUUUGUUUCUAUGCCGAAGCUUGUACCUGACUAAAAUAGUGUCGUGAGCAAUCCUAAACUCGAUGCUCAACGGACCCACAUCUGAAACACGCUCCCAUUUUCCUCCAACAAUCGUCUGAAUGGUGCCUAUCAUAGUAAGUACAAAUCAGAACCUCAACUGCAUUCACAAUUGCCCUACCCCGCUGAAGCCUGUCUAUUUUAGCCUGUUUCCUUGGUCAUGGAUUCAAGUCAAUAGAACCAUCACUCAUCUUAUUUCGCACUUUAUUCAUUACUUAUUCUUUCCCUCCGAGCAAUUACUCUCUACGGCUAACUUGACUUGAUACGCUUGAGGUCACUCAAUCACAGACUCUUGUCCCAUAUAUCCAAAUUGGGUUCCAUUGACCCUUUGCAAAUCUCUAAACACCUCUUGGAACACUGAAACAUCCCCUACUUCUAAACUGCCCUCAGAUUUGGGCAUCAUAGCAAACUUAUUUAUUUCAAAUUGGGCUUACUGCCCCAAGAAGAGAACUCAGCUCGAGUCACCCGACUAUGUCCACCACGCCCUCGCACAUCAUGAACUCGAGUACUCAUUAUACUAAUCUCCAGUUUGAGAAAUUUUAUGAAUUAGCUUAGGUUUAUUAAAAAUCAUAAGUCUAGAGUUUUAUCAAAGUUUCUUACAUAAUUACCAUAGUCUUUAGCUAGAGUAGAGUAAUCCUAGCACUUAAGUUUUGCUAGUUUGUCUAGUAUAGCUAAAGUAAAGAUACUUACAGGAUCAACGAUGUAGUUUUGGAUUCUCUUUUUAUAGAAUCAAAUAUAAAAAUAAUCAAAAUCUAAAUACCCAUUUUAGAAACCCAAGGUAUCAAAAUUAAUUAGAAAUUCAAUUUAUUUAAAGCAUAUUUAAUGGAGAUUUUCGAACCCAGAAAUCACAGCCCGAGUUUUGUUACCUUGCUCUAAUACUACUAAAUGUAACACCCCAAACUUGGCCUAGACGUUAUGGCCAAAUCUGAAAGGUUACAUCAGUACCAAAAAAAUUAUUUUUCUAAAGUGUGUUUUGUUACGAAAUUGAAGACCAAAGUUUAUGUAAGUCCGUCAUGAUUCCCCGAUAGGGAAAUUUGUAAAUUAUCAAAACGUAAAUGUGAACAUAUUAAUUAUUAACUUAAAAAAACCCUAGCCUUAUACAAUCAAGAUGCUAAAAUCAUUUGCUUUGUAAAACUUGUAAUUUUGACUAAAAUUUUUGCAACGAAAAUUCCAAACUAAUAUUUGUAAAUUGUAAUUUCGUCAAGUAAAAACGUUUUAUUUAGCUGAUUGGGCAUAUUUUAAAUUUAUGUUAUUAAAUUUUGUAAAAUCUCAAUUCGUAUUUUUGUGCUAAAAAAAUCUUAGCUCAUAUAAUUUUGAAAACGCAACAUUGAUUGUUGAGUAACACAAAACAUAUAGAACAAAAAACUUUAACUAAGCCAAAGAAACCCAAAGCAAAAUUAAAUUUGAGAAAUUAAACCAAAAUCCAAAAGUCCAGUAAAUCCAUUUAUUAACCAGAGUAAACCAUUUAAUUAGAGAAUCAAUUCGAGCUUCCGCACACAGCCCGAUUCUAACUUAUCGAUUAUCUGAAACAUCAGAAAUAAAACAAAUGGGUGAGCUAUAAAGCUUAGUGCAUAACUAAAACUAAAUCUGAGAUCACACACAAUACAUUAUACAAAUCAUAAAAUCAUAGGAAAUUUCAUAACAAUCAGUCAAACAGAAUUGAGCAUACAUGAUUAUUCCAAUGUGGUAGUUUUCAGAAAAUCAUAAUGCAAAUUUUUUCAGAAAGCAUCCUACCCAACACCACUAUACACCCGAAUAUAGUUCCCCAGAACUCGUCCAUCUAAAAACACACCAAUUAAGUCAUCUUGGGUUUCCCGAAAAUGAUGACCUACCACCUCGAGUUAGUCGGCACUAAUGACUUAUCAAUUUGCUGUUAAACUACGAAAUCAAAUAUUUGUGGUCAAGCGAUUGUAUUGCAGCUCAGCUGCCAGAUCAAAUGUUCCUAGUGUAGUCCCUAACAUUAUCAGGUGUUCUCGGCUCAGUCCUUUGGACAUUAAAAAAAAAAAGAUUUGGAUAUCCAAUUAAUCAUAAAUUGCCAGGUGGUAUAUGCUGAAGUCACGAUAACAUCAUCAUCAAGAAAAAAACCAAAAAAAUCUUUAAAAAAUAUCAUAAAAUUCAAAUAAACUUAUAUAAAAUUAACUACAUUAUAAAUAUAUAAUUGUUCAAAAAAAUAAAAAUUCUUAAUUUUUUUAAAGUUUGUAAAAAAUAAUAAAAUUAUUAGAAAUUGUUAAAUAUUGUAAAAACAUUAUAAAAAUUAUUAGAAUCAUAAAAGAUGGUAAAAAAUAAAAAGUUAAAAUACUAGUAAAAAUGGUCUAACUUAAAAUAAGGUAUACAUUUGGUAAUCAAAUUUAAAAUAUUGAAAAUUUGAUAUUAAAGUUGUAUAUAGUAAUACAACCAAUUUUUAUAAAAAAAUAUUUUAAAAUAUUUUAAUAAAAAUCGAAUAAAUUUUAUAUCAAUUUUUUAAUAUUUUAAUAUACAUCAAUUUUUAGUACUUUACCAACGUUACUGGCAGCAAGUUUUUUCGACUCGACUCCUUAUUUAUUGUCUUAAGUAGCUUCCUGCAUCCACCAUUUUGCACAUGGUUUUUUUCUAUUUUAUACCAAAGCUCUUUAGAAUAGUUAAACAUUUGACAAUAGUUCUUAAUAUAUUAGUUUAGAGACAAAUAAUUAUCUUGAGAUAGUAAAAAAAAUUGAAAUAAUUAAAUAUAUUAUUUACUUGAAAUAAUAUUAUUUUUCAUUAUUUAAAUUAUUUGAGAAAAAAACUUAUUCAAGUUUAUCACGUAAAAAGAUCUACCAAUUAUAAAUUCUGAUUAGUUGAACCAUAAGACAAUUGUUAUAGGUAGUAUCCUUCCAAGAGACAAUUAUCACAUGUUCAAACUCUAGUAAAUGUGAUUUAUAAAAUUUUAAAAAUAUUAAAAUAUCUAAUAUAUUUUUGAAAUUUAUGUAAAAUUUUAUAUUUUACAUAGUAUUUUUUUGUAUUUUUCUGAUUUUAGAUUUUUUCUAUUUUUAAAUAAUUUUGAUAAUUUUGUAAUUUUUCUUUUAUAAUUUUUGUCAUUUUUGAAUAUUUUUUAAGGGUUUUUGUUGAUGAUGUCAUUAUGAUAUCAUCAUACAACAUGUGGUAGUAUAUGAUUUGUUGAAUAUUCCAAUGAAUUUUUUAUUGUCCAAUGAACUAAACUGAAAAUUUUUAAUAACAUUAGGGGCUGAAGUGGAUAAAAAUAUUUUAAAAACGAAAUUUAAAAAAGUGAUAUACUUGCAUUAACAUUUUCUAAAAGAUGGAAGUGUUUUUGUUUUUUAAGGGAAUAGAAUUUUUUUGAGUGAAUAUAGAUUUGUGAGGGAGUAGUAAUAUUAUUAUUAGAGACAAGGCAUUUGAUUUUUAUAUAACUUUUUUAAUUAAGUCAAUAUCACUCAUUCGUAAAACCCAAAUAUUAAGCACAUUAUUAUACUAAUUUAGAUUAAUAGGAAUGCUCAAAUUUACAAUUAAGGAUUAUAAAUUUAUUUAAUUCCAAUCUUCUACCUUUUUUUAAGUUAUAAGAAUGGUUUUGCCUUAUAUUUUCUCCAAAUUGAGAUUUAAUUUAUAAUUUUAAUUUUGAUAUAAUUUAGUUUCUCAAUUUUUAUAAUACAAUUAAUUAGUUUAAAUACUUUAUUUUAAUCAAAAUGAUUAUAUUAAUUUUAAAGCAUUGUUUAUCACUAUUAAAAUUCUUUACUAACAAUUAUUUAAAAUUAAGGUCUAUUGCUUUUGUUUUAGCUUACAUAUAGAUGUUUACAAUAUAAAAUUCUUUGUAAUUUUCAAUACAUAUUGCUUAAAUAAAUAGAAAAAAGAGUUUUAAUAAUGCACAACCAAAUAAUUUUUAUUGAUGUUAUAUUAUUUUGAUUUCUUAGACUUGUAUAUAGGGGAAAUAAAGUACUAUUGCCAUUUAAUCACUUUAAAACAAUUUUAAUGGGCUCUAGUCAUGCAAGAUUACCAUUAAAUUGAAUACUCUUAUAGAAGGAUUUAAUAUUUUUGUUUCUCAAAUCACAACUAAUAAUUAUUCAUAAUUUCUUAUUCAGUGUCAUUUUUAAGAUUGAUUAGAUGACAAAUUUUCAUGCCAAAGUUUUAUUUUUAUUUGAUUUAAAGUUUUACAAUAUUUAAAAAAUUAUAUAUUUUGUAAAUUUGAUAUUCAAUCAAUUUUAGAUGAUUUUAACCCAAGGCCUGAGCUAAGAAUAGUUUUAGUUUGGAGUACAAUAUAUAUACUAAAAGAUGCAAUUUUUACAAAUAACUUACAAAUCUAUCAUUAAAUCAAAUACUGGUAUGAAAUGGUUUAAUUAUUUGAUCACAUUUUUCCAUGCCAAAAUUUUAUUUUUAUAUGAUUUAAAAUUUUACAAUUUUUAUAUUGUGAAUUUGGUGUGCAAUGAAUAUGUGUACUAAAAGAUGUAAUUUUACAGGUAAUUUAUCACCCAUCACCAGUGCUGCAAAGCUUGAGAUUCUUUUAUUGUGGGGAAAUAAACUUAGCGGAAACAUUCCCAACUCUAUCUCCAAUGCUUCCAUGCUUAAGAAACUAGACUUGGCACAUAACUUAUUCUCUGGCCCCAUCCCUAAAACGCUUGACAACUUAAGACACCUUGAAUGGUUCCAAAUUUCAAACAAUAAUUUGAUCAUAGGACCUGCUACUGAUCAUGAGUGGACCUUUCUUUCUUCUUUGGCAAAUUGCAAGCAUUUGAGAAUAAUAGAUGUUUCAAAAAAUCCAUUGUGUGACGUUCUUCCAACUUAUAUCGGAACCUUUCAAAAUCCCCUCAAUACUUUUAUGCCUCUAAUUGUGAGAUUACAGACAAUAUUCCUAUGUAAAUAGGUAGCUUAAGCAACCUAUUGUUUUGACAACUUGGCUAUAAUAAAUUAAGCGGAUUUAUUCCAACACCAAUAGGAGGACUGCGAAAUUUGCAAGGUUUACAACUUUCCUCUAAUAAAUUAGAGGGGCCUAUAUCAGAAAGCCUCAACACGAGAAUAAUACCAUCUUUUGAGAGUUCUGUCAACACAAUAAAUGAAAUUUAAAUGCAUACUUUUUUUAAUGAAAGUAAAUAUCAUAUUAAUUAAAGAAAAGCAACUAAAAAUCCAAUAAUAAAAUCCUUAGCAAAAGAUUGAAACACAAUUAUAUUGUAAAUGAAGUAAGAAACUAAGAAAAUCCAAUCUAAUAAAGAAAAUAACUUGAUGCCCCAAAGCAACCAUAAAACUAAAUCAUGGUAAGGCCUGCUGCUCGUUUUAUUGGUUUCCAUCUUUAUUUUGCAAAGGAAGUUUGAAUUUCGAAUAGAGCCUAGUACAUGGGAGCAAAAGAAAGAAAAUUAGUAUAUUAAUUUCCACGAUUUUUAAAACAAACUUCAUGGAAACGAAUAUUGACAUAUUAGAUAUCUAUGAUUAUAAUGCUAAAAUAGAUUAAAAUUAUUAAAUUAAUGGUAAAAUUAAGAGUGAAUUAAUAACCACAAGCGUACUCAUUACUCACCAUAUUUGUUAAACAUGUUGGAUGUUGUUUAGCAACCUUUGUUUGAUUUUCUUUAGCUCAACCACAACAUCUUUCAUGUAUUUUCUUUCUUCUGGUAACUCAGCUGAACAAUUCAGAGCCAACUCCAUGAUGGCUGAAAUACAAUUUGCUUUAACAACAAAGUACUCAUCCUCUUUUCUUAAUAAAUCAGCAUCUGCAAUUUCUAUUGCUCCUUUCGGCAAUGAACAUUCCAUCCAAUGCCUUAUAGUCACUUCUUCAGCAAAAAGAUUAUCAGUUGGCUUUUUCUUUGUGAAAGUUUCUAUAAGGAUGAUCCCAUAACUAUAUACAUCACAUUUAAUAGAAACAAUUCCAGUUGAUCCAAAUUCUGCAUUUCAAGUAUAAUUAGAGCAUCAUUAAUCCUUAAUUAUUUCUAAAAUGCUUAUUCAAAUAUAUAUCCACAGACGCAUGAAGCAAAAAUAUAAAAUGCAAAUCAAGAAAAUAAUCAUACAAAAAUAAAAAAAUUCACCUGGUGCCAUAUAUCCGAUAGUUGCAAGAGUCAUGGUUUGCUUCAUUACAUCACCUUCUCCCAACAAUUUGGCAAUGCCAAAAUCUCCUACAUGUGCAACCAUGUCUUCAUCCAGUAGAAUAUUGCUUGGUUUUAAGUCACAAUGAAUUAUAGGUGUUGGAUGUUCGUUGUGAAGAUGUUCUACUGCUGCCGCAACAUCUAUCAUUAUGUUGACCCUUUGUAUGAUAUCAAGGAAACAGUUAUUAGAAUGUAACCAUUUCUCAAGAUUUCCAUUACACAUGUAAUCAAACACCAAGGCUUUGAAGUCAACACUUGAGCAGCAAGUAAUGACCUUGACAAUAUUACGAUGAACUAUAUUACGCAUAGCAUCACAUUCAAUGUCAAAACUCCGAAAUGCUCCCUCUAUUUGCAAAUUGAAAACUUUUAUUGCAACUUCCAUUCCAUCUGAAAGCCUCCCUUUAUAUACAUAUCCAAAACUCCCAAAACCAAGCAUAUUACUUUCCUCAAACCCAUUAGUUGCUUGUGAAAGUUCAUAAUGUGAAAUUCUCCUCAGUGUUUUCAAAGACAACAAAUCAUCCUUAAUUGGUAGAGUUGUACCCCUACUUUGGCAUCUUCUGUACAUAAUAGUUAAGACUAUUAGUACUAUGACAAUACCAAUUGUUGGUAAACCAUACCUAAAAGCUUGCAAUAAAGUCAUUUUGGAAUUUUCGUGGAUGUCGUUUUUGCAAGGUGGGACUAGCAAUCUAGGUGGACCACAAAGUGCAUAAUUAUUCAUGAAUGAUGUGCUAGAAAAGUUUGAAAAACAUCCUUCGAUGGGAAUUUCCCCUUCAAGUCUAUUGAAAGACACAUUAAAAUACUUUAGAUAUAAAAGCUUUUCCAAAGACUUGGGAAUGACACCAGAGAGAUUGUUAUUGCAUAUAUCCAAGAAUUCCAAACUAAUCAAACCACCAAACGAUUCAGGGAUAUGACCAUGUAGUAUAUUAUUUGAUAAAUCCAAUGAAACCAAAGUUUUAAGACCCCCAAAUGUAGAUAAGAUAUCGCCCGUGAGAAUAUUCCUUGAUAAAUUUAGUUUCAGCAGACUUCUCAAAUCACCGACAUCAAGAGCAUGUGAAUUGUUAAGGUAAUUUGAUGAUAAAUCUACUUCUAAUAUAUCUUUAAGAUUCCACAGAGUCGAGGGUAUUGCAGAACUCAAUUUGUUGGAUUCUAUGUAAAGAUAUCUCAAAGAAGUAAUAUUACCCAAACAAGAGGGUAUGGAUCCAUACAACUUGUUCAACCCUAAAAACAAGUUGUAUAGUCUUUCCAAAUCACAAAGGCUUUUUGAGAUAGGCCCUUCUAAUUUAUUAGAGAAAAGACCCAGACCUUGGAGAUUUCUCAGUCCUCCUAUUGAUGUUGGAAUAAAUCCACUUAAUUUAUUAUAGCCAAGUUCAAAAACCAACAUGUUGCUUAAGUUACCUACUUCCAUUGGAAUAUUACCUUCAAGCUCACAAUGGUCAGCAUAAAAGCGUUGCAAGGAUGUCGAAAGGUUCCCAAUAUAAGUAGGAAGAACGCCACUCAGUGGAUUUCCUGAAACAACUAUUUUUCUCAAAUGCUUGCAAUUUGCCAAAGAAGAAAGAAAGGUCCACUCAUGAUCAGCAGGUCCUGUGAUCAAAUUAUUGUUCAUGAUUUGGAGCCGUUCAAGGUGUCUUAAGUUGCCAAGCGUUUUAGGGAUUGGGCCAGAGAAUAAGUUAUCUACCAAGUCUAGAAACUUAAGCAUGGAAACAUUGGAGAUUGAGUUGGGAAUGUUUCCGCUAAGUUUAUUUCCCCUCAAUAUAAGAUACUCAAGCUUUAGAGCAUUGGUCAUGGAUGGUAAAUUACCUGUAAAAUUACGUCUUUUAGUAUACAUAUUCAUUGAAUACCAAAUUCACAAAAUAUAUAAUACACUAAAAUACAUCUUUAAAAUAAAAAACUGUAAAACUUUAUAUCAAAUAAAAAUAAAAUUUUGGCAUGGAAAAAUGUGAUCAAAUCAAUUUUAACAAUGGCAUAUAAUAAGAAUUUUUGAGUAGUAAUUAGUCCAUUGUGAUUUGUAUAAAAAAAAAAUUAAACCAUUCCAUGCUUGUAAGUUGUAAAAAUUGCAUGUUAUAAUUUAUAAAUUCUGUACUCCAAACUAAAAAUGAACUCCUCACUAUUCUUAGCCCAAGUCUUGCAUUGAAAUCAUCAUUAUCAAAUUUACAAAAUAUAUAAUACACUAAUAAUUUUUUUAAAAUAUUGUAAAACUUUAAAUCAAAUAAAAAUAAAACUUUGGCAUGAGAAUGUGACAUCUAAUCAAUCUUGACACAGAAUAAGAAAUUAUGAAUAAUAAUUAAUUAUGAUUUGGAAAAUAAAAAUUUUAAAUCAUUCUGUAUGAGUAUUCGGUUUAAUGGUAAACUUGCAUCAAUACAAGUCUAAGAAAUCAAAAUAAUAUAACAUCAAUAAAAUUAUUUCAAAUAUAAUAUUGUUCUAAAGGUUAGAUGUUGGUUUAGCCCUUAAAGUUGUAUUUGAUUAUUAUUUUGGUACUUAAAAAUUUAUUUGUACCAAUUUGAUACUUAAAGUUGGAAUCAUUAAUCACGUGGUACAAAAAUUUUAUUAUGCAAAAUUAAAAAAAUUAAAAAUUUAGAAAGUUUUUCUAAUAAUGUAGGAAAUGUUUUUAAAAAUUAUAAAAUAAGAAAGAAAAUCGUACAUGAACAAAAAAAUGGACAUAGAAAAUACAAAAAUAUUGAAAAUUAUAAUAAUAUAAUUUUAAAAAUGAUUUUUAAAAAAAAAGAGAAAAUAGGACAAAAAAAUCAGAAAAACUUAAAAAGAAUCAACAAACCCUGGAGAAGGUGAGCUAUGGAAUUGAUAAGAUCAAUUAGAAAAUGGUUUCGAGCUUUCUGCUUAGUUAAAUCAAGUAAAUUAAAAUGCCAAAAAAGAGAAAGGAAAACCCCAAAGGUGGAAAUACGAUAUGAAGAUUAAAAGCGAAGGAAGUUUAAAGUCCAAGCUAUAUUCUAUAAGUUCCAAUUAAAAAUUUUGGUUUUAAAAUAUUUGUGUUAAUGUUACAUUUUGAAAAAUAAAAUAACCUUAAUAUCAAUGUAACCAAAAAAAAUUAUAACGGACCUAAAUUUAGUAAAUAAUUUUAACCGUGCUGACAACUCAUUAAAAUUCACAUUGUUAUUUUUUUAGAAUAAAUCAUUAAAUUAAUAAAAUACAUGUUAAGGGUUAAGAUGUUUGUUUCAAAUACAAUAUUGAUAUAAGGGUUAAAUGUAACAAAAAACAAUUAUAAUGAAUCUGAAUUCAAUGAAAAGAUUUAACGGUGCUAACAAUUCUUUAAAAUUCAUAUAUUCAUUUUGUUUUAAAUAAAAUAUUUUAGCGAAAUUAAACUUUUUUAUAAAAAAAUUUAAUACCUUCCAGAUUAUUUAACGCCAAAUAUAAUUCUUCGAGUUGUGUCAAAUUCCCGAUACUUCUUGGAAUGAUCCCCGUAAAUUUAUUAAUGGACAAUGACAAAAUUCUGAGGUUGUUGCAUUUGCCUAUACUUGAUGGAAUGUUACCAGAUAAUUCAUUCGAAUUCAUGGAAAGCCAUUCAAGCUGGGGAAGAUGUUGACACAUAUCAUUAGGCAAACUAUCUGAUAGGCUAGUGCUGGAGAGAUGAAUAGCUUGCAGAGAAGAAAUGUUGAAGAUAGAAGAUGGAAUCGGACCUGUAAGACCUUUAAUUGCUUGAACAUUAAGCAUUUCCAAACUAAGAAGAUUACCAAUUUCCUCCGGAAUUUGACCUGCAAAUUAACGUAGUUGAAAAAUCAAGGUGUUAAAGCUAACUAUUUUGUAAGUGUAAAUCAAAGAGGCUUUUUUUUUUGGUUAUGAAAUAAUAUGGAUUUGUUAGAUUCUAAUCAUAUUUAAGUAUAUUAGUUCAGCUAAUUAAGUAUUUUUCCUUGAAAGAAAUGUUUUUUUUUUUGUAUUUAUAUUACAAAUCUUUUUUUUUUAAUUUAAAAACAAAAGGGGCAAAAUGUGUUUAAGUUAAAUGCAUCAAGGAAAAUGCAUACCUUCUAGGUUAUUCACCCCCAAAUAUAAUUCUUUGAGUCGUGUCAGAUUUCCAAUACUUUUUGGAAUGAUACCCAUAAAUUGAUUACUGGACAACGCCAAAAUUUGAAGGUUGUUGCAUUUGCCUAUACUUGAUGGAAUGUUUCCAGAUAAUUCAUUCCGACUCAAGUAAAGCUCUUCAAGCUUGGGAAAAUGUUGACACAUAUCAUUAGGCAAACUACCUGAUAGACUAUUGCUGAAGAGAUUAAUUAUCUUUAGGGAAGAAAUCUUGAAGAUGGAAGAUGGAACUUGGCCAGAUAAUUGAUUGAAUCGCAAGUUCAAGAUCUCUAGAUUGAACAUGUUGACAAGUGUUUGAGGGAUUCUGCCUGUAAAAGUAUUAUUUGUCAUUUGCAACCUUUGAACUCUGUGUAAGUUCCCAAGCCAUGAUGGAAUUUCCCCAUUAAGACUGUUAAAGCUUAAUUGUAAGAUCUUCAAACGAUGCAAUUGACCCAAUUCUUUAGGUAGCAGGCCAUAGAAAUUGUUGCGACUCAAGUCGAGAGAGAGUAGAAAUGAAAGAUUUCCAAGGUAUGGAGGGAUCGUACCCCUAAGAUUCAUGCUUGUUAGAUUCAAAGCUAUAACUCUUUCAUGGAUGAUGCCACAAGAAACACCAAUCCACCUGCAAACAGAGGUAGAGGCCGUCCAAUUGUUUGCCAAGACAUUUUGAGGAUCGGCAAGGAGAUCCUUAAACUCGAGAAGUGCAAACUGAUCAGAGUUGAGAUUCCUGGCUGUCAUAGCCAAGCAAAGUACGGAACAUGAUAUGAAUAAAGCUAAACGAAGAUGAAAGCAAGUGUUGUAGUUCAUGAUUGGAAGACGAAAUAAGGCAAGAAAAUAAAAAAGUAGGAAAAGGGAAGUUGAAAUGAUAAAAUAGCCCAGAGAGCAUGCUUUAAUAUGUUUCAACCCUCGCAUACUUCUCCCACAUUAAAUUCACUCGGCGGGGGCCCGCGGGGGGCGGGGGGGGGGGUUACAACAUUAAUCCAGAUUUUACUUUUUGAUUGGUAUCAUAAGUCUGCUUCACAUACAAAGAAAAUAUAAUUUCUCCUAAAUUUUCUUCACAUUACUCCACAUAAUCCAUAAAAAGAACUUAAUAAAAUAUAAUUUUUUAAUUACUAUAUAUUCUUUUAUUUUUUUUCACAAUAAUAAACUGGUUAAAAUAUGCUAUUCAUCCCUGUACUUUUCAUAAUUUGAGAUUUAGUCCAUGUACUUUAAAAGUUUAAAAAUCCAAUCCUCCUAAUUUUUCAAUUUAAAAAUUUUAGUCCAAUCAUUAUCAUUGUCGGUAAUUCCGUUAAAAUUUGUUAACUUAACAUGUUUAUUUUCUAUCAUAUGCAACGUCAUAUGAAGACAGCCUAAUCAACAUAUAUACCAAGUUGACAGAUUUUGACAGAAAAUACUAAUAGUGUUAAUGGUAGGACCGAAUUAUUUAAAUAAGAAAAGUAAGAGGAGUUAUUUUUUAACCUUUUAAGUAUAAUGACUAAAUUUUAAAUGUUGUCCAAGUACAAGCAUUAACAGCAUAUUUUGACCUAAAAUUUUUUAAAACUUUUAAAAUAGAAUAAUGUUAAAAUAUGCUAAUACUGCUUAUACUUUCAUAAAAUUUGAGAUUUGGUCAUUGUACUUAAAAAGUUAAAAAUUAAGCCCUACCAUCUUUGUUUAAAAAGCUUAGUCCUAUCAUUAACAUUGUUACUAUUAUUUUGUCAAAAUUUGUCAACUUGACAUAUUAAUUAGGUUUCCCUUAUAUGACGUGGUAUAUGAUUGACAAGUAAUAAACAUGUUACGUUAACAAAUUUUGACAAAAAAAAACUACCAAUAAUAAUAAUGAUGGAACUAAAAUUUUAAAAUUGAAAAUUGUAAGGUAUUGAAUUUAUAACUUUUAAAGUAUAUUGACUAAAUCUUAAAUUUUAUAGAAAUACAGGGACUAACAACAUAUUUUAGACACAUAAUAAUAUAUAUAAUUUUCAAUUAAAACUGCAUUGGACUUAAUUGGGUAAGGGUUAAUAUAUUAAUCGGUAUAUGAGUUUCACACUUUUUUUUUAUAAUGUUGUAUUUUUUUUUUUGUUUUUGUUCAAUGUAAUUCAUGUAUUUGGUAAAAAAAAUUACAUAUUUUGGUACUUAAAGAUAACAAUGUUAACUUAUUAGUGUUUGAUCUAAAUUUUAGAGUUGAUUUAAUGAACAUUAAUAUCUAAUAUUAUUAGUUAACUAUGAAUUUUCGUCAAAUCAAAUUAAAACCUAACUCGUAUAUCGUAUAUCAUAUAUAUAUAUAAUAUAACAAGGUACAUAUAAUAAAUUUACAACAAGUGACUCUCUCUUUUUUUUUUUUUAUAUUUAUUAGUUUUUGAUUAUCCAUUAAAUUUUUUUUGUUCUAAUAAAAUUAAAUUAUAGAAUACCAUUAAAAUUCUAAAUAAAAAUAAUUUAUCCGUUAAAAAAUUCCCUAAAAUUUAAAACUAUUGUUAUAAAUAUAUAAUUAAAUUAUACAGAAUUUUAUUUUUUAAAAAUAUUGCUAAAAAGUUAAAAGGGAAAGAGAAAAUUUUAAAAAAAUAAAUAUUCUUUAAUUAGUUAAUUAAAAAAAUCAAUAGUACUUAGAAAAUAUCAAAUUGAAAUAUUAGAUUUUAUAAAAUUUCAUAAUUCAAAAAAAUUAUAUGACAAUGUUUAAAAAUUUUAUUAAAAAGUUUUAAAUUUUAUAUAAUUUUUUAUUAAAAACCUUUAAUAUUUAUAUUUAAUUUUAAAAAUAAACAAAUACUACAAAAAACUUUUUAAACACUAAAUUAAAUAUUAGUUAAUUAGUCAUUUGAUUUUUUUAAUAUUUAUAUGUAUCUUAAAUUUUUUAUAUUUACUAUUAAAAAUUUUAAAAACAAAAUUUAAUACUAUUAAAAACAUUAUUAAAAAAUUAAAAAUAUAUAUGAAAUUUAAAAUUGUCUAAAACAUUUUUUUAAAAAAUUAAAUACUAUAUAAAAUAUUUAAAAUUGUUUAAAAUUUUCUAACCCUAAAAAAUCAAUAAAAUAUUUUUCUCUAAAAAAUCAAUAAAAAAAUGUUUUUUAAGUGCAGUUCGAUUUCAGAAGAAAUAUUUCAUUUAUUAAAGCAUAAAGCUUUAAAAAUGUUAACUCCAUUAAACAACAAAUGAUAUUUUUUAAAACCAUAAAUAUUGACUUUAUUUCAAAUUGACCUUAUGUGAUUUUUUAAUAGUUUUUUUUUACUAAGCUUUACAUCAAUAUACUUGAUUUAUUUGUUGUUAUUAUUAUUUGUUUUUCCAUGACUAUGAUAUUAUAAUUUAAAAAAACUGAAAAGAGAUAAAUAUUAUAAACCCAUUAUUAGACUAUAAUCAUAAAUAUGUCUAUUAUCAUUCGAUAAAAAAAAUUAACAAGUGUUUAGUGCAGUGACAAUGCACAUAGCACUCUUAAUGAAAGAAUGAGAUUCGAACUUUUGAGAUGACAUUAUUGAAAGGAAUAAUCACAAAUUCCAGACAUGAACCGUAAAAUAGACAUGAAGUACCAUAAUAAAAACAUAUGUAUAGUAUCAAACUAGUAAUCCAUGCCAAACCUUAAAUUAACAAAAUUUACCAUGCACCCGUGUACACUAUUUAUAUAUAUAUAUAUACACACUAGAUUUAUUCUUGAUACACAUGUUUAUUAUAUUUAAAAUUUAAAAUAUAUGGCUGCCUGAGUUUUAGUUGAGUUAGGAUUGAAAUUAUUGUCAAUGCAAAAGGACAUAGGUCCAAUUGUGCUCAAAUGUAUUUUAUUUUCCAAUUUAAGGGUUAGGGAGGGGUUAUCGAUAGUAAAUUAUAUUAAUUUUUUAAAUAAUUAAAAAGGAUUUUGUAACACCCUGACCCGACCUAGGAGUUUCGGCUAAGUCGAAGGCAUUACAUUCGAUCACCGACGUGAUCCUAUAAAGUCAUUCUUUUUACUUGAGUUGAUUUGCAAGGAAAUCGCUCUUGUUUUUAGAAAACAUUACUCAUUAAUUUAAACUGACUUUACCUGGUAAUUUAGAGUUUUUAUCAAAACAUUUUAAGUGUUUAUAAAGUAGCGAAAAACUUUCAAGGUAAUGGUUUUCUAAAUCGAAAGGUAUACAAAUAUCAUAGUAAAAACCAAAAUGUCAUGCUUAAAAUAAAUAAGCUAUACAAUCCCAAAAAUGAAAUGAUUAAGGAAAUAUUUAAUGCAACUUUUAAAGAAAAGCAGAAAAAAGCUACUAAUCCAAGGUUCCUCCGAUGCCUUUUCGAGUACUAGAUCUUUACACUACAUGAGAGGUAAGGAAAAAGGGGAAUGAGCUUACAACAGUUCAUUAUGAGACUAACUGUAAACCAUUAUAUAUAAUUAUUCAAAGAGUGAAGUAUUUAAUUCAUAGAAUAAUAGCAUGGUAAACAUAAUGUAAAGAACAUUCAAUAUAUCAAUACAUGUAUAGUUUAUAUUCAUGAUGCAAUGCCAUUAAUGUUUUAAUUUCUCACACGUCCAUCUUAACUGCCCUCGAGUAUUGCUCGACACUCCAAAAACCCACUUCAAUAACUGAUCAUCUUGGGGUUGAUUUUUGAUGACAAUGGUUGUUCACUUGACAUUCAUGACGAUGUCUUUUACUACAAUAACUUACCAUCCCGGUUUGGUUCGGUUUUGAUGGUGUUUUAAACUAUUAUCCCGUCUUAUCCGAUUUAGAUGGCUUUUUACUACAAUAAUAUAUCAUCUCGAUUGUCUCGGUUUGGUAUAUUUUAGCCUACCAUCCCAACUUAUCUGCUUUUGAUGACAUUACCGCCUACGUCGUGCAGUAUUGACUUUUAGUGUAGACUUAAUUUGGCACUGUCUCCUACGGAACUCCUUCGUCCUCCAUACCCAAUUUCAUGUAAUUAUGCACAUAUUCGUAGAAUGUUUAUGUUCUUUUUUUAUCAUCAAUCGAGGUUAUACUUAUCAUGCAUAUUCAAUAUCUCAUACAAACAUUUAAUGGCAUGUACUCAUGCAUUCAUAUCAAUUUUGUAAUAGCCCAAUUUUGACCCUAAUCAGAACAGUGGUUUUGGGACCACAAAUCUGAGUCUGAAAAAUAUUUUAAUAUUAUUUUCUGUGUUAAUUAUGUGUGAAUUUAUAUGUGUGAAAGUUUUGUGAAUUUAUUUCAUUGUUUGUGUGCUUAAUUUGAGAAAAUGGCUUAAUCGCAUAAAAUGAAAAUUUAAUGGUUAAAUAUGAAAGUGCCUAUUUGUUGUUGUCUUUAUAAUUUAGAGGUUUUAUGAUGCAAUUAGCCCACUAUGUAAGUUAGUGGGUGGCAAAAGACUAAUGUAACCUUAAUACAUAUAUGUGUUUUGUUUAUUAAUAUAAAGGGUAAUUUAGGAACCUAAUAAUAAUGAUAAUAUAUGUUAAAAUAAAACAAAAAAAAUGGAAGCCAUUAUCAUCUAUUCUCACUUGCCGAAAGUAAAGAAAUAAAAAGGGAGAAACCUAGCUGAAUUCAGCCAUUGUUGAAAGCUUGAUUAAGGUUUGUUCUUUGUUCGGUUUUUGAUAAUUUUUACGUUUUUGUAAUCGUUGCUUCGUGUUCUUUAAAACCCAUGCUUCAAUUUUGUGAAUUGGUGAUGAUUUUCAAAUAUGCCAUUGAUAAAUUCAUGAGUUUUGUGAUAGUUGAAGGUGAAAUAUGAAAUAUGAAAUAUAUGUGUUAGAUUAACAUAGUUUGUUUUUGACUUUUUGAUGAAUUUGAGUAAAUUGGACUAAAUUGUGAAAAUAAAAUUGUGGGGGACUAAAAUGUGAAAUAAAUAAACUAUAUGGAUUUGUAUGGACUAGGGUGAUAUUCGGCCUAAGCAUAGUUUGUGUAAAUUUUGUGUAUUUUGUGUUUUAUACAAUAGGGACUAAAUUGCAUAAAGUUGAAAAUGUUAGGGGCAAAAUGGUAAUUUGCCCAUUUUUGUGUUUUUGGAUUAAAUUGAAUGAAUGUGUGAUUAAAUUAGUUAAAUUUGAACUUAUUUAGAUCAAGAACCAAAGAAAAUGGAAUUAGAUCGGGGGAAGUCGAAAGUAGUCAAUUAGUCGAUUUCGUCCGUCAAUAUCCAAGGUAAGUCGAUAAGCAUUUAAAUGUUGUUAAAUUCGAGAAUAUACAAAUGAUAUGUGAUAAACUGAAUUAUUUGAAUUGAUAUAUGCUUUGGCCGAAUGUUAACAUUGAGAUAGGGAUUAUGUUUCAAGUUCGAUUCGAUUGAUAAUCAAUAUUUGAAAGCCCCGUACGAACCCUAGGAAUAGAUAGGAUACAUAUGUCAUGACAUAGGAUCUCCGAUAUGUGUUUUUUUGUGUAAGACCACGUUUGGGACGUUGGCAUCGAUUUAUGUUUUCGUGUAAGACCACGUCUGGGACGUUGGCAUCGAUUUUUGUUUUCGUGUAAGACCCUAUUUGGGAUAGUGGCAUCGAUCUGUGAUUACAUGUAAGACCACAUCUAGGGCACUGGCAUUGUACGAGCCUUCUGACUAUCUGUGUAUCCUUUUUAAUUUCGAGCAGUUCAAUAGACAAUGUUAAGUGAAAACCGGAUGUGAAAUUGAAUUACAUGUUCAGGUAUGUGUUAGUUAAAUGUAUAUAUGGAAACAAGGUAAGUUGUUUCCUUGGAAUUAUUUAAGGUAUAUGAAUAUAAAUUUUGAAUUAACAUGUUUGGACAUAUAUAUAUAUGAUUUGGGCUAUGGUGUUAAUUAUGAUGUCAAAGGUGAAAGAUUAAUAUGUAUUUAUGAAAGGUUACAUUCGGCUAUAUAACUUGUAUAUGUGAUCAAAGUAUGACCUUGUAGUAAAUGAUAUCUUUAUAUUGUCAAUUAUGUGAAUUUAACCUUAAUAGUUAAAUGUUACUGGCCAUGAUUAAUAUGCAUGCUUAUGCUUAUGACUUACUAAGCUUUAAAUAGCUUACUGUGUGUGUGUAUUUGUUUACCUCUAUUUUAUGGAUUUUGAAGCCGUUACGAGCUCGGGGAUCAUCAGCAAAGCCUAUCACACUAUCGAUAGUUUCUUUUGGUAUUUUAGUAAGUAAACUUUGAGUAUAUGGCAUGUAUAGCAUAGCUAGAAUGUUGAUUUUGGAACAAUUAUAUGUAUAUGUAAUUAAUAGCCAUGCAAAAAAUGGCUUAUCUUCUUUUGAUGGAGUUUAUGCUUAUGCAUAUUUGAUUACGGUAUAAGCUUGUGAUAGGUAAAUAAAUGUGAUGCAUAUGGAUUUGGACUUGUUGAUUUGGCUAUGAGAAUAGUUAUUUGUUCGAAUGUGCAUGGAUUAGAUGUUAUUAAAUUGAAUGUGUAUAGGUUUGCUUAUGUUUUUGAUUAGUUUUGAAUCAUGUACAUAUAAAUAGCCAUAUGAAUAUGGCCUAACCCCCAUACUUGUGUUCGGUUUGUUUAGCAAUGGUUUAUUCAUUUUAGUUAAGUUUGGUCUUUAUGCUUUUGAUAAAUUUUGUUGAAAUGAUGUUUAGGAUUAUGCAUAUUCGGCUAUAAUAUGAGUUCAGGUUAGGCAUCAUGUUUCAUAGUUUAAGUGCAUAAUUUGCUUGUUAUAUAUGUAUAUUUAUGAUAUGUUUAGUAUGUUCAUCUAUGGUGAUUUGAUAUGAUAUAACUUAAGUAAAUUAGGUUUGAGUAAUGAAUGUAUUAAUUUGGUGUGUAUUCGGCUUUGUACUUAACUCAUUUUGGAUGGUAGGAUACAUGGUUUAAGAUGUAACAAAAUUUAUGAAUUUGUAUGCCCUGGGCUGAAAUUUAUGUGUUAAGUGAUACCUUGUAUAUUCAUAAGUAUAUGCUAUCAAAUUUAGUAUGUUUAGUCUCAUAAUUUGUUAUUCAAGUUAUAUAUAUGUUUUGGUGAAUUUCAUGAAGAUAUAAAUAGACUAUGGUUUGAGAGUUAUACAAUGACCGAAUAUGCUUUAAUUAGUUUUGUAGUGAUAAUGAAACAUGGAUAUUCGGAAAUGGUUAAUGGUAUAUAUAUAAAUAUAUGUGCAAGUUGGUAAAUGGAUAAAAUGCAUGUUUUUGGUUCUUUGAAAUGUUCAAUAUUGUAUAUGUUAUCUUUGAUCUUAGCCUUUAAGUUUUAAGUUAUGAUUUCUUUAAAAUGAUAAGAGUAAGUAUAUUCUUAAGUAUCAAGGUAUUUAUUAAAUUAUCAUUAUAUGUUUGAAUAAGCAUAGUGUACCUUCAUUUAGUUGUAAUGGCAAAAUGUGCAUUUUUAUUAUGCUUGAAUGGUUAGUAUAUGUACUUUGGAUUGAUUUUUAAGCAUGCAAAUUUGGUAUACUUGAUUUGUUUCAUUUAGUAUAUGUUUUUAAAAAUAAUAAUAAUACUAAUAAUAAAAUUAUAUAUAUAGUGCAUUAUUCGGUUUUGUAUUAUUAUAAAGGUUUCAUAUGUUAUGUUAAACUUGAAAUAUGUGUUAUGUUCGGUAAUGUCUCGUAACCCCAAUCUGACGACGGACACGGGUUAAAGGUGUUACGAAUUUCACAUAUACAAUCUUUUCAUGCAACAAGAACUUGUAACAAUAUAUUUAUAUUAGAUUCCUUAACAUGCUUACUCGGCUAGCACAUACAUAACUGGUUCAUACAUACACAUAUAAUUUGUGCGAGUUAAAAAAAAUAAAGUGUCACAUGUACAAGAUUUUUAUGUGAUUUAAUAGGCCUAGUUAUCUAGCACAUGUACCGGUUUGCAUAUAGGCUCGCAUGUACCUGAGGUUCACACAACAUGUAGGCUCACAUGUCCCUAGGGUUCGCAUAUUAAUUAUCUAGGGUUCGUAUAAUUAGCAUAAGAGGUUGCAUGUAUACAAUGUUAGCGUAAUAUUCCCUUAAGUGUUCAUGUAAUAAACAUAUAGGGUUUGCAUAUAUAACAUCCAGGGUUCGCAUGUAAACACAUAUAGGGUUUUUACAGUACAAAAUAUAGUGUUCGCAUAGUACAACAAUUCAUAGGGUUUGGCUAACAUGGUUCAAAUAUGAUGCAUACAGGGUUCACAUAUCAUGUCUCACUUAUGACGCAUACAAGGUUCACAUAUUACAAUCCAUAGGCUCCGCAUAACAUAAUCCUAAGGUUUGCAUGUAACAAGUUCAUAUGUCAUAACCUAAGGUUCACAUGUAAUAAACUAUAGUGUUCGCACAUAGGCUCGCACAUAUAGGGGGUUUGCACAUAUAGGUUCACACACAAGAGUUCCAACACCUAGUUGUCGUACAUAGGGGUUUCCACGUAUAGGUUCGCACAUAGGGGUUCACAUGGGGGUUCACAGACAUGUACCAAUGAUUCACUAUGUCACACUAUAAAAAUAGGGGUUCUCGAACUCUGUCAUACUAUAUAAUGUGAGGGCUCACAUACUACGUCCUUUUAUAUAACAUGGGUGUUCGCAUACUAUGUCAUACUAAAACAUAUAGGGUUCGCAUCUUUGCACUAAGGGAUGGCACAUAUAUUCCUCGUAAGGGUUCGCUUAAGGGUUCCAUGCAAGGCUCACAUAUAUGGGUUCACAUGAAAGAAAUUACUUGCUUUUAAUUUAACAAUUAAUGCAACACCUCAUACCCGGUCUAGAAGUUAUGACCCGAAUGUGAAGGUGACAUUGAUAAUUUUAAAACUUUAACUCUUUGCUAUUGUAACACAUCUUAUUUUGAAAAAUGAAUAUUCGGAAAAUGAAUAGUCAAAAAAUAAUAAUUUUUAGUUAAACCUUUCGUGCAAUCCUUAGAAGAUCUCACGCUCUAAAACACUUAAUUUAUAGUAAAAUCACAUAAUCAUUUUCUUAGUUUAGCAGUGGAAAAAUUUUCAAAGUUUUAGUUUGAAAACCGAAUUUUAAUUUGUUAACUAGUAUGAUUUUUUAGUUUUAAGUUAAAAAUACCAAAAAAAACCAAAAGAAAAACCAAAAACGAAGUCUAAAAAUAGAUUAAUAGCCCAAAAAUCUAGAAAAAGUUAAUAACAGAAAGCACCAUAAUAAAUUAAACAAGAAAAAUAAUCUAAGCUCCCGCACGUCGUCCGAUCCUAAAUUAGCUAAUUACCUGAAAAGGGUAAAUACAGAAGGGUGAGCUAUAAAUCUCAGUGUGUAACUAAACUCAAAUAGAGAACAAAAAUAACACAAUAAUCAGAUCAUAGAAUUGCAAAGAACUUAAUAACAAUCAAUUGAGCAAAACUCAAAACGCAUGCUUAUGCCAAUGCGAUAUUUUUCAGAAAAACAUAAUGCAAUUUUUUAGAAAACUUCCUACCCAACUUCGCUACACACCAAAAUAGAGUUCCCCAAAACUUAUCCAUCCAAAAACAAACCAACAGAUAAUUGUAGACAAUGCCACCAGAGUUGUAGUUAAAACUGCCAGAUUGGAUAUAUGUGGUCAAGCCACUGUAAUGUAACCAAGCUGCCAGAAUAGAUAUAUGUGGUCGAGCCACUAUAAUUAUAGACAAGUUGCCAGUCAGAAAUGUGAUUAAACCACUGGAUAGUGCAAAUCAUUAAACUGUCAAAACUUCCUCCUUACCAUAAUAUCCCAAACCCCAUGCAAUGUGUGUAACUCCCCGAAAAUAUGAACUCUCGAUUUGUUAAUUUAUGUCAUAAUUAAGUGUUUAUCUCAAUGGUUAAGGGCUUGAGGAUGUGUUUGAGGUCUUGGGUUCGAGUCUCUCUAGGAGCUUUGAGAGUUAUUUAUUUAUUUAUUCUAAAUGAUCUUUUGGGCUGUUCAAUUAGUAGAAUUUGGGUAAAAGUGGAAGACUGGGAACUUAGUUGGAUAAGAAUUGGGUUUGUUAGGAUGUUGGGGAUAUUGUUUUUCUUUUUCCCUUUAUUUUAUUUUACUAUAUUUUUUAACCCAUUUUUCUUUUAAGUUUUGAAUUUAAAAAGAAAAUACAAAAUAAAAAUCCCAAUUAUUACUCCACUAUUCACGUUCCACUUUUAUUCCCAAUUUCUGUAAUACCCAAAAAAAUUACUACAGUAAAAAGUAAGUUAAUAUCCUUGAUAUAGUAAAAUAAAGAAAUAAAGUGAUAAAAAGGGUAAUUUUGAGUUAUUUCAACAUUGGGAAGUAUAUUAUGACAUAUUAAUUCAAGAAAGGAUUAAAUCGCAAAAGUAAAAAAAGUUUUGUUGCCCAAGAGUAAAUACUCAAAAUUUAAGGGGUUAAAGUGUAAAUAUAAAAAAGUUGAACGACCAAUAGUGCACAUAUUUUAAGGGUGGAAUGAUCUAGAAACUAAGGAAAAUAAGAGAAAGUAAUGGGAAAUAUUAUAAAGAAAAUGAAUAAGGGAGUUAUAAACUUAGUAAUCAACAUCUUGCAUUAAAAUAGUUUUGGACAGCAGCAGUAGUCUAACUUUGAAAAUUCACAAAAAAUUGUAGGAAUCGAAUUAGAGAAUUAAUAGAAUAUAAAAUUAAAGAUUAUUGAGUCUAGUUUCUUAUAGAAGAAACUGUGUAAGUAAUAGAAUUUUAAAUCAUGAGAUAUGAUAAAUGUUGUGAGACAAUGUCAGAAUGAUUUCGGGUUCACCUGUUCUGACUUUGGAAAAUCAUCAAAAAUUAGAGAAAAAUAAUUAGGGGCUUAAAUUUAUCCUUAAUGAGUCUAUUUUGAAUAGAAACAAAUGGUAACAUCAUAUGAAUCCUGUACGAGGAGAUAAUUAAUUUUUAGUGAAGAAGGGUCAAAACUGUCAAACAGCAGAAUAAGGAUGACUUUAAAGAAUAAACUGUACUUGUUAGCUAAACCAAAAAUUCUUAAAAUUUUAUGGUAAGAAUAUAUGUGAGUCUAGUUUCGGAUAAAAUUAACGGAUCUCAAUUCGGAGUUCUGUAGCUUAAGAUAUAAUUAGUUUAGUGACCAUGACUCAAGUGAAUAGCUUGUUAUGAGUAAACAAGUAAAUAGUGGUAUUAUGUAUAUAUCAAGGAUAUGGAAUGGAGUGGAGGAGGAGGAAAAAAAUAUGUGUGAAUAUUUAGCUAAUAUGAGAUUAUUUUAAAAAAGCAAAUUUCCAUGUUUUAGGCUCAGGUACUAAAUUGAAUAAAAGUAAAACUUUAGGGAUAAUUUUGUAAAAAUGUCAAAAAUGAUCAAAUUGAAGUAAAUGAAUUGUUUUACUUUCUAUAUUAAUGUAUGGAAAUAAAUUAUAAAUAUCAAGUGGGUUUAGAACGUUAAUUUUAUUGUAUGAUGAAUUUAUAAAUAAUUUCAGUUUUGAACAAUAAUUGAUAUAAAUUAAUUGAAAUUGUUCUGAAAAAUUCGGUAAUACUCUAUAACCCUGUUUCGACGAUGGGCAUGGGUUAGGGGUGUUACAAUUUCCUUUCAAACAUGGUUUUCAUAUUGUACAGGAAGAUUUUGCUAAAAAAAAGUAUUCUUUUGUUUUUUCUUUUUUCCUCUCUAAACUUCUUGGCUUUCUUGAUCUUGGUCUCUUGGGUUACCAAAUUUCUAUAGUGCAUGCCUAAUUGAAUCAUUUGCAACUCAAAUCUGGUGUAAGUGCUAUCAAUUUCAUUCAUUCUAUGAUUGAAUUUUUAUGUCGUUAUCUUUGUCUAAGUUGGGAUUUUACUAGUUCUAUUUGCUUCGAUUUUCGUUGUUAAUCGUGUGGGAUUCUCUAGGUGAAGGUUGCAAACCAGGUUAUCCACUAAUGAAUUGAGGCUUGUUAGGGUACUAUCGUCACAUUAGGGUAAGUGAUUAAUGUUGUUUUUGGGUUGUAAGUUGCCGAAAUAGUUGGUUAGUGUCGAAUUCUUCAAUUGAUCGAUUUGGGUUGAUUAGAUUUUAGCUAAUAAUUCGUGUAAUUUAUCGAUUUAAGUAUUGUAUUGCGUGAUUAUUGAUUCUACGUCGGUUUUUCACUAGGUGUAUAACAAAACACACGAAAAAUAGCUAACCGUGAAAGUUAAAAAAUUGCUCAGUCGACGCCACACGGCUGUGUGCCAAGCCAUAUGGUAGGUCGUGUGUGACACAUAGCCAUGUGACAGAUCGUGUGCUAGACUAUAUGGGACACACGGUCUAGGCUAUUUGGGUCGUACAGGGCUAUGUGGGCCACAUGGGCUAGCCAGUUGGGCCAUGUGGGCCCAAAAUUUAGGAUUUUUCCCUAGGGCUAAAUACAUCACCUUGAUUGACUGUGGGCCUUCCGUAGGGUCGGUAUGUGAUUAAAUGUAUUGUAACAUAUGAAAUAUGGUCAUCUAGUAGUGUAAAUUAUGUUGUCUGUAAGUAUUUUUGAGAUGUCAUGUGAUAAGUAAACUCGAAAAUUGUUAUGUAUGUGAUUUGUAUCUUAUAUGUCAUGCAUAUAAAACUGUAGCAAGUAAGGAUUCUACUCUGAUUAUGUCUUUUUUCGGGAUGGGCUAUACUAUGUGUAGGAAGUGUUUCUGUGAAUGGUGAUACUCACCCAUUAUACUGGCAACAAGGUUGCAAAUAUUCUAUUAGUGUCUUAAUGACACUAAGUGAUGUGUAGGGUUGGAUCGGUGUUUCAUACCCCAUAUGGUGUGUUGGGAUGGUCAGAGAUGGUGUGUAGCGGAUGAGGGUAGGAAAUCUAUCUGUAUCUGUCUAAUAUUAAUUAUCUGUUUAAGAUAUUUGUUGCACACUGAGUUUCAAAAACUCAUUUUCUAUUUGAUUGUUAUUUUCAGGUAACCCUUAGACUUAGGCGGAUCGGUGCAUUCAGGAACUCGGUUAAUCAUUAUUUUUUAAAAUUUGACUUAUUUAAAUUUGGGUUUUAGAGUUAUGUAAAUUUUGGACUUUCUAGACAUUUUGGACUGUUUGGGUUUAGAACUUUACUUUCAUAUUUUACUUAAUAACGUUUAAAUGUUUAAUCGACAAUGUUCACUUUUCUGCAAAAUUAAUGGUUUUCAAACAACAAACAGUGUUUUCCAAAAUAUCACUUUUUAAGGAGUCUCCGCUACAAAAUUAUAAGUUUUUAGAAAAUGUAAUCAAACAAAAUUUUCAAUAAUAAAAUUUGGAUAAGAUAUAUUUUCGAAUAAUCUGAGUUUUUAAGAGUUUAUGACUAUUAUCAAGAUUUAAGAAAACUAAAAUUUUCAAUCAAAUUACGUAACACAUUAUGAUCUUGUUAUAACGUCUAAGCCAGGUUUGGAGUGUUAAAAUGUGACAUGGCAUGCAUAUAUAGAAUCAGAAUGAAAAGCAUGUAGGACAUGCAGUCGUACAAUAAUAAAGAUCAGAAGGCAUGGCAUUUGCGGAAUAGAUGUAUCACAAAUUCAACAUAAGCAAAUCAGAUUUGCCAUAACGUCACAUGCAUGGUCAUAUAGUAAAUUCAGAGAUAUACAAUACAUCAUAUAGAUACACAACAUAGCAAAAUGGAAACAUGUCAUCAAAAUUGAUAGAAAACAGAUCAUACAUAUAUAAUUCUUAUACCUUAAGCACAUCACAUCAAAAGCAUAUUAACAAAUAACUUAUUUUUUAGUCUUAUUAAGCAGUAUGGACCCUACAAAGAGUCUAAUUACAAACCAAAGAUCAAAAUGGCCCUAGGUGACAAUUUUCCAAAAAAUGGGGCCACACACCUAUUUGGCCCACACGACCCAAAUAGCUCUGACCGUUUGAUCCAUACAGCCAUGUGACAUCGACAAUGAGUUUUUCAGCAUUGCGUCAUUUUCUAUUUUUCAGGUUUUUCAUUACACACCUGAUCAUUUUUCGAUGUAAAUCCAACCACUAGAAUUCCAGAACCUAAAACAAGCAUUUAAGUGAUCAAUUUCAAUAAUGAAACACUAAUUCCAAAAACCAACUUGGCCACAACCGCUAACAUUAAACCUUAAUAAAAUGGAAACUAGCCUUCCGAUGUUCAAUCACUUACCCAAAACAGAAAUAGUAGCCUAAAAUAGUGCCUAAGUUGUCAAAAAGAUGUGGUACGCACCACUCUCUUCUCUUAUCAGAAACCAAAAUAAUUAAUAAUCGGAUAAUACAAACUACUAUAUCCCUAAUCAACAAGUGGAAAGAACUAGUUAAUCUUACCUUUAAGGAACACCCUUGCAAGACUUACUCGUCAGAAAAUAAAUGAUAGAGAAAUGACAAUAGAUUAGCAAAUACUGAUAUCAACAUUUUGGGUAGCCAACAAAGGAGAAAAGAGAGAACAACCAAAUUAGAAAAUGGGAAAAAAAUGGAAAAGAGAGACGAUAGAAAGUGUGAGGGAUUUUAGGAGAAUUUUUGGGAAAUUUAAAAUAAUAAAAAUAAACUACCCACUUCCCUCACUCAAAGAAAAAAAAUUCAAACCUAAAACCUCUCACACACAAGCACAACACUUAACCAUUGAACCAAAUUAAAUCACUUAACAUAAUUUUCACAACCUCAAUUCAAAAGCCGAACAUAACCCCUCUUGGUUUCACUGACUUGGUUUUCAGAUUAUGACAAUUAAUUGCAUAUAAUGACUUAAGUUUAGACCCCACACCUGAUUUGAAAACACCAAACCUUAGUUUUUGAGAGGAGAUUGACGAUCUACUUGAAGAGGGAUUGAUUUUGAAAACUUUGACUCAUUUUGCUUUGAGAGUUGAUUUGAAGAGAAAAGAGCUUGAGGGUGCUUUUCUUAAAAGUUUGCUAGAUAAAAUUCUAGGGUUUGCAUAAAAUUGAUUAUUUAUAAAACAUAUUUUUCCUUAAUUGAAAUAGGUUUUCCUAAUUCAUGUAAAAUUAGAAAAAAAAUUUAAAAUAAGGACUAAAUUGAAAAAAAUUGGGCUGGGCUAAUUUGAAAAUUUGACACUUUUGUGGGAUAAAAACAAAAAAUAUAUAUUGGUUGAAUACACACAAGGAAUUAUGAACUUGUCACCUAUAGGUAGACUAAGGCCUUACCACUAAACCAACAGACUCAUUCUUACUAUCUUUUAACACAAAUAAAAUUUAAGGCAUACUAAAGGCUUGUUUAGCAUUACUGUGAAGAAGCACUUUUGGCUUAAAAAGCACUUUUGAGAGAAAAGUUAUUCUAAACAAGUAAUUUUUGGCUAAGAUUUUUGACUUUUCAAAAGCACUUUUGGCCAAGUGGAGAAGUUAAAAUUUUUAGCUUUUCUUCCCCCAAGAGCACUUUUGAGUGCUUAAUUACUAUUCCAUCCCUCCAAGAACACAUUUUAAAAUAAAAUAAUAUAAAUGUGUUAAUAUUUAAUUACAAAUAUUUAAUGGUUUUAUUUAAAUAUUUAAAAUAUAGUUUAUUCUAAUUAAAUUUUAUAAAUAAUUAAUAUUUAUUACUUAAAAACAUUUAAAAUUUAUAUUUCAUAUAUUAAAAUAUUAAAAAAAUUGUAAUAAAUUAUUUUUUAUAUUCUUACUAAAAUAUCAUAAUAUUAAUUAAUUUUAAUAUUAUUUAAAUGCAUAUUUAUUACUUUAUAAUAUCAUGUCUAAAAUUGACAUUUUAUUUCUCAAAAGUACUUUUUGACAUUAAUACUAAACACUUAAAUCUUAAACUAAACUUCUCAAAGAUACUUUUCCACCACACUUUUUAAAAGCACUUUCCAAAAUCAAUGCUCAACUAUCUCAAACUCUCUUACCUUAUACUUUAAAAGAGAAAAAAAGAUUUUAAAUUUUAUCCCUAUUUCUUUUAACCCAAUUUUUAGGAUGUCAAACAUUUAUAAAUAAAAUAAGAAAAAGGAAAAAAAAGCAUCUACAUAUUGAUGGGUUUUUUUCAUUAGGAGACUUUAUUUUUAUCGCAGGUAAAAGUUUUUAUGGAGAGGAUCAUGUAAAAUUAUGAUUUUCUGUGUUUUCUUCUUUGCUGACUUUUUUAAUGUCAUUUUCUAUCAUGAAAGAAACUUAAAGAUUCACUAUGUAUUUCUCAACCACUAUGAAAUUACUUGACUAUGGGGGUAGAAUUUUCUCACCAAUUUUCUAACAUGAGAUUUUUUGAAUGAGACAAAUAUUCAAUUUUAACACAAACAUAUAUUUAGGGUUAUAGUUUAGUUAUUGAGAGCGUUUCCCAUAAUUAGUCACCCCUAUUUGUGAGUGAUUAGGGGAUAAAAGCUUAAACAUUUCUAGAUCACAUUGCAUUUAAGACGUGUGUUUGGAGUUAUAUGAUAUUUUAACAUAGACUGGCUUUUCUAUAAAGAGUCCUUGCUUUACUUUGGGGGGAUUCUUCCAUUUAGCGUGGUCGUUGUUAUUACUCACCAACAAUUAUUGUACUGUCAUCCUUAUUCCUACCCCACCUACAGAGAAGUUUCAUUCGAAGAUGUCCUUUUUUCUUUUAAUAUUUUUUAUAUUUUCAUGGAUAUGAGGAGAUACUCAAUAUUAUUAUAUUAUGAAAUUUUAAUUCACUCAAAAAGUAAGUGUUUUAUUUCAAGGGAUUAAUAUUAGCUCUCUCUUUUUUAAAUUUUGAAUUUUUUUUACAACUGCUUAAUUAACAAUGUAUGGUGUUAUAGGGGUGUUUUAACCUUUCCUAUGUAUAAUCGACUCCUGAACCUUUUUUCCUUUAGAAUUCAAUGCAUACCUCAAAUUUGUCUUUUUAAAAGAUUUUUAAAAUCUCUUUAUAAAAGAUGAUCACACUUAACAAAAAUGAUCCUGACCACUUUUCUUUAAUAAAAUAUUAUGUUUUUGCAAAGACCAAAAUUUUCAUAUUUUUCAAGAAUUCCUCAAUCUAAUUUUCUUUUUGAAUUUUUAUUUUCAAGAGGAAAAUGAUCCCUACAAUUAAUAUUUAUUUUCUUCAUUUUUAAAUUUUUUUUAAGGGAGAUGAAUAAUGGAAUGAUAAUUUUUAGUUAAGGUAAAGUAAAUUUAAUUAUGUACAACCUUCAACUAUUAAUUUUUUCAAUUUAAUUACAUAAUUUUUUAAAACUAACACUCUUUUAUUAGUUGUCACUAGUUGAGGGACGAAAAGUUGAUUUAGAUUUUUUUAUUGACCUAAUAACAAAUUUAAAUAUUCAAAGUUUACUUAUUCUAUCAAUUUAAUGCUAAAUUUAAAAAAUUCAACAAAUCCUAUCAAAAAACAAUUGGACCCUCUCUCACUCUUAGCAAUACACACUAUCAUACAUGACACAUCACCAUCUUCAACUCACCCGACCAUUGACACCGCUAACAAUCUCCACUCUACUUUUUUUUAAUGAAAAUUAAUGAAAAUAUAUAAAUAAUCACUCAACUAUAAGUGUAUUUAUAGUUUAGUCAUUUAAAUUUAAAAUUUUAAUUACAGUAUAAAAAUAAUUAUCUAACCAUUCGAUUUAUUCUAUUUUAAUCUAACUUUUCCACAAUUGUACAUCUCUGGGUGGGCACAAAAACUUGUACAUUUCUUGAUGACAUUUAAUUCAAUUGCAUUUAGGAUCACAUAAUUUUCUUUCAUCCUUUUCAUUAAUAAACUGUUUCAAAAACAAUACCACGUCGACAAUAAAUUUGCUAUUACACAUUCAAUUUUUGGACGUGUCGUUGAAAUAUUAAUUUCACUUAAGCUAUUGACAGACUUUUCAGUUUUUAGUCUCUUUCCGUAGAAAAAUUCAUAACAAUCAGUCAAAUAGAAUUGAGUAUACAUGAUUAUACCAAUGCGGUAUUUUUCAAAAAAUUUUAAUGCAGAUUUUUCAGAAAACGUCCUACCCAAAUCCUCUACACGCUUGAAUAGAGUUCUCCAGAACUUAUCCAUAAAAAAAAAACACACCAAUUGAGUCAUCUCAGGUUGCCCAAGAAUUGAUGACUCGCCACCAUGGGAUGCCCGACAACGAUGGCUUAUCACUAUGCAAUUAAACUGUUAGAUCAGAUAAUUGUGGUCAAGCCAUUGAAUUGCAUCUCAACUGCCAAAACAAAAAUAUGUGGUGAAGCCACUAUAUUCCAUCCAAGCUGCCAAAUAAAAAUAUGUGGAUAAACCAUUAGAUAGUGCAGACCAUUAAACUGCCAAAACUUCCUCCCUUCCAUAUUAUCCCAACCCCAUGCAAUGUGACAUAGCAUGCAUUUACAGAAUCAAAGCGGCAAGCAUAUAAGACAUGUAGUCGUACCGUAAUAGAAUUUAGAAAGCAUGGCAUUCCACUCUUUUACAGAACAGAUGUAUCACAAAUUCAACAUAAGCAAAUUGGUAUGCUAUAAAGUCACAUGCAUGAUCACAUAGCAAAAUCAGAAACAUAAAAAUAACGUAACCAAACCUUAUAUAAUCAUAUACAAACAUAACAAUGCAAAUCAUGCUACUAGAUUCAUUAGAAAAUAGUUCAUGCACACGAAUUUCACAUACCUUAUUCAUAUCACCUACAAUAUCAAAUUAUCAGAUAUUACAUUUUCAAAGUCAGUUUUACACUGUACGAACCUACAAAGUGGCUAAACAUGAUUCAUGAAUCAAAACGAGCCUAAACGAAAUUUUUUAGAAAAUGGGCCAACAUGGCCCAAUUAGCCUAGGCCGUAUGGCGUCGACUGUCCAAGUUUCGACUUUCAGCAGUUCAUUAUUUUUUGAGUUUUUCGAUAUACACCUUACUAUUUUCCGAAGCAAAAUCAUGGCAAGAAUUCCAAAACCUAAAAUCCAUAUUCAACCCACUCAAAUUAUCAAUGAAACCCAAUACUAAAUCGUUAAACAACCAAAAUUGCUACCAAUAAACCUUAUCAAACCAAGAAUCAACCUUUUGGCAUCUGACUACUUACCCAGAAUAGUAGCAGCAGUACUAAAAAUCUCUCAAUUCAUCGGAAGACUAUUUGUUACAGAAACAUCACCUAAACCAAAGAUUUCAGAGUAAUCAAAAUCGCGUCACACAAAGAAGGAAACAAAUUAACCCCAAAAUUGUGAAACUCAACAAAGUACGAAUCUUUUCACAUAUUCCUUACCACCAACCGUCAAGAUUGCUCAAAAACCACUAAUGACACUGACCUUCGCAAGGUUAAAUUGAAACCAAAAGGCAACUAAAGAUGGAACAAAGGUUGUUAUAAAAAAAAUAUUAACAAAGACUUAUUGGAGCAAAAAUGGUGAAAAAUCAAGAAUAGGGAGAUUGGAAAAAAAAUAAUGAAACGACAAAGAGAAGGAGCGGGAAAGUGACGGCAGUUUGCGGAGAGAUUUUGGGUAAAUAAAAAGUAACUCACCACUCAACCCAUUAAAUCUGAUUACCCUCUAAACAGAUUCCCUUAGCAUUUAAAUUCAACCCAAAUACCACUACUUGGGCAGCAUAGUGUAAGGAAAUAAAAAUAUUUCUACUUUGCACACAUGAGGUCUUGAACACGAAACCUUAGGGUAAUUUGAAGCCUUACCACUAAAUUAGUAGGCUCAUCCUUGAAAUUAAUUGAACGAAAAUAUUACUUAUGUCAGAUGAUCAGGGAUAGAGGUUAAGACCAAAGAUGACAAAAAUUCAAAGGAAAGAUUUAAACCUAGAACCUCACACACACAAGCAUAACACCUAUCCACUGAACCAUAUUUACUCCAUUGACAUAAUUUUCACAAUAUUAACUAAAAAUUCAGAAUAUGGUUACUCUUGGUUUCACUUACCCAGUUUCUUCUAACCCAAUUUUUGUGAUGUGACAACUCUCCCCUCCUUAAAAGAAUUUCAUCCUCGAAAUUCUUGCCGUGACACCAUACACUUAACUACAAAAUCUAAAAUUCCCUAGUCCAAACCUACCACCAGGCUAUCAUUGUACAACUCUAAUCUCCAUUCAAGUCCGAUCCAAACAAUAUUUCAGAGGAAUUUCCUAUUCACUACCUCGGAUUACCUUAAUAAGCUUUCCACAGAAACAUCACUAAUGAUCCUGUAAUAGGCCCAAUUUGUCCGGGCCCGCAUGCAUAAACCAAAUAAAAGAAUAAAUAAAGGCCAACAAUUCCAAAGUCCAUUUACAUUUGUCCAAAAGACCCAAAUUACAUCAGCCCAAAUACUAGAACCUAGCCCAAAUACAAUUUGACCCAAAACAAGCCUUCAGAAACCCUAGUAGCAGCACACGACCCCUAGCGCCGCAGCGGCCAGAAUUUCCUCCGCGCGAGUUGCGCCUUCACACGCGUGUGCACCUCCGUCCAUUGAUCCAGGCUGGCCUCCAAAUCUGCAAACAAACAAAAACAACAGAAAAGGCAACAAAAAUACGAGAAAAAGGGGAUAACAGAUUGGAUUUUGGAGGCAUUUUAUUUUGAGUUUUUCUGUAAUUCUGGCUAUAAAAAGCCAAUACGAAUACUGUAAGAGGGACGGAAGGAAAUAAAAGAAAUACUAAAAAUACAGAGGAAUUAGAAGGUGAAUCGCGUCUUUUUUUUUAUCUAUUCUCUGUUUCUUUACUUUUGAUUGUGUUUUACAAACAAAAUUAGAAAAGGAGGAAGGGGUUUUACCUUUGAAUCUUCGCCGUUGAAGCCCACACUCGCUUCGCUCCAAUCGGGAGCCUGGCGAAGGGCUAAGACCCGAAGCGCCUUUGAACGGUAGGCAAGUGGCGAUUUAGGGCGAAUGAUGAAACCCUAGCAGAGGGUGUUCUGCUUUCUUUUUAUUUAUUUUUCCUGUUGCAAGAAUGGUUUUUAGGAAAAAAAUUGUUUUAAAUAACAGUGGUGAAACGGCGCCGUUUAGGUGGUCAUGACCCGCGCAGUGACCCGACCUAGAGGGGAGGAUCCGCACGUUCUGGCUGAAGGUGAAAUUUGCGCAAUUGGUCCCUCCCUUUUGUAACGCGCUUCAAUCAAAUCUGUUUUGUUUUUUUUAAAUUGGACCACAUAUUUAAUUUUUUGUUUCAAUUUGGCCCAUCGCUGCGCAGCAUUUUGGAAGGCGGGGAUAAUUUCCUUUUUGGUCUUCCACUGUUGUGCUCGCAUUCAAUUUAGUCCUGUCUUCAAAUUUAUUUCAAAUCCACCCCACUUUUUUUCUUUUUAAUUCAAGCUAGUCCAUUUUUAGUUAUUUUUAUUAUUAUUUUUUAUGAUAUUAUCAUUAUACCAUUAUUAUUAUUACAUUAUUUACUAUCAUUAUUACUAUUGUACUUUCUAUACAUAUACAUACGCAUAUUUUAUAUAUAAUAUAUUCAUAUUUUUAACAUAGAUAUAUUUUUUUGAGCUUUUAUAAAUAUGCAUAUAUUUGAUAUAUACAUUUUUUUUAUUUUCCUAAUUUUUAUAUACUUUAUAUUUUAUCUAAUACAUAUACGUUUUAUAAUACACUUUCCGCAUUUUAUAAUUUAAAAUACACAUACGUUUUUUAAUAUUUUUAUGUACAUGUUUUUUAAAAAUCAUUAUAAAUAUUUUUAUUAUUUACAUAUUCUAUUAUUUUAUAUACAUAUUGUACAUAUAUACGUAUUUAAAUAUAUACGAAUGCGAAUUUUCAUGAUUUACCAAUACACUUAUACAUUUUUAUUUUUUAAAUAUAUAUAUACAUAUAUAUACUUUUUAUUUUAUUUUCACGAUUUUCAAAUACAUACCUGCAUUUUUUAUUAGUUUUUGAUUGAUACGUUCUAUUCCAUCUUUAUAUGCAUCAUUGUAUAUGUGUGUUAAAUAUAUGUGUACACAUGUUUGCAAAUUUACUUAUUGUACUUGUAUAUAUAUAUUCUAUAAAUAUUUAUUCAUAUAUGUUUUAAAUUGAGGUAUUUGUUUCAUAUUGUACAUUAACUUUUUAACAUACCUUUUAGGAAAUUUAUAUUUUGGUUUCAUCGAAACAUCAAAAUCAUUUUCUCUUGAUUUAAAGGUUUUUUUUUGAAAUAAAAGCAAUAUUCAAAGUUUGGGAUUUUCGAGGAAAUUGAGCCCUAACGUAUUGGGUUCCGAUUUUCUUUGUUAAUCUUAAAUAGCUGAGAGUAUUCUUUAUUCAAAAUGCAUGAGUAUAAAACUUGUCAUCGAGAAUUCAAUAUGUUGUGUCCUAACGUAUUGGAUGUGACACGUUGAUUUCUCGAGAUAAAGAUUUCUUUUUUAAAAAAAUAAAAUGAUAAAGGAAAUAUUGAAUGUUUGGGAUUUUAGGAAAUUGUGCCCUAACGUAUUGGGCUGCGAUUUCUUCAUAAAUUUUAAACAAUUAAAUAUUUUCUUAAGUUUUAUUACAUGAGUUUUUUUGGACCAACUCGUCUUGAAAAGAAUAAAAUAUUGCGCCCUAACGCAUUGGGUGUGAUAUUUACCUUUUUCAAAAUGAGAAAGUCUUAAUAAAUAAUUUAAUUUAACUAAGGAUCAUAUUUAUUAACUCUCGACAUUAAGACACUAAUUAAUCAAUUUGGUACCAAAUUUUGGGCAUUACGAGGGUGCUAAUCCUUCCUCGUACGUAACUGACCCCCGAACCUGUUUUUCUAAAACUCAUAGACCAAAAUCAUUUUAGGUUAUCCAAUCACACCUCAAUAAAAGAUUGGUGGCGACUCCCAAUUUUUGUUUUUUUUUUAAGUGGAGAACUAAAUUUUUGUUUUUUUUCUAAAAAUAAAAAAAUGGUUUCGACAGCUUGGCGACUCCACUGAGGACCUUUUUAAAAAAAAGAGUCGAGCCACAAAGUUGAUUAAUUCUUCUCUUAUGGUCAAAAAUUUCAUUUUUUUAAAUUCAUGGUAUCCUGUUGCAUUCAUUAUUUCUUGCUUAAUGGAUUUAAGUAUUGUUCGCAUUACACAUUACAUGAGUGGAAUAAUUUUACCCUUUUAAGUGGGAGCGAGAAACUAGUCCUUCGUGAGGUUUUCACCUCCGUGCAGGGUAGUGGACCUCUUCCGGAAUACAUCCGUACCGUACCAAUGUCUUCGUGAGAUUUUCAUCUCCGUGCAGCCAUAGGGAAAUGUAUUCCCCUGAACUGAACUUGGUCCAUAUGAGCCUAUAAUGGGUGACGAUUGAGGAAUCUGCUAGUUCGGGUACCUUUACUUUAGAACCAAAUCGCAUAUAAUGAACCUUAGGAACUUGCCCUAGGUAGAACUAUGCCAAACCCCUAGAGGUAACCCGAGUAGAUACUUUAUUUAUUUGCUUUUACUUUGUACUAACUUGUUUUUUAUGUUGUUUUUAUUAUGAUUGCAUUGCAUUUGCAUCUUAAAAAAGAGGUGUUGAUUCACGUUCAGUUGCUAAAUAGAGAGCUUGUCAUAAGAAAAUGGGUUUCUUGAUAAAGUGGGUGACAAUAUGGUUGUUCAAAUAGGGUCCAAGAACACGUGAUAAAAGAAGGAUGAUAAUUUAAUAGAGGACUACACGACUAUGGCUCCGUUGCCCAAGGAUUUAAGAUGACAAAGAUUAUUUGAGAGCUGCUGAACCUUCUUAAAGAGAAGCCAACGAGUAUCACGAGGAUGAGCGAGAAAUAAGUUACGGCCUGAAUCGAGCAAAAAGGAGAUAGAAGAGACGCUUUUUGAAGAGUUAGUGAGAUUUAUCUUAACGUUCGAAUGAAGAAGAGGAUUGAAUAUCUCCGCCUAUGAGGGCAAAGCCGUAUAAAUAUCCAUUUAUGUAAAGAGAUUUAUUUUCUAGUAAAGUUUUCUAAAUGGAAUUGAAUCAGAAUCAACAUCUUUUUAUGCAUUCAUUACAUGCAUUCACAUUGCAUGACAUCAUAAACAUUAAAGUCUACUAAAAGAGCCUAAUCGAUUAAAAUCAUUCCUCAGUUAAUCUGGAAGCCAACCAGCCUACUAAACACCACUACGAUACUCGAUCAAAAACUAAGGACAUGGAUCAAAUGAUGGAAAGGCUAGAACAGGUCUAAAAGGAAAUGCAGGAGAAGCUUCAACAGCAAAUGAAUGAGCAGCAAAAAAUGAUAGACAAAAUGAUGAAAUCUCAAGGGAGUAUGAUGGCUCAGUUAACUCAAUGGUUGAACAAGGGAGCUGAUAAAGGAAAAGGCUCUGUGCUCAAUGUUGAAGAAGGUGACAAUGAGGGACCAGGCUUGACCCCUCAGCAUGGGCAGACCCAAGUAGAGGUAUAUCCACACAAAUCCUCUGUCACUAUCAAGCCUCAGCAGUUUCAAGUCAGUGCUAUAACACCAAUGAAUUUUCAAGCUAGAUCAGACCCUAACCCCAGAGAUGACCUUGUUAAUCCUGAUAUCCCUGACUUUGACGAAACAGCUGAAAAAGAGAAAAUGAAUGGUGAAUUGCCAAAACAGCUCAAAGAAAAGUAUAAAUGGCUGGAGGAAAAACUUAGAGCGAUGGGAAGUACUGAGGGCUACCAUGGAAUUGACGCUAAAGAAUUGAGCUUGGUUCCGGAUUUAGUACUCCCUUAUAAAUUCAAAAUGCCUGAGUUUGAGAAGUACAAUGGAACUAGUAGCCCCGAAGCUCAUAUUACCAUGUUUUGUAGGCGGAUGACUGGGUAUGUUAAUAAUGACCAACUGCUGAUACAUUGUUUCCAGGAUAGCCUCGCAGGGGCAGCAUCCAAGUGGUACAACCAACUGAGCCGUACCAAGAUUAAUUCAUGGAGAGAUUUAGCACAGGCAUAUAUAAAGCAGUACAAUCAUGUAACUGACAUGGUACCUGAUAGAAUCACUCUACAGAACAUGGAAAAGAAGCCUAGUGAAAGUUUUAGGCAGUACGCACAGAGUUGGAGAGAGGUUGCUGUCCAAGUCUAGCCAUCUCUUCUAGAAAGAGAAAUGACAAUGCUAUUCAUAAAUAUAUUGAAAGCUCCGUUCAUCACACAUAUGUUAGGGAGUGCAACAAAAAGCUUUUCUGACAUAAUCAUGAAUGGUGAAAUGAUUGAAAGCACCAUAAAGAGCGGAAAGAUUGAUGCUGGAGGAAAUAACAGAAGGAAAGCCUCAAAAGAAAAGGAAAAUGAGGUGAACAGCGUGAAUACGUACGGAAAAUCGAUUGCUAAUCAACAGGAUUCAUCAAGGCAAGAAUUAGGUGUGAAGCCAGGUACUGAAAAGCUCCAGUUCACGCCUAUUCCAAUGUCGUACAAGGAGCUGUAUCAAAGCUUAUUCAAUGCGCAUGUUGUUUCUCCUUUACAUGUGAAGCCUCCAUAGCCCCCGUAUCCCAAAUGGUAUGAUGCAAGUGCACAAUGUGAUUAUCAUGUAGGAAUUACGGGGCAUUCUAUAGAAAAUUGCAUUACCUUUGAAAAAGUGGUUGAAAGGCUUAUCAGUAUGGGCGUUGUCAAAUUUGGCGAUUCAUCUAGUGUAGAAAAUCUGCUACCCAAUCACAUUUGAUAAUGGGGGUGAAUGAGAUGUAUGAAGAAAUGUUGAGAGGCGUUCACAUUAAUGCCAUUUUUGAAGACACAAUUUACAAGGGUCCUUGGAGAUAUUCGCCCUUAUCAACUUAGAGGUGUCCUAAGUAAUUGAACUGCGGAAGAAAUCUCUGUAGUUUUUAGAGCUUAUUUAGAGUAAUGUUCAGAACAAUUUUGUUGUUUUUAGCCUAAAAAUGAUAAAAAUUCCUUUGCGAAAUAGGCUCAUGUCUAAACGUCAUUAUUCUAAUAAAAUACAUCUUUGCAUUCAUUUUUGAGCCAAUAUUUUUUCAUUCUUUUUGAAAUAAUUAUUCUUUCAUUCUUUUGGAUUUUCUUCCACAUCAUUCUUUCAUUCAUAAUUAUAUUGUACAAAUAAUUAUUCGUAAAUUCACACAUUCUUUUUAUAUAUUCUUUUGCGCUUACUAUGGGUCCCCAAAUAUCAAUAACAUGAGUGACGCUGCUACUGACUCAGAAUCUUCUUCUGAGCGAGACAUGUGUUUAGAGGGAUCUCAUGACUUUGAAGAUGACAUAGAUCGUAGCCUAUUUCUGUACCUGUUAAGGAUGGUAGAACAAGUCGAGAAACGGAUCUUACCCUACAAAGAAUCACUGGGAUACAUAACUUCUCUUUAUGUGGGGCAUGAAGGUUAUUUGGUCAAUCUAGCCAAAAGAGUCUGACGAUCAUCGAUUCAUCUUUGUGGUCAUCAAUUACUUUACUAAAUGGGUGGAAGCUGCUUCAUAUGUCAAUGUCACAAAGUCGACAGUUAGCAAAUUCGUGAAGAAUCAGUAUGGAACGCCAAAAGGAUCACAUCUGACAAUGUACUAAAUUUGAACAACAGCACAAUAUCAAAAGUUUGCAAUCUGUUCAUGAUUAAUGCCAUAUCGCCAAAAAAAAAUCUAUACCGGGGCAAAGUUUUUCUCUUGGGUCCAUCGCGGUUUUGUCUAUUAAAGAUAAGAUUCUUUCUCUCUGAGUUUUUGGAUCCAAUUCCGAUUGAAGAUGAAUGUUCAAAGUUAUCCAUCAUAAUCAAAUGCGCCAAAAGCAAAUGAUGCGAGCUCACAAAAAGGUCCGCUUUAGAGAAUUCCUCGAGAGGGACCUGGUAUUGAAGAAGACCCUUCCCAUGCAAAAAGAACUUUAUCCCAAGCUGGGAAGGACCUUAUGUAGAAGGCCUUAUUUAGAAAAGUGUCAAUUUUGAUCAGAAGGGAUAACAAGGGCAUGCCUAAUCCUAUGAGUUCAGAUUAAAUCAAAAAAUAUUUCAAAAUAAUAGCAAAGAAAAAGAAAAAAACAAAGAAAAAGAAAAAAGGAGAGGACAAGGUGAAAAUCUGCAAAAGACGCCUUGAGACCAAAGGUGGAUUUGAGUUAAAAACCCGAAAAGGGCGGCUCAAAUAUUGAUCAGAAUGGGGCAUGAAGUGAUGAGAGCAACUUAAAUUUUGAUCAGAUUGGGGCAUAUGAUGAUAUUGCUAUACUUGAACCAAUAGGAAAGGGUAGGCGACAUCUUGGGGCAUCGACAAAGCGCUGUAGAUCUCCUAAACUCAUGUCAAACUCAGAAUGGUCUUCAAAAAAUUUGUACAGAGAAGCUCAAGCUACGAUAUCUGGGGCACCCAAUUUUCAAACUAUUUAUGUUGAAUUUGUUGUUAUGGGAAUACUUCAUUCUUUUCCAAGAUACACAUUCCCAAUCAAUUUCUUUGUUAUCCUUCUUUACUAUUUUUGAUAAUUUAUUCCUUUUGAGCUAUGCUCAGAACUAACUUUAUUCUUAUCCAUUGUUAUGACAUUUUUGCAAGCAUGUUGCAUUGGAAUAAUGAUUAAUGGACUAAUAAAACUUCCACAAGGGAGGUUUUGCAUAUUACUCUAGAAGUUUCUAAAUAAUACAGGAACCUGAAACAGGACUAUUGUUUAGAAAGCACCAAGUUUAAAGGUUGGAAAUCUGAGAAGGAAGAGUCUAAAUUAAGACUUUCUCUUGGGAUUUUAUUGUCAAAAACAUUGAUUGAACAACAUGACAAGAUGUUAGUUUGGUGACAAAGCUUAAAUGAAGAAGCAAGUAAUGAUCACCAGACAAUAGGAAGAGGUUACCUCAGAGAAGAGAGUCUUUAUUUGAGCAUGAGUCUUUGGUACAACGCCUUGGGAAUGGUGUAAAGGACCAGAAAGAUUUAGAUCCUGUAUCCUUGAAUUGUUAUAGGAAAUGAUUAAGGAAAAGCCACAUAUUUUUACCAUUGGAUUACAGUGGGAGAAUGAUGGUACAAAUUUUGCACCCCAAUGGAUUAAACUUGGAGGUUCACAGUGAGGGGCAACCUAGCUAAAUGUUUCUUCAGAAAAGCCAGCCAAGUAAGAAGGUGUUGUAGCACGUCAGUCACAAAGCCUUAAUAAACUUCGAGUAAUGACAACCUAAGCGGGAUCAUUCUCGAAAAAAAUAAAAUUUUGCAUUCAUGCAAACACCAUUCACACAUGUCUAGUUAGGAGUAUUUGAUGCUUUUUAUCAUGCCAUCCUAAUCAUUAGGCAUAAUUAGGUUCAUUAUACAGGUCAUGUUCCCCAAAGAACAAAUCAGUGAAAAUAGCAGAUCUUACCUUCCUGCAUCGACAGCAAAGUAGAUCAAAAACAAAGCUUUGCCUUCCUCAGUUGUAGUGGAGCAGGUUAAAGAUAGCAGAUCUUGCCUUCCUGCAUUGACAGUGGAGUAGAUCGAAGAUGGAGGAUUUUACCUCCCUGUGGUUAUAGUGGAGUACAUUGAAGCCAGUAAUUCUACUUCCCUGGGAAACAGUAGAAUAGAUUGAAGAUUUCAGAUCUUAUCUCCCUAAGCAGUAGUGGAGCAGAUCGAAGAUGGUGGAUUUUACCUCCCUAUGGUUACAGCGGAGUACAUUGAAGCCAGUAAUUCUAUUUCCCUGGGCAACAGUGGAAUAGAUUGAAGAUUUCAGAUCUUAUCUCCCUAAGCAGUAGUGGAGCAGAUCGAAGAUGGUGGAUUUUAGCUCCCUGUGGUUACAGUGGAGUACAUUAAAGCCAGUAAUUCUACUUCCCUGGGCAACAGUGUAAUAGAUUGAAGAUUUCAGAUCUUAUCUCCCUAAGUAGUAGUGGAGCAGAUCGAAGAUGGCAGAUUUUACCUCCCUGUGGUUACAGUGGAGUACAUUGAAGCCAGUAAUUCUACUUCCCUGGGCAAGAGUGGAAUAGAUUGAAGAUUUCAGAUCUUAUCUCCCUAAACAGUAGCAGAGCAGAUCGAAGAUGGCAGAUUUUACCUCCCUGUGGUUACAGUGGAGUACAUUGAAGCCAGUAAUUCUACUUCCCUGGGCAACAGUGGAAUAGAUUGAAGAUUUCAGAUCUUAUCUCCCUAAGCAGUAGCGGAGCAGAUCGAAGAUGGCAGAUUUUACCUCCCUGUGGUUACACUGGAGUACAUUGAAGCCAGUAAUUCUACUUCCUUGGGCAACAGUGGAAUAGAUUGAAGAUUUCAGAUCUUAUCUCCCUAAGCAGUAGCGGAGUAGAUCAAAGAUGGUAGAUUUUACCUCCCUGUGGUUAUAGUGGAGUACAUUAAAGCCAGUAAUUCUACUUCCCUGGACAAUAGUGGAAUAGAUUGAAGAUUUCAGAUCUUAUCUCCCAAGAAAUAGCGGAGCAGAUCAAAGAUGGUAGAUUUUACCUCCCUGUGGUUACAGCGGAGUACAUAGAAGCCAGUAAUUCUACUUCACUGGGCAAUAGUGGAAUAGAUUGAAGAUUGUGAAUCCUAUCUCCCUUGUCAAUAGUGGAAUAGGUUGAAGAUUGAGAAUCCUAUCUCCCUGGUCAGCAGUGGAAUAGGUUGAAAGUAAACAAAUCCUAUCUCCCUAAAGUUAUAGUGGAGCGGAUUAAAAUGAUGGAUCUUAUCUCUUUGAAAUUACAGUAGAGCAGAUCGCAUCAAAUCCAUCUUUAUGCUGCAGUAGAUCAAGUUGAAGCUAUAAGUCUUAUCUCCCUGAAUUUGCAGUGGAGCAGAUUAAAAAUAGCAAAUUUUGAGAAACUACAAUGUACAAAUCCUAUCUCCUUGACAUUGCAGUGGAGUAGAAGAUGCAAUAGGAGAGAAUGAGGCUACUUGAAGAAGAAGAGUACCAAGAUCCAGCACAACCGGGCAAAAUUGAGCAUUUUUAAGUCUUUGCUCUGUUCCCACUAUGCGACAACGAGCAAAGAGGGGCAGCUGUAAUAGGCCCAAAUUGCCCGGGCCCGCAUGUAUAAACCAAAUAAAAUAAUAAAUAAAGGCCAACAAUUCCAAAGUCCAUUUACAUUUGUCCAAAAGACCCAAAUUACAUCAGCCCAAAUACAAUGUAACCCAAAACAAGCCUUCAGAAACCCUAGUAGCAGCACACGACCCCUAGCGCCGCAGCGGCCAGAAUUUCCUCUGCGGGAGUUGGCCUUCACGCGCGUGUGCACCUCCGUCCGUUGCUCCAGGCUGGCCUCCAAAUCUGCAAACAAACAGAAACAGCAGAAAAAGGCAACAAAAAUACGAGAAAAGGGGGAUAACAGAUUGGAUUUUGGAGGCAUUUUAUUUUGAUUUUUUCUGUAAUUCUGGCUAUAAAAAGCCAAUACGAAUAUUGUAAGAGGGACCGAAGGAAAUAAAAGAAAUACUGAAAAUACAGAGGAAUUGGAAGGUGAAUCGCGUCUUUUUUUGAUCUAAUCUCUGUUUCUUUACUUUUGAUUAUGUUUUACAAACAAAAUUAGAAAAUGAGGAAGGGGUUUUACCUUUGAAGCUUCGCCGUUGAAGCCCACACUCGCUUCGCUCCAAUUAGGAGCCUGGUGAAGGGCUGAGACCCGAAGAGCCUUUGAACGGCAGGCAAGUGGCGAUUUAGGGCGAAUAAUGAAACCCUAGCAGAGGGUGUUCUGCUUUCUUUUUAUUUUUAUUUCCUGCUGCAAAAAUGGUUCUUAGGAAGAAAAUCGUUUUAAAUAACAGUGGUGAAACGGCGCCGUUUAGGUGGUCAUGACCCGCGCGGUGACCUGACCCGGAGGGGAGGAUCCGCGCGUUCUGGCUGAAGGGGAAAUUUGCGCAAUUGGUCCCUCCCUUUUGUAACGCGCUUCAAUCAAACCUGUUUUGUUUUUUUUAAAUUGGACCGCAUAUUUAAUUUUUUGUUUCAAUUUGGCCCAUCGCUGCACAGCAUUUUGGAAGGCGGGGAUAAUUUCCUUUUGGUCCUCCACUGUUGUGCUCGCAUUCAAUUUAGUCCUGUCUUCAAAUUUAUUUCAAAUCCGCCCCACUUUUUUCGUUUUAAUUCAAUUUAGUCCAUUUUUAGUUAUUUUUAUUAUUAUUUUUUUAUGAUAUUGUCAUUAUACCAUUAUUAUUAUUACAUUAUUUACUAUCAUUAUUACUAUUGUACUUUCUAUACAUAUACAUACGCAUAUUUUAUAUAUAAUAUAUUCAUAUUUUUAACAUAGAUAUAUUUUUUUGAGCUUUUAUAAAUAUGCAUAUAUUUUAUAUAUACAUAUUUUUUUUAUUUUCCUAAUUUUUAUAUACUUUAUAUUUUAUCUAAUACAUAUACGUUUUAUAAUACACUUUCCGCAUUUUAUAAUUUAAAAUACACAUACGUUUUUUAAUAUUUUUAUGUACAUGUUUUUUAAAAAUCAUUAUAAAUAUUUUUAUUAUUUACAUAUUCUAUUAUUUUAUAUACAUAUUGUACAUAUAUACGUAUUUAAAUAUAUACGAAUGCAAAUUUUCAUGAUUUACCAAUACACUUAUACAUUUUUAUUUUUUAAAUAUAUAUAUACAUAUAUAUACUUUUUAUUUUAUUUUCACGAUUUUCAAAUACAUACCUGCAUUUUUUAUUAGUUUUUGAUUGAUAUGUUCCAUUCCAUCUUUAUAUGCAUCAUUGUAUAUGUGUGUUAAAUAUAUGUGUACACAUGUAUGCAAAUUUACUUACUGUACUUGUAUAUGUAUAUUCUGUAAAUAUUUAUUCAUAUAUGUUUUAAAUUGAGGUAUUUGUUUCAUAUUGUACAUUAACUUUUUAACAUACCUUUUAGGAAAUUUAUAUUUUGGUUUCAUCGAAACAUCAAAAUCAUUUAUCUUGAUUUAAAGGUUUUUUUUGAAAUAAAAGCAAUAUUCAAAGUUUGGGAUUUUCGAGGAAAUUGAGCCCUAACGUAUUGGGUUCCGAUUUUCUUUGUUAAUCUUAAAUAGCUGAGAGUAUUCUUUAUUCAAAAUGCAUGAGUAUAAAACUUGUCAUCGGGAAUUCAAUAUGUUGUGUCCUAACGUAUUGGAUGUGACACGUUGAUUUCUCGAGAUAAAGAUUUCUUUUUAAAAAAAAUAAAAUGAUAAAGGAAAUAUUGAAUGUUUGGGAUUUUAGGAAAUUGUGCCCUAACGUAUUGGGCCGCGAUUUCUUCAUAAAUUUUAAAAAAUUAAAUAUUUUCUUAAGUUUUAUUACACAAGUUUUUUUGGACCAACUCGUCUUGAAAAUAAUAAAAUAUUGUGCCCUAACGCAUUGGGUGUGAUAUUUUCCUUUUUCAAAAUGAGAAAGUCUUAAUAAAUAAUUUAAUUUAACUAAGGAUCAUAUUUAUUAACUCUCGACAUUAAGACACUAAUUAAUCAAUUUGGUAUCAAAUUUUGGGCAUUACGAGGGUGCUAAUCCUUCCUCGUACGUAACUGACUCCCAAACCUAUUUUUCUAAAACUCGUAGUCCAAAAUCAAUUUAGGUGAUCCAAUCACACCUCAAUAAAAGAUUGGUGGCGACUCCCAAUUUUUGUUUUUUUAAGUCGACAACUAAAUUUUUAUUUUUUUCCAAAAAAAAAAAUUGUUUAAACAAAUCCUUUACCCCAGACUCUAAAAAACAUCACUUACCAGAAAAUACUGGUACAAACAAUUCUUAUCAAUGCACAGUACAUUUGGAACAUAUCAUAAAAGUACCUGUAUCAUUGUCAGAUGCAUCACGGCUCGCUUGAUACCUAGUUGCAUAUCCCCAUCUCGGAUUUUGUUUCUAUGCCGAAGCUUGUACCUAACUAAAAUAGUGUCGUGAGUAAUCCCAAACUCGAUACUCAACAGACCCACAUAUGAAACACGCUCCCAUUUUCCUCCAACAAUCGUCCGAAUGGUGCCUAUCACAGUAAGUACAAAUCAGAACCUCAACCGCAUUCACAAUUGCCUCACCCCGUUGAAGCCUGUCUAUUUUAGCCCGUUUCCUUGGUCAUGGAUUCAAGUAAAUAGAACCAUCACUCAUCUUAUUUCGCACUUUAUUCAUUACUUAUUCUCUCCCUCUGAGCAAUUACUCUCUACCGCUAACUUGACUUGAUACGCUUGAGGUCACUCAAUCACAGACUCUUGUCCCAUAUAUCCAAAUUGAGUUCCAUCGACCCUUUGCAAAUCUCUAAACACCUCUUGGAACACUGAAACAUCCCCUACUUCUAAACUGCCCUCAGAUUUGGGCGUCAUAGUAAACUUAUUUAUUUUCAAAUUGGGCUUACUGCCCUGAGAAGAGAACUUGGAUAGAGUCACCCGGCUAUGUCCACCACGCCCUCGCACAUCAUGACCUCGAGUACUUAUUAUACUAAUCUAGAGUUUGAGAAAUUUUAUGAAUUAGUUUAGGUUUAUUAAAAAUCAUAAGUCUAGAGUUUUAUCAAAGUUUCUUACAUAAUUACCAUAGUCUUUAGCUAGAGUAGAGUAAUCCUAGCACUAAAGUUUUGCUAGUUUGUCUAGUAUAGCUAAAGUAAAGAUACUUACAGGAUUGACGAUGUAGUUUUGGAUUCUCUUUUUAUAGAAUCAAAUAUAAAAAUAAUCAAAAUCUAGAUACCCAUUUUAGAAACCCAAAGUAUCAAAAUUAAUCAGAAAUUCAAUUUAUUUAAAGCAUAUUUAAUGGAGAUUUUUGAACCCAAAAAUCACAGCUCGAGUUUUGUUACCUUGCUCUGAUACCAGUAAAUGUAACAUCCCAAACUUGGCCUAGACGUUAUGGCCAAAUCUGGAAGGUUACAUCUGUACGAAAAAAAUUAUUUUUCCAAAGUGUGUUUUGUUACGAAAUUGAAAACCAAAGUUUAUGUAAGUUCGUCAUGAUUCCCCGAUAGGAAAAUUUGUAAAUUGUCAAAACGUAAAUGUGAACAUAUUAAUUAUUAACUUAAAAAAAACCUAGCCUUAUACAAUCAAAAUGCUAAAAUCAUUUGCUUUGUAAAACUUGUAAUUUUGACUAAAAUUUUUGCAACGACAAUUCCAAACUAAUAUUCAUAAAUUGUAAUUUCGUCAAGUAAAAAAGUUUUAUUUAGCUGAUUGGGCAUAUUUUAAAUUUACGUUAUUAAAUUUUGUAAAAUCUCAAUUCAUAUUUUUGUGGCAAAAAAAUCUUGGCUCGUAUAAUUUUGAAAACUCAACAUUGAUUGUUGAGUAACACAAAACAUACUGAACAAAAAACUUUAACUAAGCCAAAGAAACCCAAAGCAAAAUUAAAUUUGAGAAAUUAAACCAAAACCAAAAGUCCAGUAAAUCCAUUUAUUAACCAGAGUAAACCAUUUAAUUAGAGAAUCAAUUCGAGCUUCCGCACACUGCCCGAUUCUAACUUAUCGAUUAUCUAAAACAUCAGAAAUAAAACAAAUGGGUGAGCUAUAAAGCUUAGUGCAUAACUAAAACUCAAGCCGAGAUCACACACAAUACAAUAUACAAAUCAUAAAAUCAUAGGAAAUUUCAUAACAAUCAGUCAAACAGAAUUGAGCAUACAUGAUUAUGCCAAUGCGGUAGUUUUCAAAAAAUCAUAAUGCAAAUUUUUUCAGAAAACAUCCUACCCAACACCACUACACACCCGAAUAUAGUUCCCCAGAACUCGUCCAUCUAAAAACACACCAAUUAAGUCAUCUCAGGUUGCCCGAAAACGAUGACCUACCACCUCGAGUUAGUCGGCAAUGAUGACUUAUCAAUAUGCAGUUAAACUACCAUAUCAUAUAUUUGUGGUCAAGUGAUUGUAUUGCGGCUUAGCUGCCAGAUCAAAGGUUCCUAGUGUAGUCCCUAACAUUAUCAGGUGUUCUCGGCUCAGUCCUUUGGACGUUAAACAAAUAGAUUUGGAUAUCCAAUUAAUCAUAAAUUGCCAGGUGGUAUAUGCUGAAGUCACGAUAACAUCAUCAUCAAGAAAAAGCCAAAAAAAGCUUUAAAAAAUAUCAUAAAAUUCAAAUAAACUUAUAUAAAAUUAACUACAUUAUAAAUAUAUAAUUGUUCAAAAAAAUAAAAAUUCUUAUUUUUUUUUAAAUUUGUAAAAAAUAAUAAAAUUAUUAGAAAUUGUUAAAUAUUGUAAAACCAUUAUAAAAAUUAUUAGAAUCAUAAAAGACGGUAAAAAAUAAAAAGUUAAAAUACUAGUAAAAAUUGUCUAACUUGAAAUAAAGUAUACAUUUGGUAAUCAAAUUUAAAAUAUGGAAAAUUUGAUAUUAAAAAUGUAUAUAGUAAUACAAUCAAUUUUUAUAAAAAAAUAUUUUAAAAUAUUUUAAUAAAAAUCGAAUAAAUUUUAUAUCAAUUUUUUAAUAUUUUAAAAUACAUCAAUUUUUAGUACUUUACCAACGUUACUGGCAGCAAGUUUUUUUGACUCGAGUCCUUAUUUUUUGUCUUAAGUAGCUUCCUGCAUCUACCAUUUUGCACAUGGUUUUUCUAUUUUAUACCAAAGCUCUUUAGAAUAGUUAAACAUUCGACAAUAGUUCUUAAGAUAUUAGUUUAGAGACAAAUAAUUAUCUUGAGAUAGUAAAAAAAAUGAAAUAAUUAAAUAUAUUAUUUACUAGAAAUAAUAUUAUUUUUCAUUAUUUAAAUUAUUUGAGAAAAAAUUUAUUCAAGUUUAUCACGUAAAAGAUCUACCAAUUAUAAAUUCUGAUUAGUUGAACCAUAAGACAAUUGUUCUAGGUAGUAUCCUUCCAAGAGACAAUUAUCACAUGUUUAAACUCUAGUCAAUGUGAUUUAUAAAAUUUUAAAAAUAUUAAAAUAUCUAAUAUAUUUUUGAAAUUUAUGUAAUUUUUUAUAUUUUACAUAGUUUUUUUUGUAUUUUUUAAUUUUAGAUUUUUUCUAUUUUUAAAUAAUUUUGAUAAUUUUGUAAUUUUUCUUUUAUAAUUUUUGUCAUUUUUGAAGAUUUUUAAGGGUUUUUGUUGAUAAUGUCAUUAUGAUAUCAUCGUACGACAUGUGGUAGUAUAUGAUUGGUUGAAUAUCCCAAUGAAUUUUUUAUUGUCCAAUGAACUAAACUGAAAAUGUUUAAUAACAUUAGGGGCUGAAGUGGAUAAAAAUAUUUUAAAGACUAAAGUUAAAAAAGUGAUAUACUUGAGGGACACAGGAUCAACAUUUUCUAAAAGAUGGAAGUGUUUUUCAAUUUUUAAGGGAAUAGAAUUUUUUUGAGUGAAUAUAGAUUUGUGAGGGAGUAGUAAUAUUAUUAUUAGAGACAAGGCAUUUGAUUUUUAUAUAACUUUUUUAAUUAAGUCAAUAUCACUCAUUGAGUAAAACCCAACAUAUUAAGCACAUUAUUAUACUAAUUUAGAUUAAUAGGAAUGAUCAAAUUUACAAUUAAGGAUUAUAAAUUUAUUUAAUUCCAAUCUUCUACCUUUUUUUUAAGUUAUAAGAAUGGUUUUGCCUUAUAUUUUCUCCAAAUUGAGAUUUAAUUUAUAAUUUUAAUUUUGAUAUAAUUUAGUUUCUCAAUUUUUAUAAUACAAUUAAUUAGUUUAAAUACUUUAUUUUAAUCAAAAUGAUUAUAUUAAUUUUAAAGCAUUGUUAUCACUAUUAAAAUUCUUUACUAACAAUUAUUUAAAAUUAAGGUCUAUUGCUUUUGUUUUAGCUUACAUAUAGAUGUUUACAAUAUAAAAUUCUUUGUAAUUUUCAAUACAUAUUGCUUAAAUAAAUAGAAAAAGGAGUUUUAAUAAUGCACAACCAAAUAAUUUUUAUUGAUGUUAUAUUAUUUUGAUUUCUUAGACCUGUAUAUAGGGAAAAUAAAGUACUAUUGCCAUUUAAUCACUUUAAAACAAUUUUAAUGGGCUCUAGUCAUGCAAGAUUACCAUUAAAUUGAAUACUCAUAUAGAAGGAUUUAAUAUUUUUGUUUCUCAAAUCACAACUAAUAGUUAUUCAUAAUUUCUUAUUCAGUGUCAUUUUUAAGAUUGAUUAGAUGACAAAUUUUCAUGCCAAAGUUUUAUUUUUAUUUGAUUUAAAGUUUUACAAUAUUUAAAAAAUUAUAUAUUUUGUAAAUUUGAUAUUCAAUCAAUUUUAGAUGAUUUCAACCCAAGGCCUGAGCUAAGAAUAGUUUUAGUUUGGAGUACAAUAUAUAUACUAAAAGAUGCAAUUUUUACAAAUAACUUACAAAUCUAUGAUUAAAUCAAAUACUGGUAUGAAAUGGUUUAAUUAUUUGAUCAUAUUUUUCCAUGCUAAAAUUUUAUUUUUAUUUGAUUUAAAAUUUUACAAACUUUAUAUUGUGAAUUUGGUGUGCAAUGAAUAUGUGUACUAAAAGAUGUAAUUUUACAGGUAAUUUAUCACCCAUCACCAGUGCUGCAAAGCUUGAGAUUCUUUUAUUGUGGGGAAAUAAACUUAGCGGAAACAUUCCCAACUCUAUCUCCAAUGCUUCCAUGCUUAAGAAACUAGACUUGGCAGAUAAUUUAUUCUGUGGCCACAUCCCUAAAACGCUUGACAACUUAAGACACCUUGAAUGGUUCCAAAUUUCAAAUAAUAAUUUGAUCAGAGGACCUGCUACUGAUCAUGAGUGGACCUUUCUUUCUUCUUUGGCAAAUUGCAAGCAUUUGAGAAUAAUAGAUGUUUCAAGAAAUCCAUUGAGUGACGUUCUUCCAACUUAUAUCGGGAACUUUUCAAAAUCCCUUCAAUACUUUUAUGCCUCAAUUGUGAGAUUACAGACAAUAUUCCUAUGUAAAUAGGUAGCUUAAGCAACCUAUUGCUUUUACAACUUGGCUAUAAUAAAUUAAGCGGAUUUAUUCCAACACCAGUAGGAGGACUGCGAAUUUGCAAGGCUUACAACUUUCCUCUAAUAAAUUAGAGGGGCCUAUAUCAGAAAGCCUUUGUGGUUUGGAGAGAUUAUACUACUUGUAUUUAGGGCUGAUGGAUCCAUACCGUCUUGUUUGGGUAAUAUUUCUUCUUUGAGAUAUCUUUACUUAGAUUCCAACACACUGAGUUCUACAAUACCCUCAACUUUGUGGAAUCUUAAAGAUAUCUUAGAAAUAGAUUUAUCAUCAAACCAUCUUUACAAUUCACAUGCCAUUGAUGUUGGAGAUUUCAAAAGUCUACUAAAACUAAAUUUAUCAAGAAAUUUUAUCACUGGCGAUAUCUUAUCCACAUAUAGGGGUCUUCAAACUUUGAUUUCAAUAGAUUUAUUAAAUAAAAUACUACAUGGUCAUAUCCCUAGAUCAUUAGGUGGUUUGAUUAGUUUGGAAUUCUUGAAUUUAUGCAAUAACAAUCUCUCUGGAGCCAUUCCCAAAUCUUUGGAAAAGCUUUUAGAUCUAAAGUAUUUUAUUGUGUCUUUCAAUAGACUUGAAAGGGAAAUUCCCACCGAAGGAUGUUUUUCAAACUUUUCUAGCACAUCAUUCAUGAAGAAUUUUGCACUUUGUGGUCCACCUAGAUUGCUAGUCCCACCUUGAAAAAAUGACAUCCAAGAAAACUCCCAAAUGAAUAUAUUGCAUGCUUUAAGGUAUGGUUUACCAACAAUUGGUAUUGUCGCAGUGCUAAUACUCUUAACUAUUAUGUAUAGAAGAUGCCAAAGUAGGAGUACAACUCUACCAAUUCAGGAUGAUUUGUUGUCUUUGAAAACGUUGAGAAGAAUUUCACAUGCUGAACUUUCACAAGCAACUAAUGGAUUUGAGGAAAACAAUAUGCUUGGUUCAAGGAGUUUUGGAUAUGUAUAUAAAGAGAGAUUUUCAGAUGGAAUGGAAGUUGCAAUAAAAGUUUUCAAUUUGCAAACAGAAGAAGCAUUUAGGAGUUUUUACAUUGAUUGUGAUGCUAUGCGUAAUAUAGAUCAUCGUAAUAUUGUGAAGGUCACUACUUGCUGCUCAAGUGUUGACUUCAAAGCCUUGGUGCUUGAUUACAUGUCUAAUGGAAAUAUUGAGAAAUGGUUAUAUUAUUAAAACUAUUUCCUUGAUAUCAUACAAAGGGUUGACAUAAUGAUAGACGUUGCGGCAGCUAUAGAACAUCUCCACAACGGGCAUCCAACACCUAUAAUUCAUUGUGACUUAAAACCAAGCAAUAUUUUACUAGAUGAAGACAUAGUUGCACAUGUGGGAGAUUUUGGCGUUGCCAAAUUGUUGGGAGAAUGUGAUGUAAUGAAGCAGACCAUGACUCUUGCAACAAUCGGGUAUAUGGCACUAGGUGAAUUCUUUUAUUUUUGUAUGAUUAUUUUUCUAAUAUGCAUUUUAUAUUUUGUUUCAUGUGUAUGUGGAUAUAUAUUUGAAUAAUCAUUUUAGAAAUAACUAAAGAUUAAUGAUGCACUAAUUUUACUUGAAAUGCAAAAUUUGGAUCAACGGGAAUUGUUUCUAUAAAAUGUGACGUCUAUAGUUAUGAGAUUGUCCUUAUACAAACUUUCACAAAGAAAAAGUCAACUGAUAAUCUUUUUGCUGAAGAAGUGACUAUAAAGCAUUGGAUGGAAAGUUCAUUGCCAAAGGAGCAUGAAAAUCCCCAAAACCUAAAUUCUUUCCUUCUAGCAAUGAAGAGAUGGUGAGGGGAAGGGGACAAAAUCACGUCAAACGAAAAGAAAAAGAAAAGAAAAAGAACAAAAUUAAAUUUGACGUGAAAAUUGUUUUAAUACUUUUAAUUUGAGUUGGAAAAGGUUAAUGACGUGGCAUAAAAUAAUUGGAUAGGACCAUAUUUGAGGUAGUGGGAAAGGUCCAUGAAACAAAUUUUCUAUGUUAUCAAAUAUAUGAAUGAUAGUUAUUGGGAUCAAACUAAUGAUUUUGAGGAUGAUAAUGGUUAAUUUGGUGCUGAGGGUGGAAAAGAAACAAAUAAUUCAUUAUAUGUAAUAUAAUUAUGCAAUUCAAGUAAUAUAUAGUAAGUUUCAUACAAGGUUCAAAGGCAAUUAAAUGACUUGUAAGUUUGUUGAAUUUCUUUAAAACGCCCAAAGGCAAUUGAACAUUUACAAAAUAGUCUCUAAAUACUAUAGACACAAAUCAAAUCCAUGGGAGCAUUACAGUUGGUUAAAUUGAUUAAAUUGAGUAUUGGCAGAAAUUCCAUCAUAGGAAAUAUUGGCAAAAUCGUGUAUUGAAUUAGAAAAACAACAUAAUCCAUGAAACAUAGAUAGCCCAAUACAAAUGUCAUCGAGACAAAAAGUCUUUUUGUUUUAUAGCACAUGAUAGUAAAGCAUGCGAAGUUUCAUUUUCUUAUUGGCCUUCUUUAGUUUUCCUUGAUCAUCAACCACUAGCCAAAAACACAAUUAGAUUAGAUUAUAAAUGAAAUAUUCAAUUAUGAUAAAAUUAAAUAGAAAACGCCCUAAAUAACUCUAAAUAAAUGAAAAGUAGCAAAUUACCUGGUGAGACAAACUAGCUCAAUUAAAACCAUUGUGUUAGACUUGUCUAUGCAUUAAACAAUCUAAAAGGAAAUGAAGAAAAAGACUCAGAAAACACUUGAAAAUUGACAAAAUUUAUAUUCCAUUGACUGGUUAAACUAUGAUCACCCAUAACAGACCUUGUAUUUGAGUUUUUGUUGAGGGAGAUCAAGUCCUUCAAAAUAUGUCUUCUGAGUGCUGUUUGCUAGGUAAUCGCUGCUACCCUUAACAACUAAAGAUAUUAAUGUCCCCAUGUCAAGAUUUUAUCUCAGCCUUUACGGAAUAAUCAUGGAGAUUACAAGUGCAAGGAUUCAAACCACCAACCAAUGCAUAUGUAGCAUUUACCUUGGAUCCAUCUCCAUGAACCCACAAGGUUCUUCGUGGAAUCAAGAGACAAAACCCCAACACAAGAAUAAUACCAUCUAUUGAGGGUCCGUUAACACAACAAAUGAAAUUCAUACAUUUUUUUAAUCAAAGUAAAUAUCAUAUAUAAUUGGGGGAAAGCAACAAUAAAAUCCUUAGCAAAAGAUUAAAACACAGUUAUAUCGUAAAUGACAUAAGAAACCAAGAAAAUCCAAUCUAACAAAGAAAAUAACUUGAUACUCCAAAGCUACCAUAUACCGUAAUUCAUGGGAAGGUCUGAUGCUUAGUUUAUUGGUUUCCAUCUUGAUUUUGCAAAAGAUGUUUGAAUUCUGAAGAGAGCAAAUGAUUGAGCGAAAGAAAAAAAAAUAAGAAAAAAAAAUGAUUGAGCAAAUGAUUUUGCAGUCUCCUCGGUAGUGGUAUAAAAAUUUUGACUCCUUCAUGUUGAGUACUAUUUUUUCUCGAAUUAAGUAUGACAGUUAUGUUUACCUAUAAUGUCUUGAUGGUGGUUCUUUUAUAUAUUUGUUUCUUUAUGUUGAUGAUAUGUUAAUUGCAACUAAAAAUCCAUUUGAAAUUGAUCGUUUUAGAUCAUGCUUAGCUCUAAGUUCGAUAUAAAGGAUUUACGUGCAGCAAAGAAAAUUUUGGGGAUGGAAAAUUUGAGAGAUAGACAUUUUGGGAAAUUAUUUUUAUCGCAAUAAAAGUACAUCAUGAAGAUACCCAAGUGAUUCGAGAUGCAAGAUUAAAAACUGGUAAGUAAACCUUUAACUGCACACUUUAAACUCUCAAUUUCAGAUUCCCCACAGCAUGAAGAAGAUGAAAGGUACAUGUCAAAAGUACCUUAUUCAAGCACAGUUAGGAGUUUGAUGUAUGCAAUGGUAUGCACUCGUUCCAAUAUUUCAUAUUUUGUUAGUGUUGUUAGUCGAUACAUGGCCAAUCUCAGUACACUGACAUGUAGUUAACUAGAUUUUUAAAUAUUUGUGGGGUACUUCUAACAUGUGCUUAGAUUUCGAAAGAAAUCAAAAGGGUUUAGUCGGAUAUAUUGAUUCAGAUCAUGCAAGAGACUUAGAUCGAAAAAGGUCUCUCAUAAGUUACCUAUUUACUUUUGGGAAUUGUGUUGUUAGUUGGAAAGCUACACUACAAUCUAUAGUGGCUUUGUUAACCAUCGAAGUAGAAUACAUGGAAAUUAUUGAAUCAGUAAAAGAAGCAAUUUGGUUAAAUGACCUAUUUAAUGAACUAGUAAGUUAAAAAGGGGCAACUGUCGUAUAUGAUGAUAGUCAAAGUGUUAUUCAUCUCACCAAAGAUCAAAUGAUCAUGAAAGAAUGAAGCAAAUAGACAUUCGUUAUCACUUUGUUCAAUAGGCGAUAAUUUAAGGAAUGCUCAGAUUUUUAAAAUUGACACAAAAAAUAAUCCGACCGACAUAUUAACAAAAAGUCUUCCAAUUUCAAAGUCCAAGCAUUACUUGGACUUGGUAAGUAUUUGACGAAGAUUCAAGUAGGCCCGUAACAAGGCUUGGAAAAAGAGUUAAGUCAAAUACGAGUUAAGGUGGAGAUUUGUGGAGUUAUGCCUCACAUUUUUGGAUCAAACAGUGUGUGAUGUCGCAACGAGGAAGUGUUCUUCGUCUCAACAAACAGUUGACGUCACGACGAGAAGAGAGCUUUUGUCUUGAUGACACGAUGACCCUUCGUCUUGACAACACAAUGCCACAUCACGACGUGGCGACAUGUACCUCAAGUUUUUCGGCUUUCUUCUCCUAGUUAAACUCUAUUUUUAGUUUUCCAUUUAAACUUUGAUUAACCUAGGGUUGUUGUACUCAUAUAUACUACGAAUUUCAGCUUAUAAAUAGGCAUUAGUUACUCUAUGUUUUAUAUAACAAAAAUAUUUAAAUUGAAAGAAUUAUGUUCUUUGUUUUGUAAGGUUUAUUCUUGCGGGGCCUUUGGGUUUUCCUUUAACUCUCUCUAUCUUUUAUACUCUCCUUUAUUAUAGUGAAAUCUCCUUUUGCCUAUGGUUUUUUAUCCUCUUUUGAGGAGCUUUUCCACGUAAAAUUUGUGUGUUUGAUCUUUUAGAUAUUAUUUUUUUCACUUGUUCGUUGCAUACACGGGUUAAUUUUGAACAAAAUAUUUCACAUAUUAGUUAGUUUGUCUUUAAAUCUACUUCUUGGCAACUUAUUUUGGAUCAAUUUUUGCAUGUCCGUGAAAUAACCAAGAAUUUAGUGUUUGUUAGUAAAUUUGCUAGAGAUAAUUUGGUGUUUUUCGUGUUUUAUCCCACUCAUUUCUUUAUUAAGGAUGAGACUAUCGGUGAGGUUCUUCUUUGAGGUCUUGAAAAAGAUGGAUUGUGUACAAUUCUUACUGAUGAGUGCUAUCAUGAAGUUGUUUCUGAUUGCAGGUCUCUGUUACCUUUGGCAUCCACUCAACAAGUUUAUUAUACUCACACUAGCGAUCUUGAAGAUCAAUCUCGUGUUUCAAAAUACUAGUUGUGACAUUAAUGUCUCGACCAUCCAGCUAAACGUGUCUAGAGCGUGGUCUUAUCCUCUUGUAAUAAAAUUAUUCAUGAGAAUCAUGAAUGUUCUUUUUUGUACUGCUACCAUGUUGGCAAAAUUCAUAAAUUAUUUUUUCUUCAUCAAACGUUGAGUAUCAGAAACUCAGUUUACAGAAACAAGGUUUCGAGACCACUUUUUUUGAUAACUACUGAAAAUCGGGUCGUUACAAAAAAUACAAAAGAAGAAAAAACAUGUUUAGACAAGCCAAGAGCCUUUGGCUUUGCUCCAACAAUAGGAGACAUAAGAGUUGUGUUAUCAAAUAGAUGAAUGCCAAUCAUUGCGAUCAAACCAGUGAUUUUGAUGAUGUUAAUGGUUAUUUUGGUGGAGAGGUAGGAAAUUAAUCAUUAUAUAUAAUAUAAUUAUGCAAUUCAAGCCCUAUAUUGUAUGUUCACACAUAAAAAUUUCAUGGGAGGUCCAAAGUCAAUUAAAUGACUUGUAUGCUUGCUAAAAAUUUUUGAAAGGACCAAAGGCAAUUGAACAUUCAUAAAAUAGUCUCCAAAUACUAUAAAGACAAAUAAAAUCCACAUGAGCAUUAGAGUUGAUUAAGCUGCGCAUUAGCAGAACUUCCAUCAUAGGAAAUAUUACUUGGCACUUGGUAGUAUAUAUGUAGACUUUGACUUUGCAUUCAAUAUUGGCAAAAUCACCUCUUGAGUUAGAAAAACAACAUAAUCCAUGAAACAUUGAUAGCCCAAUACAAAUUUCAUGUAGAAAAAAGUCUUUGUUUUGUAGCGCAUAAUAGUAAAGCAUGCGAAGUUUUAUUCUUCUUAUUGGCCUCCUUUAGUUUUCCUUGAUCAACAACCACUAGCCAAAAACACAAUUAGAUUAGAUUAUAAAUGAUACCUUCAAUUAUGAUAAUAUUAAAUAGAACACACCCUAAAUAAAUCUAAAUAAAUGGAAAGUAGCAAAUUACCUGGCAAGGCAAGGUAGCUCAGUUAAGACCAAUGUGUUAGAAUUGUCCCUGCAUUGAACAAUUUAGAAGAAAAUGAAAAGAAACACUCAGAAAACUCUUGAAAACAGAUUAAACUUAUAUGUCAUUGCUUGGAUAAACUAUGAUUACCCAUAACAGACCUUGUAUUUGACUUUUUGUUAAGGGAGAUCAACUCUUCAAGAGAAGUCUUCUAAGUGUUAUCUGCCAGGUAGUUAACGUUGCCCUCAACAACAAAAGGUAUUGUCCCCAUGUCGAGAUUUUAUUCCUAGCCUCUAUAGAAAAAUCAUGAAGAAUAUGUGCUAAGGGAUUCACACCACCAACUAAUGUAUAUGUAACAUUUUCCUUGCAAUCAUCUCCGUAAACCCAUAGAAAUCUUUGUGGAAUCAAGAGACAAAACCCUAACACAAGAAUAAUACCAUUUGUUGAAGAGUCUGUCAAAAUAAUAAAUGAAAUUUAAAUACAUAGUUUUUUUAAUGAAAGAAAAUAACUUAUUUAAUUAGAGAAAAACAACAAAAGAUCCAACAAUAAAGUCCUUAGCAAAAGAUUAAAACAAAAUUAUACCGUAAUGAAAUAAGAAACUAAGAAAACCAAAUCUAACAAAGAAAAUAACUUGAUGUCCCAAAGCUACCAUAAACCGUAAUUCAUGGGAAGGCCUGCUACUCAUUUUAUUGGUUUCCAUCUUGAUUUUGCAAAUAAGUUUGAAUUCCGAAGAGAGCAAAUGAUUGAGCAAAAGAAAGAAAAUUAGUUUAUUAUUUUUCACUAUUUAUAAGACAAUCUUCAAGGAGACUGAUACCGACAUAUUUGAUAUCUAUAAUUAAACUGCUAGAAUAGAUUAAAAAUGUUGAUAAAAUUAAGUGUGAAUUAAUAACCACAAGUGUACUCAUUACUCACCAUCUUUGUUAAACAUGUUUGAUGUUGUUUAGCAACCUCUGUUUGAUCUUCUUUAGCUCAACCACAACAUCUUUCAUAUCUUUUCUUUCUUCUGGUAAUUCAGUUGAACAAUUCAAAGCCAACUCCAUGAUGGAUGAAAUACAAUUUGCUUUAACAAUAAAGAACUCAUCCUCUCUUUUUAAUAAAUCAACAUCUGCAAUUUCUACCGCUCCUUUAGGCAAUGAACUUUCCAUCCAAUGCCUUAUAGUCCUUUCUUCAGCAAAAAAAUUAUCAGUUGGCUUCUUCUUUGUGAAAGUUUCUAUAAGGACAAUCCCAUAACUAUAGACGUCACAUUUUACAGAAACAAUUCCUGCAGAUCCAAAUUCUGCAUUUCAAGUAGAAUUAGAGCAUCGUCAAUCCUUAAUUAUUUCUAAAGUGAUUAUUCAAAUAUAUAUCCACCUACGCAUGAAACAAAAAUAUAAAAUGCAAAUUAGAAAAAUAAUAAUACAAAAAUAAAAAAUUCACCUGGUGCCAUAUACCCAAUAGUUGCAAGAGUCAUGGUAUGCUUCAUUAAGUCACCUUCUCUCAACAAUUUGGCAAUGCCAAAAUCUCCCACAUGUGCAACCAUGUCUUCAUCUAGUAAAAUAUUGUUUGGUUUUAAGUCACAAUGAAUUAUAGGUGUUGGAUGUCCAUUGUGGAGAUGUUCUAUAGCUGAUGCAACAUCAAUCAUUAUGUCAACCCUUUGUAUGAUAUCGAGGAAAUGGUUUUUAGAAUGUAACCAAUUCUCAAGAUUUCCGUUAGACAUGUAAUCAAGCACCAAGGCUUUGAAGUCAACACUUGAGCAGCAGGUAAUGACCUUCACAAUAUUACGAUGAACUAUAUUACGCAUAGCAUCACAUUCAAUGUCAAAACUCCUAAAUGCUCCCUCUGUUUUCAAAUUGAAAACUUUUAUUGCAACUUCCAUUCCAUCUGGAAGCCUCCCUUUAUAUACAUAUCCAAAACUCCCUGAACCAAGCAUAUUUCUUUCCUCAAAUCCAUUAGUUGCUCGUGAAAGUUCAGCAUGUGAAAUUCUUCUCGGUGUUUUCAAAGACAACAAAUCAUCUUUAAUUGGUAGAGUUGUACUCCUUCUUUGGCAUCUUCUAUACAUAAUAGUUAACACUAUUAGUAGUACGACAACACCAAUUGUUGGUAAACCAUACCUUAAAGCAUGCAAUAUAAUCAUUUCAGAGUUUCCGUGGAUGUCGUUUUUGCAAGGUGGGACUAGCAAUCUAGGUGGACCACAAAGUGCAUAAUUCUUCAUGAAUGAUGUGCUAGAAAAGUUUGAAAAACUUCCUUCAGUAGGAAUUUCCCCUUCAAAUCUAUUGAAAGACACAUUAAAAUACUUUAGAUGUAAAAGCUUUUCCAACGAUUUGGAAAUGACUCCAGAGAGGUUGUUCUUACAUAAAUCCAGGGAUUCCAAAUUAAUCAAACCACCAAAUGAUUCAGGGAUAUGACCAUGUAGUUUAUUAUUUGAUAAAUCUAAUGUAACCAAAGUUUGAAGACUCCCAAAUGUGGAUAAAAUAUCGCCCAUGAGAAGAUUCCUUGAUAAAUUUAGUUUCCCUAGACUCCUCAAAUUUCCAACAUCAAUAGCAUGAGAAUUGUGAAGAUGGUUUGAUGAUAAAUCUAUUUCUAAGAUAUCUUUAAGAUUCCACAAAGUUGAGGGUAUUGCCGAACUCAAUUUGUUGGAAUUUAAGUAAAGAUAUCCCAAAGAAGUAAUAUUACCCAGACAAGAGGUUAUAGAUCCGUACAGCUUAUUCAACCCUAAAAACAAUUUGUAUAGACUCUCCAAAUCACAAAGGCUCUCUGAGAUAGGCCCUUCUAAUUUAUUAGAGGAAAGAUCUAGACCUUGGAGUUUUCGCAGUCCUCUUAUUGAUGUUGGAAUAAAUCCACUUAACUUAUUAUAGUCAAGUUCUAAACGCAACAUGUUGCUUAAGUUACCUAUUUCCAAUGGAAUAUUGCCCAUAAUCUCACAAUCAGAGGCCACAAAGUCUCGAAGGGAGUUUGAAAGGUUCCCGAUAUAAGUAGGAAGAACACCACUCAAUGGAUUUCCUGACACAAUUAUUCUUUUCAGAUGCUUGCAAUUCGCCAAAGAAUAAAGAAAGGUCCAGUCAUGAUCAAUAGCAGAUCCUGCAAUCAAAUUAUUGUUUUGGAUAUGAAGGCAUUCAAGGUAUCUUAAGUUGCCAAGCAUUUUAGGGAUUGGGCCAGAAAAUAAGUUAUUUCCCAAGUCUAGUUGCUUAAGCAUGGAAACAUUGGAGAUAGAGUUGGGAAUGUUUCCGCUAAGUUUAUUUCCCCACAAUAAAAGAUUCUCAAGCUUUGGAGCAUUGGUAAUGGGUGGUAAAUUACCUGUAAAAUAGCAUCAUACAUUAAAAAUGAACUCCUAAGUAUUGUUAGCCCAAGCCUUGUGUUGAAAUCAUCUUUACUUUCUAGAUUUAAAAUUGAUUGAAUAUCAAAUUUAAAAAUAUAUAAUACAUUAAUAAUUUUUUUAAAAUAUUGUAAAUCUUUAAAUCAAAGAAAAAUAAAAGUUUAAGAUGAAAAUGUGGCAUCUAAUCAAUAUUCCUUUAUUUUCCUUAUAUAAAACUUUUCUCUAUUUUUUAAUUAAUAUGUAUUGAAAAUAAAAAAAAAGAAUUUUAUAUUGCGCAGCUCAUUAAAAAAUUAAAAAAAUCAGAUUUUUUUUAUAAAAAUGUAAGAAAUGUUUUAAAAAAUUUAAAAAUAAGAAAAAAUACAUAAACCGUAAAAUAAAUAUAAAGAAUACUAAAAAAAUGUAAAAAAAAAUUCUCAGCUCUAUAAUAGUGCAGUUUUUAGAAAAUAAAAUGCAAAAAGAAAACCCGAAAAAAUAGGGAAAAUCAGAAAAACUUAAAAAGAAUCAACAAACUGCGAAGAAGGUGAGUUGUGGACUGAAAAGAUCAAUUUGAAAAAGGUUUCGGGCUUUCGGCUUAAUUAAAUAAAGUAAAUUAAAAUGCCAAAAAGCAGAGAAAGAAAAAUACUAUUCAUUGUUAAAGUCCAAGUUGGUAUAAUUAAUAUCUAAGUUUCGUGUUGGAUUAAUUAUUUAUUUUUUAAUUAAAUUAUAUUGUAAAUUUUAAAAGCUAGAAUUUACUUAAAAUUUUUGAACUCUUCAUGUGUUAGAAAUUUAAUUUCUGUACUUCUAUCUUUUAGAAUUUAGUCCCUUUAUUCUUUGAAUUUAAUUAAAAUUUUAAGUUCAUUUGUUAAUAAUGUUAAAUAGUUUUUGUAUUGGUAUGACAUUUUGAAAAGCUAAAAUGAAAAUGGAAAAAAUAAUAUAAAAUAUUUACAAAAUUAUUAAAAUUUUUAAAAAUAGAAAAAAUCUAAAAUUAUAAAAAUUAAAAGAAUAUACUAAAAAAUUAAAAAUAUAUUAGAUAUUUUAACAUUUUUGAAAUUUUUUAAAUGGCAAGAGUUUGAACAUGUGAUCAUUGUGUCUUGGAAGGAUACCACCUAUAACAAUUGUUUUUUUAAUUCAAUUAAUCAAAAUUUAUAAUUGGUACAUCUUAUUAGGUGAUAAAUUUGGAUUAGUCUUUUAUUUUCAAUUUAUUUAAAUAAUAAAAAUAAUAUUAUGUAAAAUAAAUAAUAUUUUAAAUUAUUCCAAAUAUUUUUUACUAGUUGAAGAUAGAUUGUUUGUCUCUAAACCAAUAUCUUAAGAACUAUUGUUGAAUGUUUGACUAUUCUAAAGAAUUUUGGUACAAAACAGAAAAAGCAUGUGCACGAAGGUGGAUGAAGAAAGCUUGCUCUAGAUAUUAAAUAGGGAGUCAAAUCAAAUAAACACGUUACUAGUAACACUAGUAAAACGCUAAAACUUGAUGUAGUUUAAAAUAUUAAAAUGUUGAUAUAAGAAUUUAUUAAAUAUUUUUUUAUAAAAAUUGGUUGUAUUAUAAAAAAACAGUUAUAAUAUCAAAUUUUUAAUAUUUUAAAUGUGAUUAACGAAUGUAUACUUUAUUUCAAGAUACACAAUUUUUACUAGUUUUUAAAAUUUUUUAUUUUUUAUAAUUUUUAACAAUUUCUAAUAAUUUUUAUAGUUUUUAAUAAUUUUAUUUUUUUACAAUUUUUUAAAAAAAUUAAAAAAUUUGUAAUUUUUAAAAAUUUAUAGAUUUAUAAUUUAGUUACUUUUUUAUAAUUUUAUUUGAAUAUAUAUAUAUAUAUAUAUAUAUUUAAAAUUUUUGGUUUCUUUUUUCUAAAUGAUGAUGCCAUCGUGACGUCGGGACGUGUAUCACAUGGCAAUUUAUGAUUGGUUGGAUAUCCCAACCAAAUUUUUUAAGGACCAAAGGAUUGUGUCGGAAACACCUGGUUAUGUUGGGGACUAUAUUAGAAAUGUUUGAUAAUGUUAGGGACUAAAAUGAGUCAAAAGACUUUAAGGACCAAAGUGAGAAAAGCAGCAUACUUUAGAGACUAAAGUGUGCAUUAAGCCUUUAAAAAUAUAUCUAUAAUAUAUAUAAAUUUAUGAGUUUUGAGAAGCUUUUGAUAUGAUAAUUAUAUAGUCUUUGUUGUUUAUUAUAUUACUGAUAUUUUAAACAUUUUUUAUUAUUUAUCAAAUUUAUAAAUAAGAAUUUUGGUUUUACUAAAAUAUUUGAUUAAAUAUAUUUAUGAAAAAUUUAGCAUCCUUAUAAAUAAAAAUUUCCAUUCUAUUAAAAAAAUUAUUAAAAAAUUUAUAUAAUAAAAAUUUAAAAUUCAUAUUGAAUUACUUUAUAUGUAAAUUAUUACUAGAAAUUCUAUCAUAAGUAUAUGCGUGUAAGAACAACGUGUUUCGAAAACAUAUUUGUGUUUUAAAAUAAUAUACAAUAAGUAAUCAAAUCACUGAUUAAUACUAAUAAUAAAUGACAUAUGUAAGAUAUUAAAAUAAAAAAUUGAUUAAAUUGCAAGUAAAACGAAAUUUAAACAUAUGAAUACGUCAUAUUAAUAAUACUAAUUGAAUACAAUUAUUUAUUAUGGUGUUGUUGUCAAUACUAAGUUGGGGUCUAGUUAAAUUGUGACAACUUUUAAUCAACAACAUUAAUGUAUAUAAUUCAUGGAGGUAAUAAAGUGUGCAUAAUAAUAAUAAAAUGUAUAAAAAAUUUAAAAUAAAAUUUUGGUUUUACGUAUUGAUGUGGGUUUAAAUCUCACCAUAAACAUUUUUAUUUUGUUUUUUUAAAUAAAAACUGAAGUACCCUCAAACAAUAUAACUUAUUUUAAAUAAGAAAUGAUAUUUUUGCAAUUUUUCUAACCGAGUUGAUACUCUAUUGACUUAUGACACCAACUCAACCAAAAGCUUAAAUAAUAUUAUAGUUGUUCAUUACUUUAAUUUUAAAGAGCAAAUUUUAAUUAUUUAUAUAACAAAUAACUUUAUAAUUCAUAUAUAAAUUUUAUAAGUAAUAUAUUUAUAUAUUUAUAUAUUUUAAUCAAAUUUAUUAUAUUUUUAUUAAGUAUAUAUCAUCUACAAAUUUUUAAGAUCAAUUUAUUGCCUAUCAAGAAAAGAAAAAAUUGAAAUUACAAAUAUAUCGAUUUUUAUAUUUUGUACGGAUGCUUUCAUGAUGAUAAAAAAAAUUUAUUAGCACUGUUUUUGAAUUAACAAAAAUAAAUUAUAUUUUUUAACUAUAUUUUGAACUAUAUUACUAUUUUUUAAUUACAUAAACUAAAAUUAUAUUAGAUAUUAAAUAUGGUGCAUAUGCUUUAAUUAUGACUUGAAAUUUUAUUAUUAUAUUUGAAAUAUUAAAUAAAUUAAUAUUUUAAUUAGAUUCAACCAUUUGAAUAAUAAAUUAAAAAUAAUAAUCAUAAUAAUUUAAACUUAAUUAAAAAUUAAAUGGUUAAAAUCAAGUGUCAAUCUAUAUAAAUGGGAAUUAAAAAUUUUAAGAUAAAUCAAUUCAUAUAAAACUUAUUGUUUAUUAUGAAAUUAAAAUGAUAAAGUAAUGACGAAAAAAGAAGAAACAAAUUAAACAGAAUGCAUUUUGGACUUUGGAAAAAAACAAAGUGAAACACAUACCUUCUAAACUGUUGUCAUUUAGAUAUAUUCCUUGGAGCAUAGUUGAAUUAAAAAUACUUUUUGGAAUCAGCCCACUGAAUUGAUUUGCUGCUAAAUCCAAAAUCUGAAGCUUGUAACAUUCACCCAUACGUGAUGGAAUAUUACCAGAUAAUUCAUUAUGUUCCAAGACAAGCCAUUCAAGCAUGGGACAAUGGUGACACAAACCAUUAGGUAAACUACUUGAUAGACUAUUGUUGGAGAGAAAAAUAGUCUUUAGAGAAGAAAUGUUGAAGAUUGGAGUCGGAAUCUGACCUGCAGACAUAAUCGAAAAAUCAAGGUGUUAAAACUGCCUAUUUUGUUAGCAUAAAUUACAGAGGUUUUCUUUUUCUGUUCUACAGUAAUUUGGAGAUGUUAGAUUUUAAUAUAAUUAAGCAUAUUUUUUUUAUCAAAUUAACUAUUUUGCUUUGAAUGAAAUAAAAAAAUCUCACUUCUGUAAUCCAUUACAAAUCAAACUCUUUUAUAAAAAAAAAUACUUUAAACUAAAGAAACCAAAGAAAUUCAGUACCUUCUAGGUUAUUCAUCUCCAAAUGUAAUUCUUCGAGUCGUGUCAGAUUUCCAAUACCUCUUGGAAUGAUCCCCGUAAAUUUAUUAUAGGACAAUGCCAAAAUUUGAAGGUUGUUGCAUUUGCCAAUACGUGAUGGAACGUUUCCAGAUAAUUCAUUCCGACUCAAGUAAAGCACUUCAAGCUUGGGUAAACGUUGACACAUAUCAUUAGGCAAACUACCUGAUAGGCUAUUGCUGAAGAGAGUAAUAAUCUUCAGGGAAGAAAUCCUGAAGAUUGAAUAUGGAACCUGGCCAGAUAAUUGAUUGAAUUGCAAGUUCAAGACCUCUAGAUUGGACAUGUUAACAAGUGUUUGAGGGAUUGUGCCUGUAAAGUUAUUGUUUUCCAUUUCCAGCCUUUGAACUCUUUGUAAGUUCCCAAGCCAUGCUGGGAUUUCCCCAUUAAGACUGUUGUAGCUUAACUGAAUGAUCCUCAAACGAUGCAAUUGGCCCAAUUCUUUAGGCAGAUAGCCAGAUAAAUUGUUGCUACUCAAGUCGAGAGAAAGUAGAAAUGAAAGAUUUCCAAGGUGUGGAGGGAUAGUACCCCUAAGAUUCAUGCUUGUAAGAUUCAAAGCUAUAACUCUUUUAUGGAUGAUGCCACAGGAAACACCAAUCCAAUUGCAAACAGAGGUAGAGGCCGUCCAAUUGUUUGCCAAGACAUUUUGAGGAUCGGCAAUGCGAUCCUUAAACUCGAGAAGCACAAACUGAUCGGAGUUGAGAUUCCUGGUUGUCAUAGCCAAGCAAACUACGGAACAUGGUAUGAAUAAACCUAAAAGAAGAUGGAAGCAAGUGUUGUAAUUCAUUAUUGCAAGACGAAAUGAGCCAAGAAAAUAAAAAAGUAGGGAAAGGGAACUUGAAUUGAUAAAGGGAAAAGUUGGAUGAUGAAGAAAAGCACUAAGGGCAUGCUUUAAUAUGCUUUAAUAUGAUGGAGACAACUACAAGCACUAAUAACAUAUUUUCACCUAAUAAAUUAUAAAAAAAUUAAAACAAAAUAAGGUUAAAAUUUUAACAUAUCUGUUAGAUAAAAUUUAAGAUUUAAUUAUUAAACUUGACAACUUAAAAAUUAAAUCUUAUUGUUUGAAUUUAAAAAUUUUAGUCCUACCAUAAAUAUUGUGAGCGUUUUUUUUUUAAUCAAAUUUUGUCAAGUUGACUUAUUAAUUAGGUUUCCCUCAUAUGAUGUGGUAUAUGAUUGAUAAAAAUAAACAUGUUAAGUUGAUAUAUUUUGACAAAAAACUACCAACGAUGAUAAUGAUUGGAUUAAAAUUUUUAAAUUAAAAAUUGUAGGGAUUAAAUUUAUAACUUUUAAAGUAUAAAGACUGAAUCUCAAAUUUUAUAGAAAUAUAGGGGCUAACAACAUUUUUUAGCCACCAAAUAAUAUCUACAAUUUUCACUUAAAACUACAUUGGACUUAAUUGGCUAAGGGUUAACAUAUCAAUUGAUUUAUGAGUUUCACACUUUUUUUUAUAAUGUUGUACUCUUGGUUUUUGUGCAAUGUGAUACACGUAUUUGGUAAAAAGUUAUAUAUUUUAAUACUUAAAAGAAAUUUUAGAGUUGAUUUAAUGGACAUUAAUUGUUAAUAUUAUUUUGAUAUUUAUAUGUAUUUUCAUUUUUAUAAAUACUAUUAAAAAUAUAUAUUUUUUAAAAUGAAUGCUAUUUAAAAACAUUAUUAAAAAAUAAUAUAUUAUAUGAAAGUUAAAAUGAUCUAAAAACAUAUUUUAAAAAUUUAAAUACUUUAUACAAUAUUUAAAACUGUUUAAAAAUUUCUAAACCCUAAAAAUCAAUAAAAUAUAAUUUUUCUAAAAAUUUAAAAAGAUAUAUAUUUAAAAUUUUAUAUGAAAUUUAAAUGAUUUUAACAGUAAUAUAUUUUAAAAAUGGUAGUAAUGUUAUAAACUUGAAAGAUUUUGUAAUUUAAUUACAUACAUUUUUAUAAAAAAAAUUUCUAACAUAUCAUUAUUUGCAUCUUGUUACAUUAAAGAAUUGAAGAUAUAUUUGAGUAGUUAGCCUUUUUUAGAGAACUAUACUUAGACAAUGCAGAUUAUUGAACUGUAUUAUAUCACUUGUUCAAGUAUUUAUUUAUAAAAUAAAAUAAUUAUAGCCUCUUAUAUUAACUGCAUGUAUCUAUUUUGCAUCUUUUAUUAUAAUAUGAUUUAAUAAUUAUAAUAUUUUUAUAGAAUAAUAUGCUUUAAAAUUUUUUUUACUCUUUAUAAAAUUUAUAAUAAACUUACAAAAUUAUUUAAUGAUAUUUAAUUAUCAACGGAAAAAUUAUAUCAUAUAUGUAAUAGGUCAAUUUAGCUCGGGCUCACAAAAAAAAUAAACCCAAAAUAAUAAAAUAAAGUCCAAGUCCAGUCCAAAAUUAUAUCAUUUGGCCCAAUCAGGAUGGCCCAUUACUUGAAAAGGUUGAAGGUCUAUCUACAAACUUGAUGCAUAUGGAAACAUAAUCUUCAAGGAUAUGCAAUCUUAGAUAUGAUAUGCAAUCUUAGAAGAUAUGAUUUUGUAAUCUUAGAGAAUUAAUUUGUAGAUACCCUUUAAUCUUAGCCGUUGAUGUAAUUGAUCUAUACCGUUGAAUUUGGGGAGGCUCAACUAUAUAUGAGGCCUUUCCCUUCAUUGUAAAACACUUCAUUGUAAAACACUUGAGUUUGGAGCAAUAAUAAUUCUUAAGAUCAUUCACUCAAAUUUCUACCUCUCUUGCGUCCUUAUUUUCUGUGGCUUGUUCUUAUUUUGUUCUUUGUUCAUCUUCUUUUCUUUUUAAGUUGCUUUCAUUUGAGUUGGAUUUUGGUGGAGGAAUUUCGUUGAGUCUUCAUGUUGUGAGAGUUAGCCUGACUUAAGCGUUUUUUAACCUUUUUUUAUUUAUCCAUUUAAUUUUUUAAUCAUUAAUUAUUCUUUUACUUUUAUUCAUUUAUUUAUCCAUCAACUUUCUUAUUUACAUAUUGUUCAUUCAUUUAACCAUUCUUAUCAUUCUUUUAUUUUCUUCCAUUAAUUAUAUAUUUUAUUUGUUUUUCAAAUUGCCCUUUUUUUAUCAAAGUUUUUAUGCAUCGUUUUAAUAUUGCGUCAAUUUUCCCCAAUUUUAAAAAAGAAAACUUUUAAAAAUAAGGCAAUAUUCGGUCUUUGGAGCUUUGAGAAAAUCGUGCCCUAACUUACUGGGUUUCAAUUUUUUUUCCACAUAACCGAAUAUCCUUUUUAAACUUUAAUGCAUGAGACAAGCUUAGUUUUGAGGGUUAAAAUGUCGUAUCCUAACUUACUGGAUGUGACAUCUUAUUACUUCGAGACAAAGAGGUCUUAACAUCAAUUCGAUUUAUUCAGGUUUUUAAAGAGGAUUGUAUUUUAAAAUCUUUUCAAAUUUUCGAUAUUAGGAAGUUAAUUAAUCAAUUAGGUACCAAUUUUUGGGCGUUACGAGGGUGCUAAUCCUUCGUCGUGCGUAACUGACUCCUGAGCUCGUUUUCUCGAAUUUUGUAGACCAAAAUUAUUAUUUUAAUAAAUCAAAAUGUUUUAUUAAAAUGAUUAAUCUCAAGGUGACCCGAUCACACCUCGAAAAAAGAUUGGUGGCGACUACAUUUUCGUUUUAAAAGUCGACCCCGUUUUUUAAAAUAAAAAAAUGGUUUCGACAGCUUGGUGACUCCUCUGAGGAUUGGUUUUGAGAGAGUAUCCACAAAUUGAUUAAUUUUUGUCUUUUUGUCGAAAAAUUAAAUUUUGUUUUAAAUUCACGAUUUAUCCUUUUGCAUUUUAUCUAUUAUUUUCAUGGUUUUAACCAUAGUGUCGUCCAAAUCUGUCAAUGUGUAUCUACAUUUUGCAUUGCAUUGGUUGGUCAAUUUUACCCCUCUAAGUGUGAGUGAGAAACUAGUUCUUCGUGAGGUUUUCACCUCCGUGCAGGAUAGUGGAUCACUUUCAGAAUACAUUUGUACCUAUGUCUUCGUGAGAUUUUCAUCUCCGUGCGGCCAUAGGGAAAUGUAUCCCCCUGAACUGAACUCGGUCUAUAUGAACCUAUAAUGGGUGAGGAUCAAGGAAUCUACUGGUUUGGAUACCUUUACCUUAGAAGCCAAACCUCAUAUAAUGAACUCUAGGAACUCACCUUAGGUAGAAUUACGUUGACCCUUAGUAGCUACCCGAGUAGGUGCUUGAUCAUUUCCUGUUUGUUUUUUAAUACCUGAUACUAACUUGUUGUGUUUCAUUUUGAUUGCAUGACAUUUUGACUGCACAACAUUUUGACUGCAUGACAUGCUCAUCAUAUGCAUAAAAAAGGUGUCGAUUCACAUUCAAUUACUAAAUAGAGAGCUUGCCAUGGAAAAUGAAUUUCUUGAUAAAAUGGAGGAUAAUACGACUCUCCUAAUAUGUUCUGAGAAAGCACAACGUGAGAAAGAUGAUAGACUGACAAAAGAGCAUACGACUUUGCUUUGUUGCGUGAGGAUACAAGUUGGUAAAAGUCAUCAAUAUCCCGACCCUUUUCUUAAAAGAAGCUAACAAGUAUCACGAUGAUGAGUGAGUAAUGAGUCGUGGCCCAGUUCGAGCAAAAAGAGCCAGUGAAGCAUCCGUUGGAAAAUUCGAAAGAUUUAUUUUAACAUUCGGAUGAAGAAAAAGGAUCGAUGUCCUCGCUUGGAGCAUGAGGGCAAAGCCGUAUAUAUAUCUGUUUUAUGUAAAGAAUUUUGUUUUCUAGUAAAGUUUUCUAAAUGGAAUUGAAUCAGAAUUGACACCUUUUUGCAUUCAUUUCAUGCAUUUGCAUUACAUGCAUUAAAGUCCACUAAAAGAGCCUAACUGAUCAAAAUUAUCUCAGUUAACCUGAAAACCAACCAACCAACCAAACACUGUUACGGUACUCGAGCAAGAACUAAAGACAUGGACCAGAGAUUGGAAAAACUUUAACAGUUCCAAAAGGAAAUGCAAGACUGACUUCAGCUACAAGUGCAAGAGCGGUUAGAUAAAAUUCAGCAAGAUAUGAUGGAAAAGAUGCUGGAGUCCCAAAGAAACGUGAUGACUUAAUUGACUCAAUUGUUGGCUGGGGAAACGAUAAGGGAAAGGGUCCUAUGGCUAAUACUGAAGAAGGAGAUGAUGAUGAACCUCUCUAUCCUCCAAGCUUCACUCCUCCACAUGUGCAGACCCAAGCUGAGAUGUACCCACACAAAUCCUCUGUCACAAUCAGGCCUCAGCAGUUUCAGGCUGGUGCAUCAAUGCUAAUGAACUUCCAAGUCAGAUCAGGCUCUAACCCUAGAGAGAACGCUAAUAAUCCUUCUAUCCCUGAUUUCGAUGAAGUGGCUGAAAAAUAAAAAAUAAAAGAGGAAUUACCAAAAUAGUUAGAGGAAAUGUGUAAAUGGCUUGAGGAAAAAUUUAGGGCAAUGGAAAGCACUGAGAACUACCAUGGGAUUAAUGCUAAAGACCUGAGCUUAGUCCUGGAUUUGGUACUCCCCUACAAGUUCAAAAUGCCAGAAUUUGAAAAAUACAAUGGGACCAAUUGCCCUGAAGUUCAUAUUACCAUGUUUUGUAGGCGGAUGGAUGGAUAUGUUAACAACGACCAACUGCUAAUACAUUGCUUCGAAGAUAGCCUCGCAGGGGCAGCAUCUAAGUGGUACAAUCAAUUGAGCCGUACCAGGAUUAGUUCAUGAAGGGAUUUAGCACAAGCAUUCAUAAAGCAGUACAGUCAUGUAACAGAUAUGGGUCCUAAUAGAAUCACCCUACAAAACAUGGGAAAGGAGCCAAACAAAAGUUUUAGGCAAUAUGCACAAAGGUGGAGGGAGGUUGCCGUCCAAGUUCAGCCACUACUCCUGGAAAAAGAAACUACGAUGCUCUUUAUUAACACACUAAAAGUCUUGUUCAUCACGCACAUGUUAGGAAGUGCCACAAAAAGUUUCUCAAAUAUAAUCAUGAAUGGCGAAAUGAUUGAAAAUGCCAUUAGAGGUGGAAGAAUAAACGAAGGAGAGAGUAACAAGAAGUCAGCCUCAGGGAGAAAAGAAAAUGAGGUGAAUAACACAGGUUACUCAAGAUCAGUUACUGUAAGCCAGCCAAGAAAGAUGGUUGCUAGUCAGCAAGCUCCAUCAAGGCAAGAUCUCGACACAAAGACUGAGAAGUUCCAGUUUACACCAUCUCAAUAUCGUAUAGGGAACUGUAUCAGAGUUUGUUUGAUGCACACGUUGUUUCUCCUUUUCACGUGAAACCUCUACAACCCCCAUACCCCAAAUGGUAUGAUGCAAGCGCCCAGUGUGAAUACCAUGCAGGAAUUACAGGGCACUCGAUAGAAAAUUGCACUGGCUUCAAAAAGCUAGUUGAAAGAUUCAUCAAUAUGGGCAUCGUCAAGUUCGAUGACUCAUCUAAUGCAAAAAAUUUGCUACCCAAUCAUAUGGAUAAUGGGGUGAAUGUGAUGUAUGAAGAAGUGUUGGGAAACAUUCACAUCAAUGCCAUAUAUGAAGACACAUUUGAAAAGGGGCCUUGUUAGAUAUCCACCCUUAUAAACUUGGGAGUGUUCUAAACAAUUGGACUGCAGAAGAAAUCCCUGUAGUAUUUAGAGCUUACUUAGAGUAAUAUUCAAAACACACUUGUUGCUUUAAAGCCUAGAGGCAAUAAGAACCCUGUUAUGAAAUAGGCUUGUGUUUAAAAUCUUUAUUUCAAUAAAAUGCAUCUUUUUGAGCAAACAUUCAUUCAUUCUUUUCAUUUAUAUAUUCUUUUUUUCCUUGGACUCUUUUAAAUAUUAUUUUAUUCUUCAUUCAUACAAAUAAUUGUCCUUAGACUUAUUUAUUCUAUAGAAUCAACCUUUGUACCUACAAUAAGUCUUCAAAUAUCAACAACAUGAGUGAUAUUGCUAUUGACUUAAAAUCUCCUUUCGAGUAAGAUAUGUGUCAGGGGAAUCUUAGGACUUUGAAUAUGACUGAGAUUGUAACCUAUCUCAUGAUUUGUUAAGAAUGGUAGAAAAAGAUGAAAAAUAGAUCCUACCUUACAAAAGUCAGUGGAUAGUGAGCGUAGGAGAAGAGAAAGAGAUUAGAGUUUGUCCAUCGAAAUAAAGCGAAACAUCACUAAAUUACUCCAAGAAUUCAAAAAUCUUUUCGCACGAUCAUACCAAGAUAUGUCUAGCUUACUAAGAAGUAUGGAUGCUGUUAAGGCUAAAAGGUCUAUAAAUGUGUCAGAAGAACACCUACUAAUGGUUUUACGAUAGCCACGUUAAUCACGAGGUUUCAGUACUGCUGGUCCACCAUAGAAGGGGAUCACAUCAGUUAUACCAUAAAUACCAAUUUGAGGAAGAUAAAACCUAUGUGCCUCUUCCAUUUCUUCACAAAUUUUCCAUAUGUAGGGCAUGGAUGUGAUUGGGCUAAUCUCGUCAAAAGUUUUUAGUCAAGAUCGAUUCAUCUUUGUGGUCUUCGAUUAUUUCGCUAAGAGGGUCGAAAUAGCUUUAUAUCCCAAUGUUACAAGGUCAAAGUCAUUAAAUUCUAAUUUCAAAAAAAAAGAAAAAGAUCCGACGCCGAUAAAGAAUGCCAAAAAGGACAAUGUCAAAAGUUUGUAGUCUAUUCAAAGAUUAGAUGCCAUAGGCAACCAAAAAAUAAAAAUAAAACAAGGAUUGUGGGAAAGAUGACCGAGACUUGUAAAGAUUGGUAUAAAGAAGUUACCAUCUACGCUCACCAAAUUCGACCAGGACCUUUCCUUGGGCAACACCUGGCCCAUUGGUUUGUGUAAUGUUGAACCCAAUCAAAGAAAAAAGGGUUAAAAGCUAUCCAUUACAGUCAGAUGAUGCGAGCUUACAACAAAGAGGUUCAUCUUAGAGAAUUCCAUGAGGGGGACCUAAUGUUAAAAAAGAUCCUUCUUAUAGAAAAGGAUUUUAAAGGAAAGUGGGUUCCAAAUUGGGAAGGGCCUUGUGUUGUAAAGAAGGCCUAUUUUGGAGGAGUAUUUUUAUUGACCGAGAUGGAUGCCAAAGACUUGCCCAAUUUAGUGAAUUCAAAUUCAGUCAGGAAGUAUUUUACCUGAAAGGGGAGAAGCCAAGGUGAAAACCUACAAAGGGCGCCUUGAGAAAAAAAUAAAAAAUCAAAAAAAAAGAGAAGAAAGAAAAAGAGGAGAGGCCAAGGCGAAAACCCGCAAAGGGCGCUUUGAGACCAAAGGGGUUUUGAGUUGAAACCUGAAAAGGGCAGCUUAAAUUUUGAACGAAAAUGGGGCAUGUGGUAGUCUUGCUAUGCCUGAAUUAACAAUAAGGAAGUAUGCUACAUCUUAGGGCAUUGACAAAGUACUCCAGAUCCCCUAAACACAUAUUAAGCUCAAAAUGGUCCUCAAAAAGUUCAUACAGAGAAGUUUAGGCUACAAUAUCUACGGCACCUAGUUUUCCAUCUUACCCAUUUUUGAAUUUGCUAUCUUUGAUUACCUUAUUCUUUUCAAGAUACGCCCCAAUCAAUUUCUUUUUAUUGCCUUGGUUAUCUUUGAUUAAUUUAAUUAUUUUGAGCUAUGCUCCUAAUUAAUUUUCUUCUUGUCCAUUAUUAUAAUAUUUUUUAAGCAUUUUAUAUUGAAAUAAUGAUUAAUGGACUAAUAAUACUUUCAUAAAAAGAGUUUUGCAUAUUACUCUGGAAGCUUCUAAAUAAUACGAGAAUUUGAAAUAGGACUAUUGUUUAGAACUCACUAAGCUUAAGGGUUGGAAAUAUUGAAAGAUGAUUAUCUCUUUGAAUAUUUUUGUUGAACAAAAAGACAAGACAUUUCGUCGGUGAUAUCAUCUCGACAAAUAACGAGCAAUGUCAACUCAAAUGUAAAAGGGGAUCAUUUUCGGGAAAAGAAAAAUGAUACUCUACAUUCAUGAAAAUUUCAAGCAUAUACAUUUGGUCAUUACACCCAGGGAAUGGUGUAACAGAUCAAUUUGACUGAAAAUGAUACAAAUUCUAUACCUCUGGGUGGCAGCAGGAUGGAUGGAAGAAACCAAAUAUUAUUCUUUUGAAGUUGCAGUGGGAGAUAAAAACUUUAUGUCCCAGACGGUACAGUGGAAGAGACUCUGAAAUUACAACAGGGCAAGCUUGUUGAGCAGAAUGUGAUUGUUUCUUCGAGUUUUCUAUUGAAAAAUACCAGUUGAAUAAGAUAGGAGUGUAAUAUGUCAGUGAUAAGACUCCUAAUGAAAAACAAAUGAUGACACCCUAAGCAUUAAAAAAGAGAUCAUUCUCAUUUUGCAUUCAUAGAUCAUUCAUAGCAUAUCUAAUUAAGAGCAUUUGACUUAUUUCAAUCAUGGCAUCCUAAUCAUUCAGCAUUAGCACAGACCCAUUCUAUAGGUUAUGUCCUCUAGAGGAUGAUGUAGUAAGGUAGAUUGAAGCUAUCAGUCUUGCCUCACUGAGUUUGCAGCAAAGCAUAUUGAAAGCAGCAGAUCUUGUCUUACUGUACUGGCAGUGAAGUAGAUCGAAAACAUCAGCCUUGCCUUUCUGAGUUUGCAGUGGAGUAGGUUGAAGAUUGUAGAUCCUGUCUCCCUAAGCAGUAGUGGAGUAGAUCAAAGACGGCGAAUCUUAUCUAUCCAAGGUAGUAGGGAAGCAAAUCUAAGCCACCAGUCCUAUCUCCCUGAGUAAUAGUGGAGUAGGUUGAAGAUUGUAAAUCCUGUCUCCCUAAGCAAUAGUAGAGCAAAUAAAAGAUGGCGAAUCUUAUUUUCCCAAGGUAGUAAGGAAGCAGAUUUAAGCCAUCAAUCCUAUCUCCCUGAGUAGCAGUGGAGUAGGUUAAAGAUAUAGAUCCUGUCUCCCUAAGCAGUAGUAGAGCAGAUUGAAGACGGUAAAUCUUAUCUUCUCGAGAUAGUAGGAAGCAGAUUUAAGCCACUAGUCUUAUCUCCCUAAGCAGUAGUGGAGUAGGUUGAAGAUUGUAUAUUCUAUCUCCCUAAGCAGUAGUAGAGCAGAUCAAAGACGGCAAGUCUUAUCUUUCCGAGGUAGUGAGGAAGCAGAUUUAAGCCACCAGCCUUAUCUCCCUGAAGUUGCAACGGAGCAGAAUGAAGAUAACAAAUCUUAUUUCCCUGAAGUUGCAGUGGAACAGAUUAAAGCUAUAAUCACAGAUUUAAUCUCUUUGAGGUUGCAGUAGAGUAGAUUAUGGCGAAUCUUAUCCUCCUAAAGUUGCAGUGGAGUAGAUUAAAGCCAAUAAUCCUAUCUCCCUAAAGUUAUAGUAGAGCGGAUUGAAACCACUAAUCCUAUCUCCCUGAAGUUGCAGUGGAGUGGAUUAAAGACACAAGUCUUAUCUCCUUGGCAUUAUAGUGGAAUAGAUUAAAGCUAAAGGUAGCAAAUCUUGUUCCCCUGGUGUUGUAGCAAUGCAGAUUAAAGUUGAAGGUAGCGAAUCUUAUCUCCUUGGCGUUAAGACUGAAGGAAGCAAAUCUUAUUUCCCUGGCAUUGCAGUGGAACAGAUUAAAGCUAAAGGUAGCGAAUCUUGUUUCCCUUGCAUUGUAGUGGAAUAGAUUAAAGCUGAAAUGGAGCAGAUUAAAGCUGAAGGUAGCAAAUCCUAUCUUUUUGGAGUUACAGUGGAACAGAUUAAAACUAAAGGUAGUGAAUCUUGUUUCCUUGGCGUUACAGUGGAGUAGAUUCAAGCUGAAGGUAGCCAAUCUUAUCUUUCUAGCGUUAAAGUUGUAGAAAGCAAGUCUUAUCCCCCUAAAGUUGCAGUGAGGCAGACUGAAGAUGACAAAUCUUAUCUCCCUAAAUUUGCAGUGGAGCAGAUUAAAGCCAAUAAUCCUAUCUCCCUAAAGUUGCAGUGGAGUGGAUUAAAAUUAGGUCUUAUCUCCCUGAAGUUGCAGUGGAGCAAACUGAAUAAACCAAUCUUAUCUCCCUGAAGUUGCAGUGGAGCAGAUUGAAGAAACCAAUUCUAUCUCCCUAAAGUUGCAAUGGAGCGGAUUAAAAUGAUGGAUCUUAUCUCUCUAAAGUUGCAGUAGAGCAGAUCACGUCAGGUCUUAUCUCCCUGAAGUUGCAGUGGAGCAUAUUGAAUAAACCAAUCUUAUCUCCCUGAAGUUGUAGUGGAGCAGAUUGAAGUUAUAAAUCCUGUCUCCUUGAAGUUGCAGCAGGACGGAUUAAAAUGAUAGAUCUUAUCUCUCUGAAGUUGCGGUAGAGUAGAUCGUAUCAAACCUUAUUUCCUAGAUAUUACAAUGAAACAAGUUGAAGCUACAAGUUUUAUCUCCCUGAAGUUAUAGUGGAGCAAACUGAAGAUAACAAAUGUUCCCUCAAAGAGCUACAAAUCCUAUCUCCUUGAUGUUAUAAUGGAGUGGAUUGAAGCACUAAUUCCUAUGCCCCUGAAGAUGCAGUGGGAUGGAAUGAGACUACUUGAAGAAGACGAGCACUCAAAGAAGUCAGAACUCGGCAAGACCGAGAAAAAUUGGCCCUUUUGUAGUCUUUGCUCCAUUCUCGUUACACGACAACGAGCAAAGAGGGACACUGUAAUAGGCCAAUUUAGCCCGGGCUCACAAAAAAAACCAAAAUAAUAAAACAAAGUCCAAGUCCAGUCCAAAAUUAUAUCAUUUGGCCCAAUCGAGAUGGCCCAUUACUUGAAAAGGUUGAAGGUCUAUCUACAAGCUUGACGCAUAUGGAAACAUAAUCUUUAAGGAUAUGUAAUCUUAGAUAUGAUAUGCAAUCUUAGAAGAUAUGAUUUUGUUUUAAUUUGUAGAUACCCUUUAAUCUUAGCCGUUGAUGUAAUUGAUUUGUACCGUUGAAUUUGGGGAGGCUCAACUAUAAAUAGAGGCCUCUCCCUUCAUUGUAAAACACUUGAGUUUGGAGCAAUAAUAAUUCUUAAGAGCAUUCACUCAAAUUUCUCCCUCUCUUGCGUUCUUAUUUUUUGAGGCUAGUUCUUAUUUUGUUCUUUGUUCAUCUUCUUUUCUUUUUAAGUUGCUUUCAUUUUUAGUUGGACUUUGGUGGAGGAAUUUCGUUGAGUCUUCAUAUUGUGAGAGUUAGGCUGACUUAAGUGUUUUUUUUAACUUUAUUUAUUUAUUCAUUUAAUUUUUUAAUCAUUAAUUAUUCUUUUACUUUAAUUCAUUUAUUUAUCCAUGAACUUUCUUAUUUACAUAUUGUUCAUUCAUUUAACCAUUCUUAUCAUUCUUUUAUUUUCUUCCAUUAAUUAUAUACUUUAUUUGUUUUUCAUAUUGCCCUUUUUUUUAAUCAAAGUUUUUAUGCAUCGUUUUAAUAUUGCGUCAAUUUUCCCCAAUUUUAAAAAAGAAAACUUUUAAAAAUAAGGCAAUAUUCUGUACUUUGGAGCUUUGAGAAAAUCGUGCCCUAACUUAUUGGCUUUCAAUUUUUUUUCCACAUAACCUGAAUAUCCUUUUUAAACUUUAAUGCAUGAGACAAGCUUAGUUUCGAGGGUUAAAAUGUUGUAUCCUAACUUACUGGAUGUGACAUCUUAUUACUUCGAGACAAGGAGGUCUUAACAUCAAAUUCAAUUUAUUCAGGUUUUUAAAGAGGAUCGUAUUUUAAAAUCUUUUCAAAUUUUUGACAUUAGGACGUUAAUUAAUCAAUUAGGUACCAAUUUUUGGGCGUUACGAGGGUGCUAAUACUUCGUCGUGCGUAACCGACUCCCGAGCCCGUUUUCUCGAAUUUUGUAGACCAAAAUUAUUAUUUUAAGAAAUCAAAAUGUUUUAUUAAAAUGAUUAAUCUCAAAGUGACCCAAUCACACCUCGAAAAAAGAUUGGUGACGACUCCAUUUUCGUUUUAAAAGUCGAUCCCAUUUUUCAAAAUAAAAAAAAUGGUUUCGACAAUAUAUAUUUUGUAUAUAUUAAGAUUUUGAAUCCUUAAUUAUAUAUCUAUAUAUUAUAAUAAUUUUAUAAUAUUAUAAAUAUAUUAUAUCAUAAAUAUUCUUUCAAAUAUUUUUUAAUGUUUAAUAAUAAGUUAAUUUAUAAAAUAUUCUUUCAAUAAAUUAACGUGAUGAGAUCGUUAGGUGCUUGGAUUUGGUGAUGGGGGAUGAAGAGAAAAGGGAUGGAAGUGAAGACAUAUGUUCAGAAAUGGAAACGGUUAGCAAGGGAAGCCGCCAUGAAAGGUGGCUCUAUGGAUAUGAACCUUCAAGCUUUUGUGGAUGAUGUUACUCAAAGGUUGUUGCAAGUAAAUUCAAAAAUGUUUUUUUUAAUUAAUUUUUUGUUAAAAAAUAUUUUUUAUUUUUCAUGUGGCAUGCCACAUUAUUAUACUAUCAUGUGAUUUCUGUCCGUAAGAUUAGUCAAAUCAACGGAUAAAUUGUUCAACUCACAAUUUUUGUUAAAUGAAGAGGUCAAUUAAUUUUUUUGGAAUCAUUGAGAACUCAAUUGGUGCAGUUUUUUCAUAAAGGCUAAAUUAAUUAUUUAAUUUGUUACUGUUGAGGGCUAUAGCAAUAAAAAAAUUUGAGGUAAAAUGAAAAAAAUUGUUAAAACUAAACUUGUGAUUAUGCCUAAUUUUAUCACAUUCUCCUUCGUUGGUAUUUAUGAUUUAGAAAAUUUUACAAAUAUAUUAUUUUUUAAGAAAUUAUAAGAAGAUUACAAAAAUUCCAAAAAUAUAUAAAAAAAGCUAAGAAAAACCUAGAAAUAAAAAAAAAAUCAUGUUUUUACAAAUUGGGAAAUACCUAAAUUUGUUUUCACCAAUUAAGAAAUUAAAAAAAUUGUUGAGAAAUAUCUUUUUCGAAAUAUCAUAAUUGCAUUUAAGACCUCAUGAUUAUCUUUUAUAAUUUCAGGCUUAUCAACUAUUUUGAAAACAACAAAACGUCUUACACCAAAACACAAAAAAAAAACGUCGACAUAUCACUUUAGCAUUGACUUACUUUUCUACUGUUAGUCUUCUCCAACAAGUUAAAUACUUCAAUUUUAACAACAUUGACAGGUCUUUGGGGUAGGGUCGAGCAAAACUCAAUAGAAACAGAUGAUAUAGGUUGAGUUGGCUCGGUCAAGCCCAUGUCCCUAGCUAUACGCCCCUCGUAAAAUCAAUUUUAAAAUUAAUUAUAAUAGUUUAAGCGAAUUGAUUAUUGAGUAAUGAAAUACUUAAUUCAACCAAUUGAUGUAAUCAAAUUAUAAUAAAUAUAUAUUUACUUUUAUGGUAUCCUUCAUCUCCUUUUUAGAGUUUGUGGGAAUAUUUUUUUUAAGCUUCGAAUUUAUUUUCUUAUUUAUGAGUACAAUGUGUCUUACAAUUACAUCUGCAGUUUAUAUUUUUUAUUUGAAAACAAAUAUUAUAAUAUAUGAAAACCCCAUAUAUAUAUAUAUAUAUAACCAAAUUUUGUCACACCCAUUUUAUGUUAAAAAUAUUUUCUUUUAAAUCGAGUAUAGGUUGGGUGGUAAAGUACUUAUAUUUUAAUACUAGUAAAUACAUGUUCAAUCUUUAGAUUUAUAAUUUAUAAUUCUUUUAACUGAAGAUGAUAUACAAGUAUGAAAAGACAAAAGUGACAUAGUAAUAAUAUUAAUUAUAAAUUUUAUAAUUUCAUGAUUGAGUUGAUGACGUAGUUGAAGGUAGCACUAACUCUAAAACACUUAAAUAUAGUAAUAGCUUAAAAAUGAGGGGCUUCUGGUAAAUACAUUACUGAGUUGGUAACCUGAUUGAGAGUAACACCAACUCAAUAAAACUCUUAAAUAUUGACUGCAAAUCCUAUCACACACUCAUGUGUAUGAAAACCACAAAUUUAGAAUGCAAAAAUGUGUUUAAAAAUAACAUACAAUAAAGAAUGAAAUUUAUGAUUUGAAACUAAUUAAUAAUAACACAUGAAAUAUGUACGAUAUCAAAAUGAAAAAAUAAAAGAUUAAAUUGUGCAUAAAACAAAAUUUUAUCCUAUUACAUCAAUAAAGUUAUAUUUAUUACCCUCGCCAAUUGUUUGUCAUUAAGAACAUUAAAGUAUCCUUGAAUGAUAUAACUUAUUCUAAUUAGAGUUGAUUGGUUGGCUUGGAUACCAACUCAGUCAGGGGCUUAAAAUUAUUAAAAUAUUAAUAUUUUAAAGAGAAAUUAAUAUUAUUAUAUGUGUAUUUUCACCUUUUCAUACUUUUAUAUAAUCUUCAAGUAAAACGAUUGAAAAAUAUUAUUUGAGAAUCAAACAAAAGACUAAAAAAUUCAUAUAGAAAAUGCUUGCAACUCCACUAAUAAUCAUUUGCCGAUGUAUUUUUGGUAAAAGACCUCUCCAAUCCCUCUUAAUUUCACAAUUGCACAAAUUACUCCCUCUCAAAAAAUUGGAGCAAUUUAAUCCCUAUCAAUUUUGAAAGUGAGUAAAUAAGGACAAUUAAUUAUGGUAUUAAAUUCUUCCAUCAAUCGUAGAUAAUUUUGAUUGGUAUAGUUAUAAAUUUAGCCUUCAAUGUUUAUAUAUUUUGUCAUUUUUGCCUUAAUUUUUAAAAAAUAUUCAAGAAAUUCAACCUCAACAUUUACAUAUUUACACAAACAUUGCAGGAAAUUUUUGUUAAACUAAGACCAAAUUGCAAAGUGUGCAAAUUUUGAAGGCUAAAUUUAUUAAUAUACCAACAAAAACCAUGUACAUUUUAUGGAAAAUUAACGUCCUGAUUAAUUAUUCUUAGUUGCUCACUUUCAAAAUUAAUAGGGACUAAAUUGCUCUGAAUUUUUUUAGGGUGACCAAUUUCCUCAAUUUGGAAAUUGAGAGAGACUAUUGAGAUCUUUCACAUAUUUUUUUUAUAAAUAUAUUUUUUAAUAUAAAAUAUACUUGUUCACCCACAUCAUGUGUAUGGUAAAAUAUUUUUAUUGUUGAUUGAGUUGGUGUCAAAAAUUAACUUGACACCAACUCAAGAUUAAUAAUAACAAUAUGAUAAAUAAUUUCUUUAUUUAAUAUUCUUAAUUUAACAUAUUGAUGUAAAUUUUAAGACAUGUAUGUCUUGUAGAAUUGUGCUUAUACUUUUUGAGUAUUGAGUCAGUUUUCCACAUUUGUGGGUCUCUAUUUGAGCAACACAAUUUCAACAUUUCUUCAUCUCGCUUAAUCCAAAUGCAUUUAGGAUUUUUUUAUAUCAUUGUUUCAAAAACGAUAAAAAAAUACGUCGACAUUGAAUUUGCUAUUUCACAUUCAAUUUCUGGAGAAGUAGAAUUUUCUAACUUAUUUUCCAUCAACUUCACUUCAAUUUUCAAUCACAAUCAAUUGCUUUCAAGAGCACCACAUCUUUUUGGAUGAAACAAACCUCUCAAUAUUAAGAUAAACGGGUCUUUAGGGCUAUUAAUUGAGGGCCUUUUCCACAAUUGCCAUCGUUAUUUGCGGGUGAUUCGGGGAUAAUAACAUCAACAUUUCUGUAUCACAUUUAAUUCAAUUCCACAUUGAACUUUUAAUUUUUAAAUAGAUGAUUGGGUUACAACAAUGGUUUGAAGUGAAGAUAUUUCAAAAGAAGGCAAAUAUAUCACUUUUUUGAGGGGUCUUUGGAGUUAUAUGUGACUUUAGCAUUGACUGACUUUUUUACAAUUAAUCUUUUAUAAUAAGGUAAAUAUAUCAAUUUUAAUAACAUCGACAUGUUUUUUAGUAGGGUCGAGCAAAAUCCAAUUAAAACCUUUCAUCACUGCAAAAAUGAAAUAAUAGAAAUGAAAGACUAGCCAUUGUAUGAGAUCUAUAAUUGAACUGUCAACGAAAUUGGGAGAAAUUUUAAAAUUUUAUGAAAUUUUAAAAUUAAACUGUCAAUAAUAUAAAAUUGCCUGAGUGACUUGGGAUAAGAGGUUGAACAUUGCUGGAUCACAUUACAUUUAAGAUGGGUCUUUAAGGUUAUACUUUAGUUAUUGAGAACAUUUUCCACAAUUUGCCAUCGUUAUUUGUGGGGUAUGUGGUUGAACACUUCUGGAACACAUUGCAUUUAGGACGGGUAUCAUUCAUAGACUGACUUUUCUAUAAUUAGUCCUUGCUUUACUUUAGGUGGAUUCUUCCAACUAGUCCAAGAAUUAUUGUACAGUUACAAUUAAUCUUUUUAAAUGAGACAAACAUUUCAAAUUUGUCGUUACUAUUUGUGAGUGAUUUUGGGGUAAGAAGUUUAACACUUCUGGAUGUCUUAUAGAAUUGUGAUUAUACUUUUUGAGUAUUGACUCAGUUUUCCACAAUUGUGGGUAUCUACUUGAGCAAAACAAUUUCAACAUUUCUUCAUCUCGUUUGAUCCAAAUGCAUUUAUGCAUUUCUUAUAUCAUUGAAUUUGCUGUUUCACAUUCAAAUUUUGGACAAGUAGAAUUUUCUAACCUAUUUUCCGUCAACUUCACUUGAAUUUUCAAUCACAAUCAAUUGCAUUCAAGAGCACCACAUCCUUUUGGAUAAAACAAAACUUUCAAUUUUAAGGUAAACGGGUCUUUAGGGUUAUACGAGGGCCUUUCCACAAUUGCCAUCAUUAUUUGCGGGUGAUUUGGGGAUAAUAACUUGAACAUUUCUGGAUCACAUUUAAUUCAAUUUUUAAAUUUUAGAGAGAUGUUUGGGUUACAACAAUUUCCAUCAUUAUGUUUAAUAUAACAUUUGGGAGGAAAAGGAGCAAAAAAAAUGAGUGAAAAUCAGAAAAUGGGGGCAAAGUAUAGGACCCACAUGAGCUGACCUAUUCCACUUGACUAUGGGACGACAUCAAUUUCGUAGAUUUGCACUUUGACCUGCUAAAAAAUACGAAUUUUAGGCUUUUCUGGCAUUCUAAGAUAUAUAUAUAUGACAAAAAUAAGAAGAUAUAAGAGAACCUUCCUAGAAUAUUCAAGAAAACAACUCCAAAGACACUACUAAAGCCGACUCUGAACCAGAUUUUCAUUAAGAUGGAAGAUUCCUAAUUGAUUUCUUAAGAGAUUAUCAUGAGUUUCUUUAUUCCUUUCAGUUAUACUACCCUUUGGAUGUUUUUAUUUUUAAUCAUGAACUAAUUUUCUAAAUACCUAAGAGAGAUGAACCCUAUGAUAGAUUGUGACACCCCAAAGCCGACCGAGACAGACCGACCCGAAUUCGAAACAUUACAUUAGCCACCUAAGUGACUUUCUAGCUAACAACCAGCCAAGACACACCCUAACCUUAUUGUACAAGCCUAAUUUUGACCAAGACUAAACCAAAUAAAUUAACAGUCCAUAAGAGUCCAAAUUACAACUAUCCUGAUACGACCCAAAUUAAAAACAACAACCCAAGCCCAAACCUAACCCUAGUAGCCCAAAGCCCACAAGCUAAAAAAUCUUAGCAGAAAAAACAAAGUUGCUAACCCUAGGCGCUGCGCCUGGGUCCUCUACCAUUGACCGUAUGCCUCUAUCAUCGCGUCUCACAGCCUCUGCCACGCCUCUGCUACCUGCAAGAAACCAACAAAGCACAAAACGACAACAGCAAUAGGGGCCAAAUCAAAAAAUAAUAAAAAAAUAGAUCAUGAAUCGCUUAGAUCGGCUAUAAAGGCCAAAAUAUUAACCUUGUAAUGCUUCUUCUUUUUUUUGACGAACAUUAGAAAAAUAAAAAAUAGAAAACAAGUAUCAAAGGUAGAUUUUUUUCAUUUUCAAAUUCACAUUUCUUUUCCCUGUGUAUUUUCUUUUCUUCUAUUUUUUUUACAUACAACUAGUAAGAACAAAGAAAGAGAAAGAAAAACCUCACCUAGAAUAGCCCCUCAAGUCCGGUCGUCGGAGGCCCUUUUCCCGUUGUCGGAAUUAGACCUAAAAGGGGGGCUAGGGGUGCCCUCUCCUGGUUUUUUAGGCCAAAGAAGGUUGGAUCUUUGAGCGCACUGGAAAUCGGGGUUGAAACGCCUCUUUUGCGCAACGUCGGCCAUCGGUCACGGUGGCGCUACGGCGGCACUUACGGCCGAAACCCUAGGCCGAGCGGGGUGGGGGUUUGAGAGAGGGAGAGAGCUCAAAAGCUCUCUGAAUUUUUUUAAAAAAAAUGGGAUGAAACUGAUUUUCUUUGGGUUUUUUAUUUUAUUUUAUCCUAAGUAUGAAACGCCUCCGUUUUGGACUUAAGUAGCCAUGGCCAAAACGACGCCGUUUUACAUCGUUUCCCCCAUACCCGCGCGCGCGACCCGACCCGCCAGGGGAUCCGCACGUUUUGACUCUAAGGGGAUAUUUGCGCAAUCUGCCCCUACGCUUUUUCGACGUAUUCAAUUCUGGUUUAUUAUUAUUUUUAUUUUAGCCAUGUAUUUUUGCUUCCGAUUCAAGUUGGUCCUUAGACCAUGUGUUGUUCCACGGUUAAAACGCCGCGCUUUAGGACUGGGGAAUAUUUCCCUGAAAGUCCCUCGCUCUUUGAGCGCGUUUCAUUUUGGUCCCGAGCCACCCCUUUUAUUUAUUUGCAAUUUAGACCGCGAGUUCUAAUCCGAUUUCAAUUUAAUCCUUAUUCCAUAUAAUUAUUUUAUUUUCUUUUUCUUUAAAAAUUAAUUUUUUUUAUUUUUAAAAAGGAGCUCUUCUAUUAUUAUUAUUUAUUUUAAGUUAUACAUAUAUUAUUUAUUCUAAAUGUUUUGCCUAAUAUUUACUUAAUUUUUUUAUUCUAUUAUUUGUUUAACAACUAUAUGUAUAUAUUGUCUCUUAGAAUUUAUAUAUAUAUAUAUAUUUAUAUAUAUAUAUUAUUUUAAUAAAAAUAAAGAAUACUGUUUUUAAUUAUUUUAAACUAUCUUAGUAUUUUUUUUUUCAUUUUAAAGCUUUAUAUUGCUUGUUUGAGACAUUUUGCCAUACAUUUCGAGUUAAUCUCAUAAGUUAUUCGUCUUAUACUAUUACCUACGUAAAAUUGUUCUUUAUUAUUUCGUUUCGUUUGCUUGGACUAUUAAUAUUGAUAUGUUAAAAUGUUGCACAUGGUGUGAUUAUUAUCAUUACGUACGUUGUAAUUAGUUUAUUUGUUUUCGCAUUAUUGCCAUUAUGUGUAUUAUUUCGUUUACUCGUAUUUCCAUGCUAUGGCAAUUCAUUCGUAUAUCAUGUUGUUCAAAAAUUAUUUCACCAUAUUAUAAAUUGUCACCCCAUCGACGCAACCUUUUUGUUCACGCAUUAUUUCAAACAUUACAUUUUUUACCCAAACAUGCAAAAAUGAAAAUUUCAAAUAAGGCAAUAUUUUGUGUAUUGGCGAUUCGAGAAAUUGUAUCCUAACUUAUGGGGUUUUGGCCUUUCUCGUUAAAACUAAUAGCAAAAUACCCUUUUUAAAAUAUCAAAAAAUGACGAAAGGAAUCUAAAUAAGGCAAUAUUUCGUGUUUAGAAAUUCAAGAAAACGUACCCUAAUGUGCUGGGUUUCGAUUCUUUCGUUUGACCAAAUAGCCAAAUAUUCUCUUAAAAUUUCAAAGUAUGGGUUUUGGAACCAUAAGGUGAUCUUGGGUUCGAGGGUUUAAAGUAUUGUAUCCUAACGUGCUGGAUGUGAUUUUUUUCUAAACAAGAGAAUCCUAAAUUCCAACCCAUGUUAUUCGAGUUUUUUUUUAUGAUAGUAUUUUUAAAAACUCUUCAAAGUUUUCAAUCUUCGACAUUAAGACACUAAUUAAUCAACUAGGUACCAAUUUUUUGGCGUUUCGAGGGUGCUAAUCCUUCCUCGUACGUAAUCGACUCCCGAACCUAUUUUUCUGAAUUUCGUAGACCAAAAGCAUUGUUUUAAUAAAUCCAAAUCAUUUAUUAAACACAAUCGUUUUACGAGGUGACCCGAUCACACCUCAUCAAAAAAGAUUGGUGGAGACUCCCGUGUUCGUUUUCGUUUUUCAAAAUUAAAGUCGACCCUCGUUUUACAAAAAAUGGUGUCAACACUUAUAACACCUCAAUCUUAUUUAAUUAUUAUUUAUUUAUUAAUGGCAAAGUAAAUUAUGAGCCAAUUUUGAACUUUUCCUAGGUAAUUUAACCUAAGGGCAUUUAUGUCAUUUUACUAAAAUAAUUUCUGUAAUUUUUAUUAUUCGGCUAUAUAAAGCCAUUGGUGAUACUAUAAAAAAGAAUUACGGAGAUACUAUAAAAAAGGAUUACGGAUUCGAAAGAAAAGAAAAAAAAUCAAAUAGCAUUAUAUUUUUAAGGUGGUUUCCGAUUUCUACUUCUUUUUUCUUUUUCCUUUGAUUUGUUUUUAUUUGCUGAUUAAAAGAUAAAAAAGGGGGAAGUUCUUACUUACAUAUUGCGCCGCCGGAGCCUUCAUCCCUUUUGUUUCAAGUUGGAAUGGGGUGGGCAAUGGUCGAAUCGAAAACAGCACAUAGAGGGUAGAUUUUAAGGUUUCUUUGGUUAGAUUUUUUUUUUAAAAAAUGGAGUGUCUACUAAUAUUUAGGGUUUAUGUUGACUUAUAUAUGGCGUAUGAAACGACGUCAUUUCAUGCCAUUUCAGUGGUUUCAAAACGGCGUCAUAUAGGACCGAGAUCUGUGCGGUGACCUGACCCGAGGGAAGGAUCCGCACGUUUUGUCGCGAUGGUCUAUUUUUACAUUAGGUCCCUUCGUUUUUUAUUAUUAUAAUGCAGUUUUUUUAUAUAUUUUUAAUUUGUACUCCUUGAUUUGUUUUAAUUUCAAUUAGGUCCAUAAUCGAACGACGUCGUUUUGGAGGGCAGGGAUUAAUUUCCCUUUUGGUCUCUCUUUGUUAUUCGCGCGUUCGAUAUGGUCCUUUUCUUUUUAUUUAUUUUAAAUUUGCCCCUAAAUUUCUGUUUUAAUUCCAAAUUAGUAACCUAUUUUGUUAUUUUUGCUAUUAAAUUAAUUACUUUAAUAUUAAUUUAUCAUUAUUACUAUUAUUACUAUCAUUAUUGUUAUUAUUAUUAGUAGUAGUAGUAGUAUUUAUAUAUAUAUAUAUAUAUCUAACUUUUUUUAUAUACAUAAUUUUAUUCUAUUAUAUACUAUUAUUUAGUUUUUUUUAUACUAUUAUCAUAUAUUAUUAUUUAAGUUUGUAAUGUAUUUUUUUUAUAUUAAUCCAAUAUAAUAUAUAUAUUUUCCAUUUUUUAUUUUAUAAUAUAUUUUUUAAAUUCACCUAUAUAUAUUUCUAUGCUUUAAAAGAUUUAUACGAUAAUGUCCUUAUAUAAUACUAUUUUAUAUAUAUGUAUACACAAUUUAUAUUAAAUUAUUUUCAUUAUAUGUACAUAUAUGACAUAUGAUAGAUUUCAUUUUUUUUCACUUAUUUUCAUAAAUAAUUUAUUUCUUUUAAAAAGCCUACUCUAUUAUGUUUUAUUUAUUUCUGCUUUUUACAUGUAUUAUUAUAUAUGUAUACUAUUAUUUAUAUCAAGUUUUUCACUCCAUGUGUAUUACAUAUUCUAAAUUAAUAUAUAUUAUUUUAUAUAUUUUAAUUUUCUUCUUAUAUAAUAUUUGCUUCAAAAUUCAUCUAAAUACUAUUAUUUUAUGUAGUGUUUAUUUUUUACUCUAUCUUGAUUACAUUUCAUACUUAUAUAUAUGUAUAUUGUUCAUUUUUAAACUUUUUGUACGUAUAGUUUAUUGAUUAUAAUUUCUUCUCUCUUUUUUUUAGUGUAUCUUUAAAAAUUGAUUAGUAAUUCACUUAAAUUUUGAAUGUUGAAUGAUUGAGAUUGUUGCCUUGCUUGUUAGUAUUUGUCUAUUGGUUAUUUGUUAUUCAUUAGUGUAUGUUAUUUACAAAUUAUCCUUUACGUUGUACGUUGUCAUUUAUUCGCAUUACAUUCGUUUAAAAGGUUGCAUUUGAUUAAAAUAAUAAAAUUGUUUACCCAUAAAAUUUUCAAGAUACUUGGUAUCCAAGAUUCUUGAGAAGAUUGUGCCCUAACUUACUCGGCUUCAAUUUUCCUCAUUGGAUUGAGGUAACCGGGUAUCUCUUUUUCGAUUAAAACAUAAAAAUUCAAAUCAAAACUUAUCUCGAGGAUUCAAAACGUUGUGUCCUAACUCAUUGGAUAUGACAUUUUGUUAUCUUGAGAUGAGGUUUUUUUUAAUAAAGGCAAACUCACAUGUUGUCGUCGGAACUUCAAAGAAUCGUACCCUAACUUACGGGGUUUUGAUUUCCUUAUUGAAGCAAGAUGACCAAAUUUUUUAGUUUUUGAAAUAAUAAAUUUCAAUAAAGAUUUUUUAAAAGGAGAAUCACUUUUUUAAUCUUUUUUUGACAUUCGACCUUAAGACAUUAAAUAAUCAAUUAGGUACCAAUUUUGGGCGUUACGAGGGUGCUAACCCUUCCUCGUACGCAAUCGACUCUCGAACUCAUUUUUUCUGAAACUCAUAGACCAAAAUCGUUUUCAAGGUGAUUCGAUCACACCUCAAUAAAAGAUCGGUGACAACUCCAAUUUUCAUUUUUAAGUCGACAACUAACUUUUGUUUUCAAAAAGUGGUUUCGACAGCUUGUCAACUCCACUGGGGAUUGAUUUUAAGAGUCGAGCCAUAAAUUGAUUAAUUUUUGUCUUAUGGUCGAAAAAUCAAAUUUUGUUUUUAAAUUCACGAUUCUCCUUUGCAUUUAUUGUUUUCAUCAUGGUAUUGUUGCUUGGUUGGUCUAAGUCUGUUAAUGUAUUUGCAUCGUGCAUUACACGAGUUGGACGAUUUUACCCUUCUAAGUGGGAGUGAGAAACUAUUCCUUUGUGAGGUUUUCACCUCCGCAUAGGAUAGUGGAUCUCUUUCGGGAUACAUCCGUACCUAUGUCUUCGUAAUAUUUUCAUCUCCAUGUAGCCAUAGGGAAAUGUAUUCCCUUAAACCGAACUCAGUUCGCAUGAGCCUAUAAUUGGUGAGGAUCGAGGAAUCUACUGGUUUGGGUACCUUUGCACUAGAAGCCAAACCGUACAUUGUGAACCUUAGGAACUUGCCCUAGGUAGAACUAUGUCAAACCCUAGUAGAUACCCAAAUAGGUGCUUUAUUAUUUCUUGUUUGAAUUGAAUUUUAUUUUUAUACAUGAUACUAACUUGUGUUUUGUUUUGAUUGCAUGGCAUUUUGACUACAUGGCAUUUCAUUAUAAAAGGCGUUGAUUCAUAUUCGGUUACUAGAUAGAAAGCUUAUCAUGGAAAAAGGGUUUCUUGAUAAGGUGAAGGAUAAUGCGGCUGUCCGAACUUGGUCUGAAACAACAUAGCGAGAAACAUUUCAUGGAAAAAGGGUUUCUUGAUAAGGUGGGUUUCUUGAACAUUUCUGGAUCACAUUUAAUUCAAUAUUUAAAUUUUAGAGAGAUGUUUGGGUUACAACAAUUGCAUCAUUAUGUUUAAUAGAACAUUUGAUAGGAAAAGGAGCAAAAAAAUGAGUGAAAACCGAAAAAUGAGGGCAAACUAUAGGACCCACACGGGCUGACCUAUUCCACUUGACUGUGUGACCCACACGGUCGUGUGGCAAACCACGUCAAUUUCAUUGAUUUGCACUUUUAACUGAGAAAAAUACGAAUUUUAGGUUUUUCGGGCAUUCUAAGAUGUAUAUAUGACAAAAUUAAGAAGAUAGGACCUUCCUAGAAUAUUCAAGAAAGCAACUCCAAAGACACCACUAAAGCCGACUCUGAAGCAGAUUUUCAUUAAGAUGGAAGAUUUCUAUUCGAUUUCUUAGGAGAUUAUCAUGAGUUUCUUUAUUUCUUUCAAUUAUAAUGCCCUUUUGAUGUUUUUAUUUUUAAUCAAGAUUAAUGAUAACAAUAUCAUAAAUAAUUUAUUUAUUUAAUAUUCUUAAUCUAACAUAUUGAUGUAAAUUUUAAAUUGACAUUAUUUGAUUCUUUUUAAUAUAUAUUGCUAAGCUUUACAUUAAUAUUUGUUGGUUAUUAUUAUUAUUAUUAUUAUUUAAACAUUAAUCAUGUUUAAAUGCGUUUCAUCCUCCAAUUUAAGAGUUGGAGAGAAUUUUCAAUAGUUAAAUUAUAUCAGUUUUUAUCUAUUUAAAAAUUAUUUAUAAAUAAUAUAAGUAGAAAUUAAAUUUAAAAAAAAUACAUAUUCAUAUUCUAUCGGCUUUUUCAUUAUUAGAGUUUUUCCUCACAGGUAAAAGUAUUUAUGGACAGGAUGGCGUAAUAUUAUGACUUGAAAAGUUUUAAACCCUUCAACACUGCAAAAAUGAAAUAAUAGAAAUGAAAGACUAGCCAUUGUAUGAAAUUUAUAAUUGAACUGUAAACAAAAUUAAACUGUCAAUAAUAGAAAAUUGCCUGAGUGACUUGGGAUAAGAGGUUGAACAUUUAUGGAUCACAUUGCAUUUAAGAGGGGUCUUUGGAGUUAUAUGAUACUUUAACAUAGACAUAGACUUUUCUAUAAUUAGUCACUGCUUUACUAUGGGUGAAUUCUUCCAACUAGCAUGAUAGUUGAUGUUACUCUCCAAGAAUUAUUGUAGCCUCCUCUUCCAACUAGCGUAGAGUUAUCUUUAUUCCUACCCCACGCUGGCAACAAACCACUGCUCAAAUUAAUUUGAAGAUAUCUCUUUUCGAAUCCAUGAGUUUUGUUUUCCUUUUUGUAAAAUAGAUAUCAAGAGAUACCAAAAAUUAUUUUACUAACAAAUUUUAAUUCACUCAAAAAGUAAGUGUUUUAUUUCAAGGGAUCACAAUUAAACAUUAGAUUUCUCAUUUUUUAAUUUUAAUUCAUUUAAGAAAGCUGAUGUAACACAUUAGUGACAUCAUUCCAAACAAAGUUUUAGGUCAAAAUUUUCAUCUAGUCCUUGUAAUUGUUUUUAGGUGAAUUUCAUUAUUAUUCUUUUAUUUUCUUUGGCUUAAAUACACAUUUACCCCUAAUUUUAUCACACUCUCCUUAAUUGGUAUUUAUGGUAUAGAAAAUUUUACAAAUAUAUAUAUAUAUUAAGCAAUUAUAAGAAGAUUACAAAAAUUCCAAAAUAAUAUAAAAAAGCUAAGAAAAACCUUGAAAUUCAAAAAAAAAAUCAUGUUUUUACAAAUUGGGAAGUACCUAAAUUUGUUUUCAUCAAUUAAGAAAUUAAAAAAAUUGUUGAGAAAUAUCUUUUUAGAAAUAUCAUAAUUGCAUUCAAGACCUCAUGAUUAUCUUUUAUAAUUUCAGGCUUAUCAACUAUUUUGAAAACAAAGAAAUGUCAUACACCAGAAAAAUAAACAAAAACAAAAACGUCGACAUAUCACUUUAGCAUUGACUUACGUUUCUACUGUUAGUCUUCUCCAACAAGUUAAAUAUUUCAAUUUUAACAACAUUGACAGGUCUUUGGGGUAGGGUCUAGCAAAACUCAAUAGAAACGGAUGAUACAGUUUGAGUUGGCUCGGUCAAGCCCAUGUCCCUAGCAAUACGGCCCUGGUAAAAUCAAUUUUAAAGUUAAUUAUAAUAGUUUAAGCGAACUGAUUAUUGAGUAAUGAAAUACUUAAUUCAAACAAUUGAUGUAAUCAAAUUAUAAUAAAUAUAUAUUUACUUUUAUGGGUUCCUUCAUCUCCUUUUUAGAGUUUGUGGCAAUAUUUUUUUUAAGCUUCAAAUUUAUAUUUUUUUUAUUUAUAAGUACAAUCUGUCUUACAAUUACAUCUGUAGUUUAUAUUUUUUAUUUGAAAACAUAUAUUAUAAUAUAUAUAUAUAAAACCAAAUUUGGUCACACCCAUUUUAUGUUAAAAAUAUUUUCUUUUAAAUUGAGUAUAGGUUGGGUGGUAAAGUACUUAUAUUUUAAUACUAGUAAAUACGUGUUCAAUCUUUAGAUUUAUAAUUUAUAAUUCUUUUAAUUAAAGAUGAUAUGCAAGUAUGAAAAGACAAAAGUGACACAGUAAUAAUAUUAAUUAUAAAUUUUAUAAUUUCAUAAUUAAGUUGAUGACGUGGUUGAAGGUGGCACUAACUCUAAAACACUUAAAUAUAAUAAUACCUUAAAAAUGAGGGGCAUUUGGUAAAUACAUUUCUGAGUUGGUGACCUGAUUGAGGGUCACACCAACUCAAUAAAACUCUUAAAUAUUGACUACAAAUCCUAUCACACACUUAUGUGUAUGAAAACCACAAAUUUAGAAUGCAAAGAUGUGUUUAAAAAUAACAUUUAAUAAAGAAUAAAAUUUAUGGUUUGAAACUAAUUAAUAAUAACACAUGAAAUAUAUACGAUAUCAAAAUGAAAAAAUAAAAGAUUAAAUUGUCCAUAAAACAAAUUUUUUUCCUAUUACAUCAAUAAAGUUAUAUUUAUUACCCUCGCCAAUUGUUUGUCAUUAAGAACAUUAAAGUAUCAUUGAAUGAUAUAACUUAUUCUAAAUAGAGUUGAUGUAUGCUUGGCUUGGGAUACCAACUCAGUCAGGGGCUUAAGAUUAUUAAAAUAUUCUUAUUUUAAAGGGAAAUUAAUAUUAUUAUAAGUGUAUUUUCACCUUUUCAUACUUUGAUAUAAUCUUCAAGUAAAACGAUUGAAAAAUAUUAUUUGAAAACAUAAGACUAAAAAAAUUCAUAUAGAAAACGCUUACCACUCCACUAAUAAUCAUUUGUCAAUGUAUUUUUGGUACCUCUCCAAUCCCUCUUAAUUUCACAAUUGCGCAAAUUAGUCCCUCUCAAAAAAAUUGGAGCAAUUUAAUCUCUAUCAAUUUUGAAAGUGAGUAACUAAGGAUAAUUAAUUAUGGUGUUAAAUUCUUCCAUCAAUUGUACAUAAUUUUGAUUGGUAUAGUAAUAAAUUUAGCCUUCAAUGUUUAUAUAUUUUUGUCAUUUUGGCCUUAAUUUUUAAAAAAAAUUCAAGAAAUUCAACCUCAACAUUUACAUAUUUACACAAACGUUGCGGGAAAAUUUUGUUAAAGUAAGACCAGCUAAAUUUAUUAUUAUAUCUGUAGGGCCCAAUUUUUGCCCGGCCCGUUAAACAAAUAAAACCCAAAAAUACAAGCCCAAUAACCCUAAACUUUGCCCAACUAGCAACCUCCAUACCCCAAACCCUAGUGGCAGCUUCCAGCAACUCCAGCCGCCGCACGAUGCGGGCCAGAAUCCUCCCUACGCGCGAUUUGCGCCUCCACGGGCGUGCGCACUCCCCAACAGUGCCUAUACCUGCGAGAAAAAACUGGAAAAUGGCAGAAAAUGCAGCAAUAACAGAAAAUAUUUCUUUGAUUUUGUAUUUUUUUUGUUAUUAUUUAUUUUUUAUUUUCGGUUAUAUAUAAACCGAUUUGUAAAGAGAAUGGGGGGAUUUUUUCAGUUUAAAGGAUACAAAAUAGAGAAAAAGAACAGAUCGAACUUGUUUUUUUUAAAGGUUUUUUUUUCGUUUUAUUUUGCAGUGUCUAUUGUUUUUAUUUCCAUUUUUUUAUUUUAUUUUAUUUUCAUUUUAUUUUAUUUAGAAUAACAAAGAAAAAGAAAAAGAAAACUUACCUAAGUUGAGGUCGAAAUCGGUGCCGGAAUUCGGACCGACUGAAUCGCCUGAGAGGCGGUGCGAGGAUGCUAGGGAUGAAACCCUAGCAGAGCAAAGGGAGCCUUUUUUUUAUUUUUUUCUUUUCAAUCUGAUUACAGUGGUUUUGAAAGGAAAAUUUUAUUUUAAAUAACGUUCAAAACGGCGCCGUUUUCCCAGGCUUGACCCGCACGGUGACCUGACCCGAAGGGGAGGAUCCGCGCGUUUGGCUUCAAAAGGGAAAUUGCGCAUUUAGCCCCUGCCUUUUGCAAUGCGCUUCAAUCAAGCCCCUUUUGUUUUUUUUUAAAUUUAGGCCGCAUAUUUCAUUUUUGUUUCAUUUGGGUCCCUCGCUGCGCAACGCAUUGGAAGGACGGGAUAAUUUCCCUUUUGGUCCUCCACUCUUGCGCGCGAAUUCAAUGUGGUCCUGUUUUAUUUUACUUCAAAUUUACCCCUUUUUUUCCUUUUUAGUUCAAUUUAAUCCUUUUAUUUUAAACUGUUGUAUUUUUUUUAUUUAUGUUAUACUAAUUUAUUAUUUUUAUUUUUAUUAUCAUUAUUAUAUCUACCUAUGUACACGCACAUGCGUUUCUUAUCAUAUCUAUGUAUAUACUGUAUAUAUAUUUAAAUGUUUUAUAUGCAUAUGUUAUAUUCAUUAUUAUUAUUAUUUUAUAACAAACAUGCAUUGUUUUUUUAUGAUACAUAUACAUACGCAUGGCUUUUAUAAUAUAUAUAUAUAUGCAUUCUUUUAUACAGUAUACAUAUACCUCUAUAUAUUUUAUACAUUUUUUUUAUUUUCUAACUUUUACAUAUAUAAAUAAACUUUUAUAUUUUAGUUUUUUAUAAAUACGUAUGUACAUAUGUUUUCUUUUACAUUUUCUUUACGACAUACUUAUACAUUUUCUGUAAAUAUAUAUACAUAUGCAUAUUUUGAUAUUUUUAUCUUCACAAUUUUCACGUAUACAUACACAUGUUUUGCAUGCAUAUUCUUAGAAAUUAUUGUAAGCUUGUUGUAUAUAUUUCUUUACCUUCCUUUUUAUAAGUACACUUGUAUUUACGUGUUAAAUGCAUGCUCAUACAUAUUUUCAAGCUUACUUGUAUAUUGUGCUCAUAUAUAUUUUGUAAAUAUGUAUUCAUAUACAUUCUAAAUUAAAGUUUUUGCUUCAUAUUAUACAUUAACUUUCGAUAUACCCUUUUUGAAAAUAUAUUUUGGUUUUAACCGUACGACAAACUUAUUUUCCUGAUUCGAAGGUGUUUUUUUUUUUUGAAUAAAAGUAUUAUUUAAAGUUUGGGAUUUUCGAGGGAAAUUGAGCCCUAACGUAUUGGGUUCUGGUUUUCUUUGUCAAUCUUAAAUGACCGAGAAUAUUCUUUAUUCAAAAUGCAUGAGCAUAAAAAUCAUUUUUGGGAACUUAACUUGUCGUGCCCUAACGUAUUGGGUGUAGCCUGUUACUUUCUUGAAAUGAAGAUUUUCGCAUAAAAUAAAAGUGAUAUUCAAAGUUUGGGGAUUAUGAGGAAUUGUACCCUAACGUAUUGGGACUCGAUUUCUUUACAUGACUUGAACAAUUGAUUAUCCUUUUUCAAAAUUCAUCAUUUGAGUUGAUUUUAAAAUCUUUUUAACCUUCGACACUAAGACAUUAAAUGAUCAAUUUGGUACCGAAUUUGGGCACUACGAGGGUGCUAACCCUUCCUCGUGCGUAACUGACUCCCGGACUCAUUUUCUCAAAAUUCGUAGACCAAAAUAGGGUGAGCCGAUCACACCUUAAUAAAUGAUCGGUGGCGACUCCAGUUUUAUUUUUAAACUCGACAACUAAAUUUUUGUUUUCAAAAAAUGGUUUCGACAAUAUCAACCAAAAUCAUGUACAUUUUAUGGAAAAUUAACAUCCUGUUGCUCGCUUUCAAAAUUAAUAGGGACUAAAUUGCUCUGAUUUUUUUAGGGUGACCAAUUUCCUCAAUUUGGAAAUUGAGAGAGACUAUUGAGAUCUUUUACUUUUUUUUUUAUAAAUAUAUUUUUUUAAUAUAAAAUAUAUUUGUUCACACACAUUGUGAGUAUGAUAAAAUAUUUUUAUUGUUGAUUGAGUUGGUGUCAAAAAUUGACUUGACACGAACUCAAGAUUAAUGAUAACAAUAUCAUAAAUAAUUUAUUUAUUUAAUAUUCUUAAUUUAAGAUAUUGAUGUAAAUUUUAAGACAUGCAUGUCUUGUAGAAUUGUAAUUAUACUUUUUGAGUAUUGAAUCUUUAGAUUUAUAAUUUAUAAUUCUUUUAAUUAAAGAUGAUAUACAAGUAUGAAAAGACAAAAGUGACUUAGUAAUAAUAUUAAUUAUUAAUUUUAUAAUUUCAUAAUUGAGUUGAUGAUGUAGAUGAAGGUGGCACUAACUCUAAAACACUUAAAUAUAGUAAUAGCUUAAAAAUGAGGGGUUUUUGUAAAUAUAUUACUAAGUUAGUAGCCUGAUUGAGGGUAACACAAACUCAAUAAAACUCUUAAAUAUUGACUACAAAUCCUAUCAUACACUUAUGUCUAUGAAAACCACAAAUUUAGAAUAUAAAGAUGUGUUUAAAAAUAACGUACAAUAAAGAAUGAAAUUUAUGGUUUGAAACUAAUUAAUAAUAACACAUGAAAUAUGUAUGAUAUCAAAAUGAAAAAAAAGAAAGAAUAAACUGUGCAUAAAACAAAAUUUUAUCCUAUUACAUCAAUAAAGAUAUAUUUAUUACCCUCGCCAAUAGUUUGCCAUUAAGAACAUUAAAGUAUCCUUGAAUGAUAUAAAUUAUUUUAAAUAAAGUUGAUUGGUUGGGAUACCAAUUCAGUUAGCGACUUAAAAUUAUUAAAAUAUUCUUAUUUUAAAGGGAAAUUAAUAUUAUUAUAAGUGUAUUUUCACAUUUUCAGACUUUUAUAUAAUCUUCAAGUAAAACAAUUGAAAAAUAUUAUUUGAGAAUCAAACACAAGACUAAAAAAUUCAUAUUGAAAACGCUUAUCACUCCACUAAUUCAUAUUGAAAACCUCUCCAAUCCCUAUUAAUUUCACAAUUGCGCAAAUUAGUCCCUCUCAGUUUUGAAAGUAAGUAACUAAGGAUAAUUAAUUAUGGUGUUAAAUUCUUCCAUCAAUUGUACAUAAUUUUGAUUGGUAUAGUUAUAAAUUUAGCCUUCAAUGUUUAUAUAUUUUGUCAUUUUGGCCUUAAUUUAAAAAAAAUUCAAGAAAUUCAACCUCAACAUUUACAUAUUUACACAAACGUUGCGGGAAAAUUUUGUUAAAUUAAGACCAAAUUGCAAAGUGUGUAAAUUUUGAGGGCUAAAUUUAUAAUAUACCAACCAAAAUCAUGUACAUUUUAUGGAAAGACAUGCAUAACCCAAAGAAAUGGGAUGAAACUGAUUUUCUUUGGGUUAUAAAUUUAUAAUAACAGUAAGUUAUUAACCAUACUAUUAUCAUUAAUUUUGAGUUAGUUAUAAAUUACUGUUAUACGCCCAGUAAGUUAGGGCUCAACUUUCUCGAGAAUCUUAGAUGUCAAGUGUUUUGAAAACUUACGGAUAAAAUGAUUUUAGUAUUUUAAUCAAAUGCACUCUUUCAAACAAAUGUAACGCAAUUGGAUAAUAACAUACAACACAAAAAGAUAAUUCGAAAAUAAAAUAUACAUUAAUGAGCAAUGAAUAAUCAAUAAAUAAAUACAAACAAACAUAACAACAAUAAUCUCAAUUGUACAUUAUGCCAAUAUCAAUAUCAACAUUCAAAAGCUAAUAAAAAAAACGAGCCAAUUAAUGCAAAUGUAAACUAAAUGUACAAGUAUUGGAAUAACUAAAAAAACAAAUGGCAUGAAAGAAAUGGAAGUUGUAAAUCAAUAAAGUAUAUGUACAAAAAUAUAAAAUAAAUAAUAUACAAGAAAUUGAAAUAACCAAAAAUUGAGUUAAAAAUAAAUACUAUGUGAGACAAUAAUAUUUAAACAAAUUUUAAAAUAAAUGUUGCAUAUGAGGAAAAUCAAAAUAAGUACUAUACAAAAUAAUAUACAUAUAUUAAUCUAAUAAGUGAUAUGUAUAAAGUGAAAACUCGAUAUAAAUAAUGAUAUAUGUAAUAAUAUGUAAAAGUUGAAAUAUACAAAAUAUAGAAGAGGGUAUUUUAAAGAAUGAAAUUAUAUACAUAUAAGUAGCUUUAAAAAAUAUAUUAAAAGGGGAACUAAAACAAAUCAUAGUUAUAAUAAUAUAAAAAUAAUAAUAUAUUCAUAGAAUAAAAAAUAUAUAGAUUAUAUAUAUAAAUAUAAUAAUAAUAUUGUAUGAGAAUACUAUCAUAUAAUUCUUUAAAAUGUAAAAAUAUAAAAGAAAAUUUUAAAAAUAAAUACAUUAUAAAAUAAGACUAAUAAAAUAAAAUACAUACCAAUUAUAUUAAGCCUAUAUAAAAAAAUAUACAUAAAAAUAAUAUUCGAUAGAUCUAAGUAAUGAUAUGAUAAGUUUAAAAUUAUAGUACAUGAUAAAUUUUACAUUAUGAUGUAUGAUAAAUUUAAAUAAUAUUAAUGAUAAUUUAAAAUAAUAGUAUAUGAUAUAUUAAAAUAAUACUAAUGAUAAAUUUAAAGCAAAGUUAAGCUUAAAUAUUAAAAUAAUACUAGAUUUAAAAAUAAAUAUAUCAAAAAUAAGAAUUAAUUAGAUUUAAAAUUAAACUAAUAAAAAAUAAAUUAGAAUUGAAACAUAAUUAAAAAGAGAGAAAAUAAAAUAAAAUAAUGGGUCAAAGAUUGAAUUGAAACUAAAACAAAAUUAAAGGGGCAACAAACAUAAUUAAAAAUAAAAGAAGGGCUAAAGUGCAGCGCGCGGAUAACAUGAGGGACCGAAAGGGAAAUAUUCCCAAUACCGAAAACGCAGCGCUUUAAUAUGGAUUAAAAUGAAACAAAAAUAAAUGAGGGAUUAUAUUUAAAAAGAAAUAAAAGGACUGGAUUGAAUUGCACUAGAAAUUCGGAAGGACCAAUUUCGAAAAUAACCCAUCUUCACGAAACACGCGGAUCCCCCGGGUCGGCUCAACAAGCGGAUCGACGGCUACUAAACGGCGUUUUUGGUACUAUCAAACCUCCCAAAACGGCGCCGUAUUAUGUUAUUACUUAAACAAGAUUUUUAACAAAAAAAAAGAACAUUUGCAGCAUAAGUUUUUUUGAAAAAAAGGUUGCAGCUCUUCUUCUCUGCUAGGGUUUCAACCCUAGUCCUAGCCGCCGCCAUUUCCGCCGCAUCAAACCCGAGCCCCAUCUAACUCCGAUUUGGACGGAGUAAACGGAGCCCUGACGGCGCUUUUAUGAAGGUACGAAACUGCCUUCUUCCUUCUCCUUUACCUUUUUCGCAUAUAUAUAUAUAAAAAGAAUAGCAAAUCAAAGAGAAAAGAAAUCAUAAAAAAAACUCAGAAUAUCACCUUUUAAAAAAAACUAAUGUAGUUUUUUAUUGCCCAUUUUUUGUAUUCAGUAUCCAACCCCCUACAUUGAAGCAAUCUGCUCUUUUUAUAGCCAGAUCUAAUGAAAUUACAAAGGUUUUUUAUUUUAUUUUAUUGCUAUUCCUCGUUUUCUUUGCCGUUAUUCCCUUAUGCUUCUAGUGUAUUCCUUUCUGUUUGUUGCUGUUGCAGGUACAGCUGGAGUGCACGUGGAAAACCUAAGAAGAUUACAAAAAUUCCAAAAUAAUAUAAAAAAGCUAAGGAAAACCUAGAAAUUCAAAAAAAACAAACGUCGACAUUCAAUUUGCUGUUUCACAUUCAAUUUUUGGAGAAGUAGAAUUAUUUAACUUAUUUUCCAUCAACUUCACUUCAAUUUUCAAUCACAAUCAAUUGCAUUCAAGAGCACCACAUCUUUUUGGAUGAAACAAAGCUCUCAAUUUUAAGAUAAACGGGUCUUUAGGGUUAUUAAUUGAGGGCCUUUUCCAUAAUUGCCAUCGCUAUUUACGGGUGAUUCGGGGAUAAUAACUUCAACAUUUGUGUAUCACAUUUAAUUCGAUUCCACAUUCAAUUUUUAGUUUUUAGAGAGAUGAUUGGAUUACAACAAUGGUUUGAAGUGAAGAUAUUUCAAAUGAAGAUGAAUAAUUUAAAAUUCAGGUUAUGUUUCAUUUUAACUAAGUUAAAUGUUAAGAUUGAGAUUAAACCUUUUAGAGGUUGCUCACAAAAGGAUAAGCCUUUAUAAAAGUGCUUAAAUGAAGGCCAAAUUUUUUAAAAUAGGCAAAUAAGGUCCUAACCUUUUAAAAGGUGUUUAAAUAAAGGCUUCUCAAAUGUUGUAUAUCAGGUUAUGUAUUUUACUCUAAACACAUCGACAUUUACCUAUUUUUUUCUAUAAACUGAGUUGAAGUGUGUGAAAAAUCCUUAUUUGAACACUUCUGUAAGGGUUAAACUCUUACUGAACCAUUUUGAAAGGUUUAGUCCUUAUGUAAGCAACCUCUAAAAGAAAUACCUAAAUAUGUUUUCAUGAAUCAAGAAAUUAAAAAAGAAAUGUUGAGAAAUAUUUUAGAGAUUCUUAGCUUUGACAAGUUCCCUCCACCAUCUCCCUGCCUCCAGUCCCACUCUUCUCUUAUGCUCCUCCCAGGUUCUUGCUUUUUGUGUGUUGAAAAUUCAAAUGAACUAAAUAUCAACCUACAUCAUAAGGCACGAAAAUAUCAACCUACAUCAUAAGGCACGAAGGCCAGAAAUUACUUGAGAUCUGACAACUUUAUUUCAUUUUCAUUUUCUGUUAUUUUCUAUGUUUCUUGUCAAAUACAAUGAAAGAAGAACAUAGAAAAAUGUUGCCUAUUUAUUUCCCAAUCAUCAUGAAAUUACUUGCCAUAGACUUAGAAUUUUCUCACCAAUUUUCAAGCAAUCUGACAUGAUUUCUCAAUCACAAUUAAUUGAAUUCAAGAUCUUUUUGGAUGACACAAACAUUUCAAUUUUAACACAAACCAAUAUUUAGGUUAUACUUCAGUGCUUGACAAGCACUGUCACAUUUAUGGGAUAAUAACUCUAACAUUUUAGGAUCACAGUUAUAUUUGACUUUAGCAUUGACAUGCUUUUUUAAUAAUUAAUCUUUUAUAACAAGGUAAAUAUAGCAUCGACAUGUUUUUGGUAGGGUCGAGCAAAACCCAAUUAAAACCGAUGAUAUUGUUAAAAUCAAUUUUAAAAUCAGUUAUAAUGGAUUAAGGUAAUUAAUUAUCGAGUAAUGAAAUGCAUAAUCAAAUCAACUGAUUUUGUUAGAAACUAAAAGAAAAAGGGUUCAGCUGAAAAAUUGAUUGCCCUAUAUUAAAAUUAACGAAUCCGAUUUUUACAUAUUAGAUAAUAUCAACAUCGCAUAUAUAAUAAGAAAAAUUACGUACAAUUAUUUAUUAUCAUAAAUGGUUAGUUUAAAUUUAAAGUAAUUUAAUAUGUUUAUUGAACAUCAACGUAUAAGCUAAAUAUGUGAAAAUAUUCUAGAAACCAUUUCUAAUUGAUGAUAGGCUAAUUCAGAAUUAAGAUUAAUAUAUAAAAACUAAAUAGUAGGGUUAUAAUCCUCAAAUUACACCUAAUUUAAUUUUUCCGACAUUCUAUUUUGGAAUAAUAGAAUCGCCUUCUUUAAAAAGAAUAUGUAUUUGUAAUAGGCCAAUUUUGGCCUGACUAAAAAUCAAAUAAAAUUAACAACCCAAUUGACCCAAUGCAACACCCAAUAACCAAGUUAGCCCAAAAUUAAAAAAACAAAAAACCCUAGAACCUUCAACCGCUGCUCUCCCACAUGCGCGCCUCCAGCCCCUUCCAUGUCACCCCACGAACGGCUUCUUCGGUAUGACGGUUUUACCUGCAAAAUAGGACCAUAAACAGCAAGAAAGAAGCACACUAUAGGCACGAUAGAAUAACAGAAAAGAAAUUGAAUAACGAGGGGGCAGAGAAAAAAAAGAUUUUUUUGAUUUGUUUAUUUUUUUUUCUUUUGGGUCGAUUCGGCGAUAUAUAAGGCCGAUCCCGAAUCUGUAAGGGGGAAUCUUGUGUUGAAAAGUAUUGAAGAAAACAGAAAACAGAGAAUAAAAAAAACAAUUUUGAAGGUAUUGAGUGGGUUUCGUUUUUCCUUUCUCUUUACCGUUUUGGUUCCUUUUUUAUUUUCUUCCUAAUUUCUUAAAACAAAUAAACGAAGUAACGAGGGAAAAAGAGAAGUUUCUUACCAGCAGAGGCGCGCCGUCGGCAUUCUUGCUGGUUUUCGGCGUGAGGAGCAAAGGAGAAGAUGAAGCAGCCCUUGCGGCUGCUGUUGCUGAAAAUGAAAUGGGGUUUUGAUUAGGGUCUGAAAUGGGUUUUAUCGGCAGCAAAUGAAAUGGGGUUUUAUUUAUGGGUUAUUUAUGUUUUUAAUCUUUUUUAUUUUUCUAUCAUUUCAAAACCAUUGUUCUUAAAUUUUUAUUUUUUUUCUUUCCUUUAAUGAAAUAUUUUACCUUUUCAUUUUACUCUAGUGCUGUGCAGAAUUUUGAAAGUGGGAUUAUUUUCCCUUUUGACCCUUCAUGCUUAUGAGCAAUUUACAAAUUAGCCCUUCUGUUUUUUUUACACUACUAUUAUUAUUAUUAUUAUUAUUAUUAUUAUUAUUAUUAUUAUUAUUAUUAUUAUUAUAGCCAUAUAUUUAUACGCAUAUACACUAUAUCAUAUAAAUGCAUAUAUAUUUUAUGAUACGUAUUCAUUUUCUAUAUAUUAUAUAUAUACAUACGUAUUUUUACACAUAUAUAUACAUGUUUUUGUAGUUUAUUUAUAUAUUGUACUUAUACAUUUUUAUAUAUUUUGUAAAUAUAUAUAUAUAUGUACAUAUCUUAAAGUACACAUACUUUUAUAUACUCCUAAAUAUCAUAAUUCUUGUAACCGUAUUUAUAAAUAUACUUCCUUACAUAUAUUUUUAUUUCAUAAUUUUAAAAUAUAUAUACAUACAUAUAUUCCUUAUAUUUUAUGUACAUACACAUACAUAUGUAUAUUAAAUUUUUCAUAUAUUUCAUGGUUUUGUUGUUUCACAACAUGUCUAUCUUCUUAUACCCAUUUAAUUACGAAAGUUUUAAUUCAACUCGUUUUUUUACUGUUUUUUUUUUUACAUUAGUUGACUCGUUUUUAUUUUAUGUUGCUUUAUUUUAUUUUAUUUUAUUUUAUCUUCUAUUGGUUUGUGCUCAUGCUUUUCUCUUUAGCAUUUUAAAAUAUGUUUGUAUUUGUUUUUUAAAAAAAUGUUUCAUUUUUUAUUGAAGCAUGAAAAUUAUUUUAUUUCUUAAAUUUUUAAAAUAUUUGGCAUUCACGUUUUUCGAGAAAGAUCGUGUCCUAACUUACUGGGCUUCAAUUCUUUCGAUGGAUUUAGAGAGCCAAGUAUUUAUUUUGCAAUAAAAUCACACAAAUAUCAAAUAAAAGCUUAUUCUCAGGAAUCCAAAAAUGUCGGGUCCUAACUUACUGGUCAUGACAUUUUAUUAUCUCGAAAUAAGAUUUUCUAAGACAAAAGGUCAUAUUCGGUAUUUGGAAUUUUGAGAAAUUGUGUCCUAACUUACUGGGUUUUGAUUUUCUUAAUUUGACCUAAAUAACCGAAUAUUCUUAGAUUUAACUGUAUGAGUUUUAAAAUCAAUAGACAAACUUAAUUUUGAAGAUUUAAAAAUAUGGUGCCCUAACUCACUGGGUGUGAUGUUUUAUUUCUCUGAAAUAAGAAUGUUUUAUUAUUUUAAUCCAUUCACGAGUUAAAAGUUUUCUCUUAAAAUCUUUUCAAAUUUUCGACACCAAGACAUUAAACAAUCAAUUCGGUAAUUUGGGCAUUACGAAGGUGCUAACCCUUCCUUGUGCGUAACUGACUCCCGAACCUGUUUCCUAAAAUUUCGUAGACCAAAUUUAUUUUUUUUAGGCGAGCUGAUCACACCUCAGUAAAGGACCGGUGGCGACUCCAAUUUUCGUUUUAAAAGUCGAUAACUAAUUUUAUUUUUCAAAAAAUGGUUUCGACAACUUGGCGACUCCACUGGGGACAUGUUAGAGAGUCGAGCCAUGAAUUGAUUAUUUUUGUCUUUUUUGUCGAAAAUCAAAAUGUUGUUUUAAAUCGUGAUUCCCCUUUGUAUUCAUUAGUUUUCAUCAUGAUAUGCUUGCUUAAUUGGUCUAAGUCUGUUAGUUUAUUUGCAUUAUGCAUUUCAUGGUCAAUUUUACCCCUCUAAGUGGGAGUGAGAAACUAGUCCUUCGUGAGGUUUUCACCUCCGUGCAGGAUAGUGGAUUGCUUUCGGGAUACAUCCGUACUUAUGUCUUUGUGAGAUUUUUAUCUUCGUGUAGCCAUAGGAAAAUGUAUCCCCCUGAACCGAACUCGAUCUAUAUGAGCCUAUAAUGGGUGAAGAUUGAUGAAUCUGCUGGUUCGGGUACCCUUGCUCUAGAAGCCAAACUUCAUAUAGUGAACCUUAGGAACUCACCCUAGGUAGAAUUACUUUGAACCUUAGUAGAUACCCGACUAGGAGUUUUUAUUAUUUUUUAAUUGUAUUGGAUUUGAUGUUUAUACCUGAUACUAACUUGUUGUGUUUUGUUUUGAAUGCAUGACAUUUUGAAUGCAUGGCAUUUCAUUAUAGAAAAAAGGUGUUGGUUCACGUUCAGUUGCUAAAUAGAGAGCUUGUUAUGGAAAACGAAUUUCUUGAUAAAGUGGAAAACAAUACGGCUACAUGAAUAUAUUCCGAGAAACACAAGAAAGGUGAUGGAGGAAUACAUGUUACUUUGUGGCUCGAGGAUUCAAGCUGAUUAUUUAAGAGUUUUUGACAUUCUAACUUCCUUAAAGAAGAUGAGGAGUAUUACGGGGAUGGGCAGACGAUGGAUCAUAACCAGGAUCAAGCAAAAGAAGAUAGAGGAGGCACCCUUUUGAAGAAUUCGCAAGGUUUAUCUUAGCAUUCGGAUGAAGAAAGAGAAGAUGUCCCUGCUUGGAGUAUGAGGGCAAAGCCGUAUAUAUACCGCUUUAUGUAAAGAAAUUUGUCUUUUAGUAAAGUUUUCUAAAUGCAAUUGAAUCAGAAUCAACGUCUCUUUAUGCAUUCAUUUCAUGCAUUUGCAUUACAUGACAUCAUAUGCAUUAAAAUCUAUUAAAAGGGCUUAAUUGAGUAAAAUUAUUUCAGUUAAUUUAGAAAACCGACACCCUUAUGGCACCCAAGCAAAGACUAGAGAAAUGGACCAAAGGUUGGAAAAAUUAGAGCGAAUGCAAAUAUAGAUGCAGGAGCAACUAACCAAAUUUCAACAGGAAAUGAGAGAUAUGAUGAUAAGAUUACAGAGAGCUAUGACGAAUCAGUUAACUCGGUUGCUAGCUGGAGAGUUAGAAAAAGGGAAAGACUCGAUGGUUUAUUGUGGGGUUGAUAAUGAGGAUCUUGCCUAUUCCCUAGGUAGUACUCCAAUAAGUGUCCAGGUCUAGCCAGAUGGGCGUCCGCAUGGGGCACUCUUUACUAUCAAAUCCUAAUAGUAUCAAACUGGUACAUCGACACCAGUGAGUUGCUUGACAGGCUCAGGAUCCAAUCUAAGGAACAAUUUAGCUAAUCCUGUUGCUCUUGAAAAUCCAGCCGAAAUAAAGCAGGCAAGGGUAGAGUACUCAGAUACUAUAAGAGCCCUAAGGAAGAAGGGGAAUAAUGGGGAUAAUGAAGGCAGAUAUAACAAGGGCCACUCAAAACCAAUCACUAUGGGCUGGACAAAGAUAGAAAUCACCAGCCAUCAGAGCCCUUUAAAGCGAGAAUCUUACACGAAGACAAAUAUAGAAAGGCUUCAGUUCACGCCUAUACCGAUGUCAUAUAGUGAGCUAUAUCAAAUCUUAUUUAAUGCACAUGUGGUGUCCCCCUUCUACUUGAAACCCAUGCAGCCCCCAUUUCCUAAAGGAUACGAUGCAAACAUCCAGUGCGAAUAUCAUGCAGGAAUCACGGGGCAUUCGAUAAAAAACUGCACCGCAUUCAAGAAGCUAGUUGAAAGGUUCAUCAAUAGGGGUAUUGUAAAGUUUGAUGACUCAUCUAAUCUGCUAUCCAAUCACAUUGAUAGUGGGGUAAGAGUGAGAGCAAGAAAGGGAUUAGCUAUUUCUGAAUUAAGAGGAAAUCAUAGAAAGACAAUGAACUAUCGUGAGUUCCAUCACGAGGAGGGAUACGAGACCCAAGAGAGUGUGGAACUCAAGGCCUUGGUUCCGGGCAUGAUAGAUGACAAAGAGAUGGAGUUUUCUAAGGAAAUUAAAGAAGUGAGAAAUAUACACACAAUGUUGGGAAGUGUUCACAUCAAUGCCAUAUAUGAAGACACACUUGAAAAUGGACCUUGUUAGAUAUCUACUCUUAUAAACUUAGGAGUGUUCUAAAUAAUCAGAUUGUAGAAGAAAUUUUUGUAGCAUCUAGAGUUUACUUAGAGUAAUGUUCAGAAAACACUUGUUACUUUUAGCCUAGAGGCAAUAAGAAUUCUUUUAUGAAAUAGGCUCAUGUUUGAACGUCGUUAUUCUAAUAAAAUACAUCUUUGCAUUUAUUUUUGAGCCAAUAUCCUUUCAUUCUUUUUGAAUAAUUUUUCUUUCAUUCUUUUGGAUUUUCUUCCAAAUCAUUCAUUCAUUCAUUCAUAAUCACUGUACAAAUAACUAUUCAUACUUCAUACAUUCUUUGUAUAUUCUUUUAUACUUAUAAUAGGUCCCUAGAUAUCAAUGUCAUGAGUGACACUGCUACAAUUUAGAAUCUCCUUUUGAGCAAGACAUGUGUUUAGAGGGAUCUCAUAACUUUGAAGAUGACAUAGACCGUGGCCUAUCUCCGGACUUGUUGAGGAUGGUAAAGCAGGAAAAGAAACAAAUUUACCUCAUGAGGAGACAAUGGAGAUUGCGACCUUGAGGGAACAUGCAUAACCAAAGAAAUAAAUGAGGACCUUAUUGAGUUACCUCAAGAGUUCAAAGAUAUCUUCACAUGGUCAUACCAGGAUAUGCCCGAGUUAAGCAUUGAUAUUGUAAUCUGAGCAACAGCAUGACGUCAAAAUUUGCAGUAUGUUUAAGAUUAACAUCAUGAACGAUGCAGUUAGAAUUCUUUACCAGGGCAAUGUCUUAUUUUUUAGCUCAUCAUAGUUUUGCCCGUUGAAGUUAAGUUUCCAUUUCUCUGUAUUUUUUGGAUUUCAUCCUAAUUGAAGAGGAAGAUCAAAAGUUUUUUCGUCAUAGUUAAAUUUCGCCCUAAAAGGCUCUAUGAGAGCAACCUGAUACCAAUGAAGAUCUUUCGCAUACAAAAUAAAAGUAGAAGAUUUUAUGUGAAAGACCUUAUCUAGAAUAACAUUGAUUCUGAUCGAAAGGGAUGACUAGGACUUGUCUAAUCUUAUGAGUGCAGUUCUUUCAAAAAAAUAAAAAAAAUAAAAAAAUAAAUAAAAAGAAAGGAAAGGAAAAAAGAAUAAAAAACAAAAACAAAAGAAACAAAAUCUCUAUCAGGGCAAUACUUUUCUCUUUAGCUUAUCGCGAUUUUUCCAUUGAAGUUGAAAUUCUUUCUCACCGGGUAUAGGCUGUGCUGAAGUAGAAUGGAGAUCCAAUCUCGAUGAUCAGUCGAACCUGAUAAAAAGAAAAGGGCUAAAAGCUGUUCAUCACGGUCAGAUGUACUAGAAACGGACGAUGCGAGCCAUUAACAAAAAGGUUCGUCCUAGAAAAUUUUGCGAGGGGGACCUAGUGUUGAAAAGAUUCUUCCUCUACAGAAGGAUUUUAGAGAAAAAUGACUGCCAAAUUGGGAAGGUCCUUAUGUUGUAAAGAAGACCUUUUCUAGAGGAGCACUGAUCUUGAGUGAGAUGGAUAGUACAAAACUUAUCGAAUCCUGCAAACUUAGAUUCAGUCAAGAAAUACUUCACUUAAAGAAGGAGAAAUGACCAAGGUGAAAACCCACAAAGGGCACUUUGAGUCUUAAAAAAAUGAAAAAAUGAAAAUGAAAUGGAGAGGUUAAGGUGAAAACCCGCAAAGGGUGCCUUAGACCAAAGGGGAUUUGAGUUGAAAACCCAAAAAGGGCAGCUCAAAUUUUGAUCAGAAUAAGCCAUGAGGUGAUCAGGGUUACUCGAGUGUUGAUCAAAGUGGGGCAUGCGGUGAUCUUGCUUUGCCUGAAUCAGCAGAAAAGGGUAUGCGACAUCUUGGAGCAUCGGAAAAGUAUUGUAGAUCUCCUAAGUACAUGUCAAACUUGGAAUGGUCUUCAGAAAGUUUGUACAGAGAGUUCAAGCUAUGAUAUCUGAGGCACCUAGCCUUCAUACUAUUUAUAUUGAAUUGUUUAUUCUUGGAAUACUUCAUUCUUUUUCAAGAGACAAGUCAAUUCCUCUUUUACUCGCAAUAUUAUUGAUAAUUUAUUCAUUUCAAGCUAUGCUCUCAAAUCAAUUCUAUUUUUUUCAUUGUUUUGUUCUUUUUUGCAAGUAUGUUGCAUUAGAAUAAUGAUUAAUGGACUAAUAAAACUUUCACAAGGGAAGUUUUACAUAUUACUCUAGCAGUCUAAAUAAUACAAGAUUUUAAAAAAAGGACUAUUGUUUAGAACGCACUAAGUUUAACGGUUGAAAUAUCUAGGAAGGAAUAGUCUAAAUUGAGACUAUCCCUUCAUAUUUUGUUGUCAAAGCAUUGAUUAAACAAAAUGACAAGAUGUCGUGUCGGUGAUAAGGCUUCAAUGAACAAGCAAGCAAUGAUCACCAAGCAAUAGGAUGAGGUUUCCUCGGAGAAGAAAGCCUUUAUUUGUGCAUGGGCAUUUGGUAUGACACCCUGGGAAUGGUGGAAAGGACCAAAGAGCUUCACAUUCUGUAUCCCUGAACUAUGAUAGGAGAGGAUUGAGAAAGGACCAGAUUUUUUUACCCUUGGGUUACAGCGGGAGAAUGAUGGUACAAAUGUUGCAUCCCAGUGGAUUGAAUUUUGAAGUUCACAGUGGGAAGCAAUUUGAUUAAGUGUUUUUUAGAGAUGCCAGCCGAGCAAGAAGGUGUUUUAGCACGUUAGUGAUAAAGCCUUAAUAAACUUCGAGUAAUGACAACCUAAGCGGGAUCAUUCUCAAAAGAAUAAUAUUCUAUAUUCAUGCAAAUGUCAUUCAUACACGUUUAGUUAGGAGCAUUUGAUUCAUUCUGAUCAUGACAUCCUAAUCACUAGGCAUAAUUAGGUUCAUAAUUGAAUUAUACAGGUCAUGCUCCCCAGAGAAUAAACCGAAGAUACCAGCCUUGUCUCCCUGGGCAGUAGUGGAGUAGGUUGAAAAUAGCAGAUAUUGUCUUCCUGUAUUGGCAGCGAAGUAGAUCGAAGAUACCAGCCUUGUCUCCUUGGGCAGUAGUGGAGUAGGCUGAAAAUAGAGAUCUUGUUUUCCUGUAUUGGCAGCGAAGUAGAUCGAAUAUCCCAACCUUGUCUCCCUGGGCAGUAGUGGAGUAGGUUGAAAAUAGCAUAUCUUGUCUUCCUGUAUUGGCAUCGAAGUAGAUCGAAGACUUCAGCCUUGUCUCUAUGGGCAGUAGUGGAGUAGGUUGAAAAUAGCAGAUCUUGUCUUCCUAUAUUAGCAUCGAAGUAGAUCGAAGACUUCAGCCUUGUCUCUAUGGGCAGUAGUGGAGUAGGUUGAAAAUAGCAGAUCUUGUCUUCUUGUAUUAGCAGUGAAGUAGAUUGAAGACCUCAGCCUUGUCUCCCUGAGCAGUAGUGGAGUAGGUUGAAAAUAGUAGAUAUUGUCUUCCUGUAUUAGCAGCGAAGUAGAUCGAAGACCUCAGCCUUGUCUCCCUGAGCAGCAAUGGAGUAGGUUGAAAAUAGCAGAUCUUGGCUUCCUGUAUUGGCAGCGAAGUAGAUCAAAGACCUCAGCCUUGUCUCCCUAAGCAGUAGUGGAGUAGGUUAAAAAUAGCAUAUCUUGUCUUCCUGUAUUGGCAGUGAAGUAGAUCGAAGAUACCAGCCUUAUCUCCCUAAGAAGCAUUGGAGUAGGUUGAAGACGGCAAAUCUUGUCUUCCUGUACUGGCAGAGAAGUAGAUCGAAGGUACCGGCCUUAUCUCCUUGAGAAGCAGUGGAGUAGGUUGAAGAUAGCAGAUUUUGUCUUCCUGUACUGGCAGAGAAGUAGAUCGAAGACGCCAGCCUUAUCUCCCUGAGAAGCAGUAGAGUAGGUUGAAGAUAGCAGAUCUUAUCUUCUUGCACUGGCAGUGAAGCAGAUCGAAGACACCGACUUUGCCUCCCUGGGUUUACAGCAGAGUAGGUUGAAAAUAGCAGAUCUUGCCUUCCUGUACUGGCAGCGAAGCAGAUCGAAGACACCAGUCUUAUCGCCUUGACGUUGCAAUGGAAUAGAUUGAAGCCACGACAACCAACAUUACUUCUCUAGCGUUGCAGCGGAGCAGAUUGAAGCCACGACGGCGAAUCUUAUCUCCCUGGCGUUAAGACUUGGAUUUGUUGAAGUGGAGUGGAUUAAACCUGUGGGCAGCGAAUCCUAUUUCUUUGGCAUUACAGUGGAAUAGAUUGAAGCCACAACGGUGGAUCUUAUUUCUCUGGUGGUGUAAUGGAAUAGGUUGAAGUCGAGACGGCGAAUCUUGUUUCCCCAACAUUGUAGUUAAACAAAUUGAAGUAAAUAAUCCUAUCUCAUUGAAGUUACAGUGGAGUGGAUUAACAUUAGAUCUUAUCUCUCUGAAGUUGUAGAAGAGCAGAUCGCAUCAAAUCUUAUCUCCCUGAAGUUGCAGUGGAACAGAUUGAAGAAAUCAAUCCUAUCUGCCUGAAGUUACAGUGGAGUGGAUUAAAAUCAGGUCUUAUCUCUCUGAAGUUACAGAAGAGCAGAUCGCAUCCAGUCUUAUCCCCCUAAAGUUGCAGUGGAGCAGACAGAAGAAAGUAAUCUUAUUUCCCUGAGGUUGCAGUGGAGUGGAUUAAAAUCACAGAUCUCACCUCUCUAGAGUUGCCGUAGAGUGGAUCGCAUCAGACUUAUCUCUAAAGUUGUAGUAAAACAAGUUGAAGCUAUGAGUCUUAUCUCUCUGAAGUUGUAGUGGAGCAGACUAGAGAUAGCAAAAUUUUCUCUUUUGAGAAACUACAAGGUACAAGUCCUAUCUCCUUGAUGUUGCAGUGGAGUGGAUUAAAGCACCGAUUCCUAUACCUCUGAAGACGCAGUAGGUUGGAAUGAAGCUACUUGAAGAGCACCAAAGUCCAGCACGACUAGGCAAAAUUGGUCAUUUCUAAAGUCUUUGCUCUGUUCUCGUUACACGAUAACGAGCAAAGAGGGGCAGCUGUAAUAGGCCAAUUUUGGCCUGGCUAAAAAUCAAAUAAAAUUAACAACCCAAUUGACCCAAUGCAACACCCAAUAACCAAGUUAGCCCAAAAUUAAAAAAACAAAAAACCCUAGAACCUUCAACAGCUGCUCUCCCACAUGUGUGCCUCCAGCCCCUUCCAUGUCACCCCACGAACGGCUUCUUCAGUAUGACGAUUUUACCUGCAAAAUAAGACCAUAAACAGCAAGAAAAAAGCACACUAUAGGCAUGAUAGAAUAACAUAAAAGAAAUUGAAUAACGAGGGGGCAGAGAAAAAAAGAUUUUUUUAUUUGUUUAUUUUUUUCUUUUGGGUCGAUUCGACGAUAUAUAAGGCCGAUUCCGAAUCUGUAAGGGGGAAUCUUGUGUUGAAAAGUAUUGAAGAAAACAAAAAACUGAGAAUAAAAAAAACAAUUUUGAAGGUAUUGAGUGGGUUCCAUUUUUCCUUUCUCUUUACCGUUUUGGUUCCUUUUUUAUUUUCUUCCUUCUUUUUUAAAACAAAUAAACAAAGUAACGAGGGAAAAAGAGAAGUUUCUUACUAGCAGAGGCGCGCCGUCGGCAUUCUAGCUGGUUUUCGGUGUAAGGAGCAAAGGAGAAGAUGAAGCAACCCUUGUGGCUGCUGUUGCUGAAAAUGAAAUGGGGUUUUGAUUAGGGUCUGAAAUGGGUUUUAUUUGCUGCAAAUGAAAUGGGGUUUUAUUUAUGGGUUAUUUAUGUUUUUAAUCCUUUUUAUUUUUCUAUCAUUUUAAAACCAUUGCUCUUAAAUUUUUAUUUUUUUUCUUUCCUUUAAUGAAAUAUUGAAACCGUUUCUACUCUAGUGCUGUGCACAAUUUUGAAAGUGGGAUUAUUUUCCCUUUUGACCCUUCAUGCUUAUGAGCAUUUUACAAAUUAGUCCUUCUGUUUUUUUUACACUACUAUUAUUAUUAUUUUUAUUAUUUUAAAUUAUUAUUAUUAUUAUUAUUAUUAUUAUUAUGGUAUUAUUAUAGCCAUAUAUUAUACGUAUAUAUUUAUACACUAUAUCAUAUAAAUGCAUAUAUAUUUUAUGAUACGUAUUCAUUUUCUAUAUAUUAUAUAUAUACCUACAUAUUUUUACACAUAUAUACAUGUUUUCGUAGUUUAUUUAUAUAUUAUACUUAUACAUUUUUAUAUAUUUUGUAAAUAUAUAUAUGUACAUAUCUUAAAGUACACAUACUUUUAUAUACUUCUAAAUAUCAUAAUUUUUGUAACCGUAUUUAUAAAUAUACUUCCUUACAUAUAUUUUUGUUUCAUAAUUUUAAAAUAUAUAUACAUACAUAUAUUCCUAAUAUUUUAUGUACAUACACAUACAUAUGUAUAUUAAAUUUUUCAUAUAUUUCAUGGUUUUGUUGUUUCACAAAAUGUCUAUCUUCUUAUACCCAUUUAAUUACAAAAGUUUUAAUUCAACUCGUUUUUUUACUGUAUUUUUUUUACAUUAGUUGACUCGUUUUUAUUUUAUGUUGCUUUAUUUUAUUUUAUUUUAUCUUCUAUUGGUUUGUGCUCAUGCUAUUCUCUUUAGCAUUUUAAAAUAUGUUUGUAUUUGUUUUUUAAAAAAAUGUUUCAUUUUUUAUUGAAGCAUGAAAAUUAUUUUAUUUCUUAAAAUUUUAAAAUAUUUGGUAUUCAUGUUUUUCGAGAAGGAUCGUGUCCUAACUUACUGGGCUUCGAUUCUUUCGAUGGAUUUAGAGAGCCAAGUAUUUAUUUUGCAAAAAAAUCACAAAAAUUUCAAAUAAAAGCUUAUUCUCGGGAAUCCAAAAAUGUCGGGUCCUAACUUACUGGUCAUGACAUUUUAUUAUCUCGAAAUAAGAUUUUCUAAAACAAAAGGUCAUAUUCGGUAUUUGGAAUUUUGAGAAAUUGUGUCCUAACUUACUGGGUUUUGAUUUUCUUCAUUUGACCUAAAUAACUGAAUAUUCUUAGAUUUAUCUGUGUGAGUUUUAAAAUCAAUAGACAAACUUAAUUUUGAAGAUUUAAAAAUAUGGUGCCUAACUCACUGGGUGCGAUGUUUUAUUUCUCUGAAAUAAGAAUGUUUUAUUAUUUUAAUUCAUUCACGAGUUAAAAGUUUUCUCUUAAAAUCUUUUCAAAAUUUCGACACCAAGACAUUAAACAAUCAAUUCGGUACCGAUUUUGGGCGUUACGAGGGUGCUAACCCUUCCUCGCGUGUAACUGACUCCCGAACCUGUUUUUUAAAAUUUCGUAGACCAAAUUUUUUUUUUAGGUGAGCCGAUCACACCUCAGUAAAGGACCGGUGGCGACUCCAAUUUUCGUUUUUAAAGUUGAUAACUAAUUUUUGUUUUUAAAAAAUGGUUUCGACAGUAUUAAUUUAAAAAUUUAAUACUAUCAAUAAAUUUAGAUGCAUUAUUAAGUACCAACUAAACAAUACUUAAAUAUAGAUGUGUUUUAUAGAAAAAAGUUAUCAACUUAAAGAAGUUGCAACAAAAAUUUAAAAAAUUCAUUUAUCAAACGAAUAUUUAAAACAUAUAAUCUAAACUGUGACAUAAUAAAACACAUGAGCAUAACUUGGAUUUACCAAAAAUCUAUGUAUUUUUCUAAAUUUUAAAUUUUAGUCCCUAUAUUUUAAUUUAGAGACAUUGAGUCACUAUACUUUUUUAUUUAAAAAUCUUGGUCCCUUCAUCAAUUUUAUAAUUAUAAUGGUUGAUUUAGUUGUUGUAAAAAAAGGUAGAAUAACUUUUUUAGCCUUAAACAUUUGCAGUUUUUGUUAAUUUGGUCCUUACUCUUUAAAAUUACAUAAAAAUUGAAAAAAUAUUUUAAAAAUUAAUUUAUUUCGUAUUUUUAAAAACAUUUAUAGUUUUUUUUUGUGGUUUGGUAACUUAUCAACUCGACUCUUAAUUGUAACCAACUCUUUUGACCUUUUUCGUACCCUUAACCUAAGCCCCGUUACAACUUUCUAAAGACCUCUUGACUGGUGUAUCAUCUCGAUUUGUUUUUAUAGUGGUGGAAAUUUGGUUUUCAAGCAAGCCUAUAAUAAUCACAUUUUUCGUUCGACUGUUGACCACACAGUACUUGAACCUUAAACACUUUGAGUGUUUUGAGUGAAUCUUAGUUAGGGUAUUGAUUAUUGUUGAGUUUGAAUUUCAGUUAAUUCUUGAGAUAGAGGAGACACCUGUGUUUUUUGUGCUUUACAAAUUUCUGCUUAGAUUGCUUUUAUUCUUUAGUCUCAUUCUAGUUUCAAUUUCUAGUGCAUGAUUAUCUGUAGAUUAUUCCUAAGGCAUUGUCAGUGAAAAUAAUAAAUUGAGGGAGAUUAACUUGAAUAAGGGUUGAGAAUUUUGCUUAAGGACAAAUGAAUGCUUAAAUGUAGGGAUAUUUGAUAAGUGCUAAAAUUAAUAUGUUUUAACAUCAUUCUUAAUGUGGUUUUGGUUGAUUAUUCGAUGUUAAUUUUGAAAUUUAUGCUCCUAGUCCUUUCAAUUCGUGUUUUUAUGUUAAUAGAACAUUUGGGAGGAAAAUGAGCAAAAAUCAGAAAAUGGGGACAAACUAUAGGACCCACACGAGCUGACCUAUUCCACAUGUGGCAGGCCGUGUCGAUUUCGUAGAUUUGCACUCUGAACUGCGAAAAAUGUGAAUUUUAAGUUCUUCGAGCAUUUUAAGACAUAUAUAUGAAAAAAAAUAAGAAGAUAGGAGAGAACCUUCCUAGAAUAUUUAAGAAAACAACUCCAAAGACACCAUUGAAGCCCACUCUGAAGUAAAUUUUCAUCAAGAUUAACGAUUUCCAGUUGAUUUCUUAUGAGAUUAUCAUGAGUUUCUUUAUUUCUUUCGGUUAUAUUGCCCUUUAGAUGUUUUAUUUUUAAGCAUGAACUAAUUUUCUAAAUACCUAAGAGAGAUGAACCCUAUGAUAGAUUGUGACUCCCCAAAUCUGACCGGGAUAGACCGGCCCAAAUUCGAAAUAUUACAUUAGCCACCUAAGUGACUCUCCAGCUAAUGACCACCCAAGACACACCCCGACCUUAUAAAACCUCAAUAUUAUCUAAUUAUUAGUUAUUUAUUAAUGCAAAAGUAAAUUAUGUGUCAAUUUUAAACUUUUCCUAGGUAAUUUAACCUAAGGGCAAUUUCAUCAUUUUACCACCUAAAACUAACCUGAUUUUAGAUCUAAGUGUUUACCAACCUUCUUUUAGUCAAAUCACGCAAGCCUAAAAUUUUCAACUUAAUUUGAUUUCGUUUACUAUGUCUAAUUCAAGUUUUAUUAUUAGGGACUAAAUUGUAACUUAAACAAAUUAGAAUACCAAUUUAAAGAGACAAAAUUUCAAAAUUCCAAAACCCACACGGGUAUGUGGGUAAGUGACAUGGGCGUCUGGAGACUAGAGCAAUCACACACGAGCAUGUGGGAUUGAAAAAAAUGAAAUAAAUUAUUCCACUCAAUUUUCCGACAACCAUGCUAUACUACCAAACCAAAUAAUGCUUCAAGCUUUGAAUAUGGUCGAAUCUAAAAUUUCUUUUAGAGGAAUCAGAAUUAAAUUAUAAAAUUUUGAGAAGUUAAAAUAUAAUUUUAUCAUGUAUUAAUUUAUUAUUUUUUAAAGGGACUUAAUAGAAUUUUUUUUCCCCAUUUUGGUUGGGCCAAUACCCCUGCCUACCUCUUUAAAUUUGCUCCAACCCUAAACCUAAUAUUCGAGUUCGAUUAACAACAAUAUAUAGUUUAGUAUUUGUGGAAGUUUGACGAAGAAAAUUUUUUUUAGAGGUUUAAAUUAUAAAUUUUUGAAACAUUAAAAUAAAUUUGUAUUUUUAAUUACCUUUGGGAUCAUACGGGUGAUUUUGAUGAUGUUAAUGGUUAUUUGGUGGAGAAGGUGAAAAAGAAACAAAUGAUUCAUUAUAUAUAAUAUAAUUAUGAAAUUCAAGCCAUAUAUUGUAUGUUUCAUACAUAAAAAUUUCAUGGGACGUCCAAAGGUAAUUAAAUGACUUGUAGGCUUGCUGAAUUUCUUUGAAAGGCCCAAAGGCUAUUUAACAUUCACAAAAUAAUCUCUAAAUACUGUAAAGACAAAUCAAAUUCACAAUUGCAUUAGAGUCGAUUAAGCUAAGCAUUGGCAAAUAUUACUUUGAUUUUGCAUGCAAUAUUGGCAAAACCCCCUCUUACAUUUGAAAAACAACAUAAUCCAUGAAACAUUGAUAGCCCAAUACAAAUUUCAUCGGGAAAAAGGUCUCUUUGUUUUGUAGAACAUGUUAGUAAAGAUGUGGAGUUUCGUUCUUCUUAUUGGCCUCCUUUAGCUUUCCUUGUUCAACAACCACUAGCCAAAAACACAGUUAGAUUAGAUUAUGAAUGAUACUUUUAACUAUGACAAUAUUAAAUACAAAACACUCUAAAUAACUCUAAAUAAAUGGAAAGCAGCAAAUUACUUGACGAGGCAAGCUAGCUCAAUUAAGACCAUUGUGUUAUUCUUGUCUCUGAAUUGAAAAAUUUAGAAGGAAAUAAAGAGAAAGACUUAGAAAAUACUUGAAAACAGAUAAAACUUAUAUGUCAUUUAAAAUAAAAAAAUUUCUAUUUAAGCCGUUUAAAAUUUUUAAGAUUUUUAAAAUUUUAAAAUGAUAAAGGUAAAAUUAUACUUUGGCAUCCCAAAAAUGAUAAAACUUUGAUUUAAUCCUUUAGAAAUUAUAAAAAUAUAGGCUAUUAAAAUGAUAAAAUUACAUUUUUACUAUAGUAAAAAUUACAAUUUAAUUUCACCCCUAAAAGGAUUUUCUGGGUUCGCCCCUAACAAAGAUUAAAAUAAAAUUAUACCGUAAAUGGAAAAAGAAACUAAGAAAAUCCAAUCUAACAAAGAAAAUAACUUGAUGUCCAAAAGCUACCAUAAACCGUAAUUCAUGGGAAGGCUUGUUGCUUAUUUUAUUGGUUUCCAUUUUGAUUUGCAAAAGAAGUUUGAAUUUUGAAGAGAGCCUACUACGUGAGAGCAAAAGCAAAAAAAAUAGUUUAUAUGAUUAAAAUUCCAGAAUAGAUUAAAAAUGUUGAAUUAAAGAUAAAAUUAAGUGUGAAUUAAUAACCACAAGUUUACUCAUUACUCACCAUCUCUGUUAAAAAUGUUGGAUGCUGUUUAGCAACCUUUGUUUGAUUUUCUUCAGCUCAACCACAACAUCUUUCAUAUCUUUUCUUUCUUCUGGCAACUCAGCUGAACAAUUCAAAGCCAACUCCAUGAUAGAUGAAAUACAAUUUGCUUUAACAGCAAUGUACUCAUCCUCUCUUCUUAAUAAAUCAACAUCUGCAAUUUCUAUGGCUCCUUUAGGCAAUGAACUUUCCAUCCAAUGCCUCAUAGUCUCUUCUUCAACAAAAACAUUAUCAGUGGGCUUUUUCUUUGUGAAAGUUUCUAUAAGGACGAUCCCAUAACUAUAGACGUCAGAUUUUAUAGAAACAAGUCCUGCUGAUCCAAAUUCUGCAUUUCAAGUAUAAUUAGAACAUCAUCAAUCCUCAAUUAUUUCUAAGAUGCUUAUUCAAAUAUAUAUCCACAUACACAAGAAACAAAAAUAUAAAAUGCAAAUUAGGAAAAUAAUCGUACAAAAAUAAAAAAGAAUUCACCUGGUGCCAUAUACCCGAUAGUUGCAAGAGUCAUGGUUUGCUUCAUUACUUCACCUUCUCCCAACAAUUUGGCAACGCCAAAAUCUCCAACAUGUGCAACCAUGUCUUCAUCUAGUAAAAUAUUGCUUGGUUUUAUGUCACAAUGAAUUAUAGGUGUUGGAUGUCCAUUGUGGAGGUGUUCUAUAGCUACCGCAACAUCUAUCAUUAUGUCGACCCUUUGUAUGAUAUCAAGGAAACAAUUUUCAGAAUGUAACCAUUUCUCAAGGUUUCCAUUAGACAUGUAAUCAAGCACCAAGGCUUUGAAGUCAACACUUGAGCAGCAAGUAAUGACCUUCACAAUAUUACGAUGAACUAUAUUAAGCAUAGCAUCACAUUCAAUGUCAAAACUCCUAAAUGCUCCCUCUGUUUGCAAAUUGAAAACUUUUAUUGCAACUUCCAUUCCAUCUGAAAGCCUCCCUUUAUAUACAUAUCUAAAACUCCCUGAACCAAGCAUAUUGCUUUCCCCAAAUCCAUUAGUUGCUCGGGAAAGCUCAGCAUGUGAAAUUCUUCUCCGUGUUUUCAAAGACAACAAAUCAUCUUUAAUUGGUAGAGUUGUACUCCUUUGGCAUCUUGUAUACAUAAUAGUUAAGACUAUUAGUACUACGACAAUACCAAUUGUUGGUAAACCAUACCUAAAAGCAUGCAAUAGAAUCAUUUGGGAGUUUUUGUGGAUGUCGUUUUUGCAAGGUGGGACUAGCAACCUAGGUGGACCACAAAGUGCAUAAUUCUUCAUAAAUGAUGUGCUAGAAAAGCUUGAAAAACAUCCUUUGCUUGGAAUUUCCCCUUCAAGUCUAUUGAAAGACACAUUAAAAUACUUAAGAUAUAAAAGCUUUUCCAAAGAUUUGGGAAUGACUCCAGAGAGAUUGUUAUUGCAUAAAUCCAAGAAUUUCAAACUAAUCAACCCAUCAAAUGAUUCAGGGAUAUGACCAUGUAGUAUAUUAUUUGAUAAAUCUAAUGAAACCAAAGUUUGAAGACCCCCAAAUGUGGAUAAGACAUCGCCCGUGAGAAGAUUCUUUGAUAAAUUUAGUUUCAGUAGACUCCUCAAAUUUCCAACAUCAAUAGCAUGAGAAUUGUGAAGAUGGUUUGAUGAUAAAUCUAUUUCUAAGAUAUCUUUAAGAUUCCACAAAGUUGAGGGUAUUGUGGAACUCAAUUUGUUGGAAUCUAAGUAAAGAUAUCUCAAAGAAGUAAUAUUACCCAAACAAGAGGGUAUGGAUCCAUGCAGCUUAUUCAACCCUAAAAACAAGUUGUAUAAUCUCUCCAAAUCACAAAGGCUUUCUGCGAUGGGCCCUCCUAAUUUAUUAGAGGAAAUACCUAGACCUUGGAGAUUUCGCAGUCCUCCUAUUGAUGUUGGAAUGAAUCCACUUAAUUUAUUAUAGCCAAGUUGUAAAAGCAAUAGGUUGGUUAAGUUACCUAUUUCCAUAGGAAUAAUGCCUUGAAGCUCACACUCAUCGGCAUAAAAGUAUUGAAGGGAUUUUGAAAGGUUCCCAAUAUAAGUAGGAAGAACGCCACUCAAUGGAUUUCCUGAAACAUCUAUUGUGCUCAAAUUCCUACAAUUCGUCAAAGAAGAAAGAAAGCUCCACUCAUGAUAAGUAGCAGAUCCUGUGAUCAAAUUAUUGUCAGAGAUUUGGAGCCAUUCAAGUUGUCUUAAGCUGCCAAGCGUUUUAGGGAUUGGGCCAGAGAAUAAGUUAUGUGCCAAGUCUAGUUCCUUAAGCAUGGAAGCAUUGGAGAUAGAGUAAGGAAUGUUUCCGCUAAGUUUAUUUCCCCACAAUAAAAGAAUCUCAAGCUUUGGAGCAUUGGUGAUGGGUGGUAAAUUACCUGUAAAAUAGCAUCUUUUAGAAUACAUAUUCAUUGAAUACAAAAUUCACAAAAUAUAUAAUACAUUAAAAUAAAUUAAGAAACUAGGAAAAUUCAAUACCUUCUAGGUUAUUCAACCCCAAAUAUAAUUCUUUGAGUUGUGUCAGAUUUCCAAUACUUUUUGGAAUGAUUCCCAUCAAUUGAUUAUAGGACAACGACAAAAUUUUAAGGUUGCUGCAUUUUCCCAUGCCAAAUGUAAUGUUACCAGAUAAUUCAUUCCAACUCAAGUAAAGCCCUUCAAGCUUGGGAAGAUGUUGACACAUAUCAUUAGGCAAACUACCUGGUAGGCUAUUGCUGGAGAGAUUAAUAAUCUUCAGAGAAGAAAUAUUGAAGAUGGAAGAUGGAACCUGACCAGAUAAUUGAUUGAAUCCCAAGUUCAAGAUCUCUAGAUUAGACAUGUUAAAAAGUGUUUCAGGGAUUGUGCCUGUAAAGUUAUUAUUUUUCAUUGCCAGCCUUCGAACUCUCUGUAAGUUCCCAAGCCAUGAUGGAAUUUCCCCAUUAAGACGGUUGUAGCUUAAUCGAAGGAUCCUCAAACGAUGCAAUUGGCCCAAUUCUUUAGGGAGAUGGCCAUAGAAAUGGUUGCUACUCAAGUCGAGAGAGAGUAGAAAUGAAAGAUUUCCAAGGUGUGGAGGGAUAGUACCCCUAAGAUUCAUGCUUGUAAGAUUCAAAGCUAUAACUCUUUUAUGGAGGAUGCCACAAGAAACACCAAUCCAAUUGCAAACAGAGGUUGAGGCCGUCCAAUUAUUUGCCAAGACAUUUUGAGGACCGGCAAUGCGAUCCUUAAACUCGAGAAGUGCAAACUGAUCGGAGUUGAGAUUCUUGACUGUCAUAGCCAAGCAAAGUACGAAACACGGUAUGAAUAAAGCUAAAAGAAGAUGAAAGCAAGUGUUGUAGUUCAUGAUUGCAAGACGGAUUAAGGCAAGAAAAUAAAAAAAGUAGGAAAAGGGAGGUUGAGUUGAUAAAAUAGUUUGGAUGAUGAAGAAAAGCCCGGAUAGCAUGCUUUAAUAUGUUUCAACCCUCGUACACUUGAUAAAUUUAAGACUACCCUAAAAAUUAAAAAGGAAAACAAAGUUUUGAAGAGAUUUCAAAAUAAAGGUCAAGUCUUCUUCUUUAAAAAAUACGUCCAAAGAAGUGAAUUUUCAAAAUUUCUCCUAAAUUUUCUUCACAUUACUCCACAUAAUCAAUUAAGAAAACUUAAAAAAUAUAUUUUAUUAAUUGCUAUAUAUUCUUUUAUUUUUAGAAAGCGAAUUUUCAAAAUUUCUCCUAAAUUUUCUGCACAUUACUCCACAUAAUCCAUUAAAAAAACUUAAAAAUAUAUAUUUUAUAAUUACUAUAUAUUCUUUUAUUUUUAGAAUAAUAGUUUAAAAUAUGCUAUUAGUCCCUAUAAUUCAAAAGUUUUUAAAAAAUCCAAUCCUCCUAUUUUUCCAAUUUAAAAAUUCUAGUCCAAUCAUUUUUAAUUCCAUUAAAAAAUUCAACUUAAUAGGUUUUUUAUUAUCAAUCAUAUAUGCAACAUUAUAUGAAGGCAGUCUACUCAGCAUAUAUCCAAGUUUACAGAUUUUAAUAGAAAAUAUACUUACAAUCCUAAUGGUAGGACUAAGUUUUUUAAACUAGAAAAGUAAGAAGAUUUAAUUUUUAACUUUUUAAGUACAAUGAUUAGCUUUUAAAUAAAAAAUGUUAUGUAAAAAUAUUAAAUCUGUUAAAAAAAAUUACUUUUUUAAAUAGUAAAUGUUAAUUUUAUUAAUACAAAUGGGUCUUUAGGGCUAAACUUCAGUAAUUGACGAGCUCUCCCACAAACUACGGAUGAUUUGGGGAUAAAAACUUCAAUAAUUAUACAGUUAUAGUGUAAAUUUGCCACUAUAUUAUAAGUGUAUUGAAAUUUAUCACUAUAUUUUAUUUGAUAUUUAUCAUUACACUUUGAAAAUAUAAGUAAAUUUACCAUUUAACUCAGAUUUAACUUUGCAAGUAAACUUAAAAUUUUAUUUAAUUUUGUCACUAUAUUUGAUUUGUUCAAUAUAGAUUUUGGUGACUUAAAACAAAAUUAUUUCACUAAAAAAUUUUAAUUCACUCGAAAAGUUAGUGCUUUAUUUCAAGGGGUCAUAAUUAAUCAUUGAUUUCGCAAUUUUAAAUUUUGAAUUUGUUGACAAUUGCGUAAUUAAUAAGUACCAAUUUUGAGUGUUGUAGGGCUAGUACAAUUUUCCUUGCACAUAAGCGACUCAUGAACCUACUCUUUUCUCUAGAAUUCAAUGCAGACCUCAAAUUUAUCUUUUGAAAAGAAUUUUAAAAUCUCUGUAUAAAAGGUGAGUUUUUUUUUUGGUGACCGAUCACACUUAACCAAAUUUAAAAAUUAUUAAAAAAUAAUUUCUUUUUGAAAUUUAAAGUGAUCUAAAAACAUAUUUUUAAGUGCUUUGGACCGUCUAUUGUUGAUUUCCUUAUUAUAUUAAGUGUUUGUAAAUCACUCCUAAUAUAUUGUGUUUGAGUUGUGACAAAGCCGAUCAUCAAUGUGCCAUAAUGAUCUAUUGAUACUGAAACUGAAGUUUUUGUUAUAUUGAUAGAGCUUAUUCUUCAACGCGUACAACGUGUUUGUGAUUUUUCUCCCUUCAAAUUGUAUGAUCUUAUUCAUUAAGUGAAUUAAUAAAUUUUCCCUUUAAAAAGAUAUAUUUUUAAAAAUUAAAUACUUUAUAAAAUAUUUAAAAAUUUGUAAGCUUUAAAACAAUCAACACAAUAUAUUUUUCUCUAAAAAAUCAAUAAAAAUAUGUUUGAAAUUUUAUAUGAAAUUUAAAUUUUUUUAACAAUAAUAUAUUUUAAAAUUAUAGUAAUGCAGUAACUCUACAAAAUAUAUAUAUUUACUAAUUAUAUACACCUUUUUUAUAUUUUUUUUCUUAACAUAUCAUUAUUUUCAACACUAUCGUAAUCCUGUUUUGAUAAUUCCCUUUCCAUACAUCCUUUUUCUACAUAGAAUUUCAAAAGAAAAUGUGAAUUAAUGUAGACCUGAGAAGACUUAAUUACAUUUAUUAGUUUAUCAAUCAAAACUUAAUUAGAAUCCAUCAGUAUUUCAUACAUCAAAAACCCAAGCAUAAAAUUCACUUUUAAAUUAUUUGAAGAUAUAUUUGUAUUAUAAGAAAUGGAUUAAAUUAGUCUUUUUAUUAGUAAAUGUAUUAUUUUAACCUUUGUAUUAGUUAUGAAUGAUAUCUCCUAGAUUGAAGCCAGAGCUAUUCUUAAAAGACUAAAGUUAGGAUUCAAAUGUGUUGAGAUGGAAAGUGACAACACAAUGUUGAUUGAAACUAUUUGUAUCGGGUUGGCCAUAAUAAGUAGUGCUACCGAAGUAAGACAGAUUCACAAUUGGUGUUCCAAAAAUUGGAAAGUCAAAUUUCGACAUAUUAAGCGGAAUGCCAAUAAAGUUGUUGAUUGCAUAUCUAAGCCAAAUGGAGGCGUAAUUGAGCAGUUGGUUAUCUUGGAAGAUCCUCCACAUUAUGUGAGAUGCUAGCUUGAAGAAGAUAUUAGACAGUCACUGGUGACUGAUUAUAAUUUUCAUUUGGACUGAUGAGCGCUUAAUUUUUUAAGCUUAUAUUCAACAAAAAAAUUUAAAUACGUCUCAAUUGUAAUAGAGUUAACAUUUAGUGUUUAAAAAAUAUCUUAAAAAUUAUUUUUUCCAAUUGCAGUUCAAUUCCACAAAUAUCAACGAUGAACCCGGACAUAAAAAUUACAAAAAAAAAAAAACACAUCUAUUAUCAAACCAGCAAUCCAUGUCUAAACUUAAAUUAACAAAAUUUGCCACGCAACCUGGUACACUAUUUUAUAUAUAUACUAGAUUAUUCUAGAUGCACAUGUUUUAUUAUAUUUAAAAAUUAAAAUAUAUGGUUGACUAAGUUUUAGUUGAGUUAGUAUUGGUAUUAUUGUCAGUGUAGGAAAAUGUGAGUUUAAUUGUGCUCAAAUGUGUUUUAUACUCCAAUUCAAGGGUUAGGAAAAGGUUAUUGAUAAUUAAAUUAUUCCAACUUUUAUGAUAUUUGUUAAGUAUGACUCCUAUUUUUAGUCAAAUUUGAGAAAUAAUCUUCAAGUUAAACUCUGUUUAUUUGUUUCAGUCAAACACUGAUUAGUUUAGAUAAUUUUAUUAUUAUUUGACAUAUGAAUUUAGCCUAUAAAUAGGCUCUUUUACAACAAUUAGAAAAUACACCCAUUGGAGAUUAGAACUCAUAACACAUUUAGAGAAUUUUGUGUUUACGUUUUGAGGGUUCUUUGUUUUCGGGUUUUCGGGGUUUAGUUUUUAUCUCCAUCUUUUGUACUCUUCGUUCUUUUGCCAUUAUAGUAAAAUUAUCUUUGCCCGUGGUUUUUUAUCCUCUUUGGAGGGGUUUUUCCACGUUAAAUUUGUGUGUUCAAUUUCUCAAUUUAUUCCGCUAUUUUUGUUACUUGUUGCUUAAAUUGAGUCGAUCCUAACAAGUGGUAUCAAGAGCUAGUUCAAUUCAGAUAUGGCAACAACAAGGUUUGAAAUUGAGAAGUUCAAUGGUGAGACAAAUUUCAAUCUAUGGCAAGUUCGGAUGAUGGCAAUUCUAGUUCAAUCUGGUUUGAAAAAGGUUGUUACGGAGAAAAAGCCUGAUAAUCUAAAUAAAAUAGAAUGGGAAGAGCUUGAUGAAAAUGCCCUCUCUGCAAUCCAGUUAUGCCUCGCGAAUACGGUAUUGCAGGAGGUAUUGAUGGAGAAGACCUCAUCCGCCUUGUGGAAAAGGUUAGAAACUCUUUAUGCGACUAAGUCUCUGGCUAACCGUUUAGUGUUGAAACAACGUCUAUUUACGUUUCGCAUGAACGAAGGUGAGCUUCUUAGGGAUCACAUCAGUCAAUUCAUUACUCUUUUAAAUGAUUUAAAGAACGUUGAGGUUCAUAUUGAUGAUGAAGAUCAAGUUAUGCUAUUAUUGUGCUCUUUACCCCCUUCAUACAAGUCUUUCAAGAAGACCCUGAUUUAUGGUAGAGACAAACUCUUGUUCGAAGAUGUGAAGGGUCAUUUGUUGAGUAGAGACAAACUCGACAAUGAGCUUCAUUUGGAUAGCAAGGCAGAUAGGCAAGCUUCCGUUUUGAUAGCAUCAAAGAAACGAGACAAAAGGUGUCGCUAUUGUAAAAAGUUAGGUCACGUCAAAGUAGAUUGUUAUAAACUACAAAAUAAAAAAGCUGCUGAGAGUAAUGAGGAAGAUGUAGCUGGUGCUAAUUAAGCCGAUGAGAGCGGUGAUGAUUUCUUGUUAAUGUCAACGAGUGAUAACUCCAAGCUCACGUCUGAGUGGAUCUUAGAUUUGGGAUGUUCUUUCCACAUGUGUCCCAAUAAAGAAUGGUUCUCCACAUACAGUUCGGUUGAAGGUGGAGUUGUGCGCAUGGGAAACGAUUCAUCUAGUAAGGUAAUUGGUAUUGCAACUGUUAAAAUUAGGAUACACGAUGGGACGAUUAGGACACUCUCAGAUGUCAGGUAUGUACCUGAUUUACGAAAGAAUCUCAUCUCCUUGAGUAUUUUAGACUUGAAAGGAUGCAGAAUCAACAUUGAGUCAAGCGGCAUUAAAGUAUCCCGUGGAGCUCUCGUUUUGUUAAAAGGUAAAAGAACUGGCAGUCUUUAUAUUCUGGAAGGUUCUACAGUGACCGGUGAAAUCGGACGUCCCUCAUCCGUUACAGAGUCGAAGUCAACUCGUUUGGAGCAGAGGCAACAUGGUUAUAGGAGGGAAAAAUAUAUGACCGUUUCGUUGAAAAGAGGUUCUCUUUUGGAUGCAGAUUUUGAAAAGUUAGGGCACUGUGUUCGUGAAAAUCAGACCCGGGUUAGUUUUGAUUUGGCAGUGUAUAAGUCGAAGGCUAGAAGUCUUCCAGUUUCUAAGCACAGAUUCGACUCAGUUAAUUCCCUGCAUAGCUCAAAAUAGGCUCGUGGCGGGCUUUGGCAAAAAUGGCAUUGUAGAAAUAUGAGUCAAGGUGGAGAUUUGUUAAGUAUGACUCCUAUUUUUAGUCAAAUUUCAGAAAUAAUCUUCUAGUUAAACUCUGUUUAUUUGUUUCAGUCAAACAUUGAUUAGUUUAGUUAAUUUUAUUAUUAUUUGACAUAUGAAUUUAGCCUAUAAAUAGGCUCUUUUACAACAUUAGAAAAUACACCCAUUGGAGAUUAGCACUCAUAACACAUUUAGAGAAUUUUGUGUUUACGUUUUGAGGGUUCUUUGUUUUCGGGUUUUUGGGGUUUAGUUUUUAUCUCCAUCUUUUGUACUCUUCGUUCUUUUGCCAUUAUAGUAAAAUUAUCUUUGCCUGUGGUUUUUUAUCCUCUUUAGAGGGGUUUUUCCACGUUAAAUUUGUGUGUUCAAUUUCUCAAUUUAUUCCGCUAUUUUUGUUACUUGUUGCUUAAAUUGAGUCUAUCCUAACAAUAUUAAAAAAAGGAUUUAUAAAGAAUAUAAGGAAAAGAAAAAAAGAGAGAAACAUAUUCAUAUUGAUGGGCUCUUUCAAUAUUAGACUUUUUUUUUCUAUCACAAGUAAAAAUAUCAAAGGUGAUAAUAAUUAAAUUAUAAAAUUUAAAGUGAGAAAAUAGGGGAUUGAAUUUAUAACUUUUAAAGUAUAAAGAAUGAAUUUAUAACUAACAACAUAUUUUAACCACAUAAUAAAAGUAGUUAUGGAGAGGAUCAUGUAAAAUAAUGACCUGAAUAAUUUUAAACGUUUCAUCCUUGCAAAAAUGAAAUAAUAGAAAAGAAAUAAGUGUUAGGUGUAGUGGCAAUGUACAUUAUACUUCUAAGGGGAGAUCAGGGUUUUAGACAAGGAAAGAAUUUUAAACCUGCUUUUUUCUCUAGAACUCAACGCAAACCUCAAAUUUACCUUUUUAAAAGAAUUUUAAUAUAACUAUAUAAAAGGUGAUUUUUUUUACUGAUCACACUUAACAAAAUUUAAAAAAAAAAAUUAAAUUUAAAGUGAUCUAAAAACAUAUUUUUAAGUGCUUUAGACCAUUCUAUGUUGAUUUCUUUAGUAAUUUGAUUUGUUCAAUAUAGAUUUUGGUGACUUAAAACAAAAUUAAUAAAAAAUUAUUCUUUCAGAUAUCUUUUUAAUGUUAAAUAAUAAGUUAAUUUAUAAAAUAUACUUUCAUUGGACACAGGCCUCCAAGGCGGUGAACCACUGAUCAAAUUAAUUUGGAGAUACCUAAAUUUGUUUUCAUCAAUUAAGAAAUUAAAAGAAAUUGUUGAGAUGAUGGAUCAAGUGUAUCUCGCCAGUGAUCAUUAAGGAGAAAAAAGAGUCAAUUAAGUGAAAAUUAUAUUCCAACAUCUCCCCAGAACCAAAUUUCAGAGUGAUGAAUGUCAUGAUCAAAUUGAACAUCUUAGUGGAAGUAACCAAACCUUUUCCAGCGAAACUCAACAUCCUCUUCACAAAGUUGUUGGAAUCAAAAUUGUUGAAGGACUUUAAAGUGUUUCUUUAGAUCAACUCAAGGAGCUUAUUAAAAAAACCAUCAAAGAUCAAGUCAAAAGUGUUACUUCGCCUUCAUAUACAUACUCAAAGUCAUACAUCUGGAGGAUUUAUCAUUUGAAUAUGCCUGAACAUUAUCCACCUUUAAAAUUGCAAUGGUUUGAUGGUAAAGGAAAUCCAUGUAAACAUGUCACUCACUUCGUGGAAACUUGUGAUCGCGUCGAUGUAACACUCCACUCACGACCCAAUCGCUGGAUUUAAGAAGAGAGAUACGAAAAUCAUGUUGGAAAAAAUCUUCGAUAAGUGUAGCAUGAGUGCUCACACUCUCCAAACACUCCAUACUAUCUUUGGUAUCGGAGUUAAGCUUGACACUCCCUUAUCUCUCCAAUGUUAUCUUCAGGCCAUAAUGCCCUAUCACAUAGUAAAAAAGGUGAGCACUCACAAUCCUAUGGCAUGCCAAUGAUAUCUAAUGGUUUCAAGUGUUCACAAUGCCAACAUAUGAUUUUUAUCACAUUCACUUUACACAAUUUAAAACGGCUUAUAAUACAGCAGAUCUCACAUAUCAUAGUUUUUAAUAACAUAAUUCACAUUUCUGUAGGGCUUGUAUUAUACAUAAGUUAGUAAUAACAUGGAUUCCCAUAAUAGUUAUGGCUUGCAUAUAUUUAAGGCUCGUAUGCAACAUUUGGGAUCCCAUAUAUUUAAACUCGCAUAAUACAGGGGCUCGCACGACAUAUUUUGGCUUGCAUGCAAUAUAGGGCUUGAUCACAUAUAUAGGUUUACAUGAUCUUAGGGCUCACAUCACAUAUAUAAGCACGCAUGAUACAUAGGUCCACUCAACAUGUAUAUAUAAACUCGCACAUCAAAGUAUAGGCUCGCAUGCAUUAAGGUGAUAGAGUUUGCAAACAAUUUAGAGCUCGCACACACCAUAGGCUUGCAUACAUACAUGUUAGCAAGGUCUGCAGGUCACAACUCGAGGCUCACAUAACUACAGAGGCUUGCAUGGAAAUAUAAUAGUGUUCAGAUAUCAUUUUAAUCGGCUUCACACAUUAAAUCAAACGGUUUGCAUGCCUUCCUUGGCUUUCAUUAGCAUGUGAACUCGUGUUUUUGACACAGUGUGCAAGGACACUCAUUAGUUGUUUGUUGAUACUGUCGAACCUAUACCACAUUUUGCUUGAAUUUUUCCUUGCUCAUGGAUGCAUCUUCACAUUAAGAAGCUUUGCAUAAAACAAGAAAAUAUACAGAUUACUACUUUCACAGACAUAAUAACCUUCUUAACAAACAUAGUAGCAAAUCUUCCAAUCUUCCUUAAUAAUUCCUUAAAUGAACCUAAACCAAAAUGUAGUAUAAAUUCAAUAAAUUUAUCAUCAAACCAUCCCGCAAACACCCACUUAUAAGUUCAAACUGAUCAUUGAAAUUAUAACUAUUUUAUGAAUCCAAACUAGUUAGAUUCCUUAAACUGUAUUGAUGUGAAUUGUACGUACAACCGUUCUUCACCUUUACGGGUGAUUUGGGGUGUUUAGGUCAGCACCUAAUUCAAUAAUAUACUAAAAAAUAAGUAGUUAAUCAAUGAUUAAAUUCCUUCAUUUUAAUCAAUGAUUAAAAUCAGUAGUCUGAUGUUAAACGUGUGUUGUCAAAAUUUUCAAAAUAUUUUGUUCAAAUUAAUUUUUAAUCGUGAUCCUUGAAUUUUAUUUUUUAAAAGUCAUGCAUUUGCAUUCAGUUUUUAAAUUAAUAUUUUUCAAACUUGUUUUACUUUUCUUUUUUUUUUGAGCUCUAAGUUUUACCCUUUUUUUAGUUUUUUUUUAGUAAACAAAUAAAAAACAAAAAGGUUUGUGAGUUUCUCCCCACACACUGUGCACUUGCAUUCUUGCAUAACAUGAGCUCUCUACUCGGGCUCUGUCUGUUUAAGUGGAAGUAAACGCUACGCCUUCGUGAGUUAACUCAUUCCUCCGUACAGGCUAGUGAAAUACUUCCGGAUUACAUAUGACUUAUGCUUUCGUGAGUUAACUUGUCCCUCCACAUAAGCAUAAGUAAAUGUAGUCCCUCGAAUUGAGCUCGCGAGCCCAUGACAGGCGAUAACCGAGGCUCCGUACUAACCUUAGUAAGUGACAGUAUGGACAAUUUGAGUACCUUUCUAGAACCAAAACCACAUAUAGCGAACUGUACGAGCCACCCAAUUAGAGUCAUGUCGAACCUCUAUCCGUUGAAUAGUCACCAAAAAAAGUACAUGGGAGGAACACCUCUUACCUUGUAUUUCUUUUACAUUCACAUCUUUUGCAAGGGAAUCGAGUCUGUUUAAUAAAUUGGAUCGGUAGAUUAUUUGAUGAGCAUGUGGGGUAAGUUUAUUUUGUAAAGCAUGAGGGGGUAAGGAAAAAAACGUAGGUCAAUUUGUUAGAUUUUCCAUAGUUUUUCUUUGUUUAUAUUUGUCGUGAUUGCUAAUUAAGUUUAUUUGUCUUAAUUUUAUUUUUCAUCAUGCAUCAUAGGUAUCUCAUUAGGAAGGUGUUGAUUAGAGAUUGGUUGCCAAAAACGGGUUUCUGAUGGAGAAGUCAAUUACACAAGUAACUGAGAAAAAAAUGACAUAGUCAGAGACUGGUCUUUGAGGACCCAGAAAGCAAACGAUACAGUUUAAAGGAAAGAUAUAUCUCUGGUCUUUUCGGGAAGGCGACUUUGAAUGCUCGUCAGAAUAACCCGAAGAUUUGACUAGGAUUUGGAAACAAUGAGACUUAGGCACUAGGGGCAUCUUCAUUGGCAAAAUAUUUUGUAAUGGACUCUUUUCAUAAAUUAAACGCCAAAAUAUGGGGCUAUCUUAAAAUCAACACUAUUUUUUUACAUAUUUACGCGUGACUAGCAUCCAUUGAUCAUUCAUCAUUCAUUCAUUCAUUACAUGUACAUAUCACCCGUACCAUUCACUGAGGCUAAAACAGUAUAAUCCACAGUUGCGGCACAAGUCUAGAAUCACGUCAUCCUUACAGGACACGUCUAAGAACUAGAGCUAUGGAUGUUGAACUUAAUGAAAAAAUCAAAAGGAUGGAAAAGAUCUAAAAAAAGUUACAAGAGCAAUUGGUCAAGUCACAAAAAGAGACCAGAUAUAUGAUGGUGAGAUCUCGAGAGGAAUCACUCGAGCAAAGAGAUCAAAUGACCAAAAUAAUGGAGAUGAUUACAGUUUUGGUUAAAGGAAAAGGACCCGUGCAAAGCCCUGACAUCAUGGAACCUCAAUCAAGAGCUAAUAAUGAUUGAGAUCCGCUCUAUCCCCCAGGAUUCACUCCACCUCACGCUCAUGCAAUGCAACUCAAGGGGAACCUAUAGUCCUAGAAUGUCGUCCUGUACCACCUGCUCAUCUAAGGCAAGGUAUAUUCAUAUUGAAUCCCGGAGCUAAUCCUACCGAUCUAAUUGUUCCAGAUCUGGAUGAUCCGGUGAAAUAUCAAAGUUGAAAACUGAUGAUUAUGGCACUCAAAAUAGGUAUAAGAUCCUAGAAGAAAGGCUUAAAGCAAUAAAAGGUACUGAAGUCUUCUCUGCAUUGAGUGCCAAAGAGCUCAGUUUGGUGCCCGAUUUGGUUCUACCCCCUAAAUUCAAGGCACCAGAGUUUGAAAAGUAUGAUGGGAUGAGAUGUCCAAAGGCACAUCUUAUCAUGUUUUUUCAGAAGAUGAUUGGUUACGUGAAUGAUGAUAAAUUGUUGAUACACUGCUUCCAAGUUAGCUUGGUCGGAUCAGCUCUUCGAUGGUACAAUCAGCUCAGUAAAAAAAAGAUCCGAUCAUAAAAAGACUUAGCAUCAGCAUUUUACGAGCAAUAUAAGCAUGUAUCAGAUAUGGUACCUGAUCGACUAACUCUGCAGAUGAUGGAAAAGAAGCUAACGGAGACUUUCAAAUAAUAUGCAGAAAGAUGGAGGGAUAUCUGAGCUCAAGUAGAACCCUCGUUAACUAAAACGGAGAUAACAGUCCUCUUCAUCAACACUCUGAAAGCGCCACAAAGGACUUUGCCGACAUUGUAAUAUCUGGGGAGCUUAUAGAAAAUGCCAUCAAAAGUGGAAGGAUGGAAGGUCCUGAGAGUUCGAAAAGGUAGUACCUAUAAGGAAAAAAGAGACAGAAACCCAUAUGGUCAGAAAUGAGAGCCACCAUACCUCCAGCCCUUACCCAGCCCAACAACGACCUCGUUAUCGCCCACCUUCAAACUUCUAUUUUCCUCCCCAAGGUCCUUACUGUCAAGCACCUCCUCCUUAUCUCGUCUAUGCCAUGAAUAACCAAAGAACGUUCACCAUGUUUCCACCACACACUAUGCCCAUACAAAUUUAACCCAAAAAUGAACAAAAACUAGCGAAACCCAAUCCUAGAAAACCUUAGUUCACCCGAAUUCCCGUGUCAUAUGGAGAAUUGUACCCGAAACUGUUGGAGAAGCAAUUAAUAUCCCUGUAUUACAUGGUACCCCCGAAGCCCCCAUACCUAAAAUGGUAUGAUCCUAAUGCUAGUUGCAUGUAUCACGUUGGAAAUCAGGGGCAUUCUACAGAAAACUGCCUUGCCUUUAAAAGGAGGGUUCAAGAUUUCAUCGAUGUUGGCAUUCUGUGAUUUGAUGGUAUUAGUAAUCCUCUUCCUACCUAUGCUGAUGGGAAUGUGAAUGCGGUAACAAAUGAUGACGAGGGGUAAAACAAUCCAAGAAGCGCUUUGAUUGAAAAGGGUCUUCAGAACAUCAGCAUAAAUGUUGUUGACAAUGAGAAUGAUGCAAUCGAGAUGAUACGCCCUUGUCCUCCAGGAUAUGUUUUGAACAACUGGACUGCUGUGGACCUCCUUGUAGUUUCUAAGUCCUCUCCAGAGUAAUGCCCAAUGAUAAUUCUCUAUUAUUUUGUGUGUCCCUAAGUAAUGGGAUUCCUUUUGUAAGAGCUUAUGUUUGCUCUUUAUCAUUUCAAUGAACAUCAAUGAAGAUGACCCAGAGCCUAGGUAUCGUAUACGCCCCCAAAAUAAAGAGCCUUGAAUACUAGAAGAAAAGCACCUAUACCUAGCAAAAUUAAGUGAAUACCCAAAAUUGUGGUCAUUUUAUUUCUAUCUUUCCAUACAUAACCGAAAAAUGGAAAAGAUUCUUCAUGAGUUUCAAGUGUCAUGGUAUUUUUUAUUUCCAUUAGCUUCAUAAUUAUCCCUUCUCUUCAUAUCAUUUCCCUACAUGUAUUUCAUAUCAUUCCAUAACAUUGUGUGUGUUGAUUCUUAUAUUUUUUAUGCUCCUCUAUAGAUUUCUUUCCCAUUCACUUUUCAGGUGCUCAGAUAUCCAUGGCAUGAACAAUCUCAUUACAAGUCUUGAAAUCGAUUUCGAGAAGGCUGUUUGUUUAAGAGAAUUUGAAGCUGAGGAGGAUGCUAAAGAUUUUGUCUCGUCUCCUGACUUACUGAGAAUGGUAGAACAAGAAGAGAAACAGAUUCUACCCCAUCAAGAAUCUGUUGAGACAGUAAACUUGGGAAGUGAGGAAAAGAAACAAGAAGUAAAGAUUGGGAUUUCCAUUUCAGAUAACACCAAACAGAAUUUGAUCGCCUUGCUCCGUGAAUACAAAGAUGUAUUUGUCUGGUCUUAUCAGGACAUGCCAGGGUUGAAUGAGGAUGUAGUGGUUCAUAGACUCCCAUUGAAACCAGAAUGUAAACCCAUUCAACAGAAGCUAAGACGGAUGAGACCUGAAAUGCUGUUAAAGAUAAAAGAAGAAGUCAAGAAACAAUAUGAUGAGGUUUCUUACAAGUCUCUAAAUAUCCAGAAUGGGUAGCUAACAUAGUCCCAGUAUCGAAGAAAGAUGGCAAGGUACGAAUAUGUGUGGAUUAUCGUGAUCUGAAUCGAACAAGCCCUAAGGAUAAUUUUCCUUUGCCACACAUCGAUACGUUGGUAGAUAACACAUCAAAACAUUCAUUAUUUUCUUUCAUAGAUGGUUUCUUGGGUUAUAAUCAGAUAAAGAUGGCUAUCAAAGAUAUGGAGAAAACUGCAUUCGUGACAAUGUGGGGAAUGUUCUGCUACAAAGUGAUGCCGUUCGGAUUAAAAAAUACUAGGGUAAUGUAUCAGAGAGCCAUGGUGAUGCUGUUCCAUGACAUGAUGUAUAAAGAAAUAGAAGUCUAUGUCGAUGAUAUGAUUGCUAAAUCCCAGGGAGAAGAAGAGCAUAUUGGGAACCUCAAGAAGCUAUUCGAAAGAUUAAGAAAGUUCCAGUUGAAGCUUAACCCAGCCAAGUGUACAUUUAGGGCUACCUCGGGAAAAUUUCUAGGUUUCAUUGUCAGCGAGAGAGGUAUUGAGGUUGAUCCAGACAAGAUAAAGGCUUCUUCCGUGUACAAAAAAAGAAGUCAGAGGAUUUCUAGGAGGGUUGAAUUACAUUGCUCAAUUCAUUUCUCAACUUACCAACCAGUGUGAUCCAAUUUUUUGACUCAUUCGAAAACAUAAUCCAGGAGAGUAGAAUGAGGCAUUAUGGGACGAAGGAAUUUGUGGAACGCAUGCCAAUGGGUUUACUAUAGCUAGGUAGAUUAUGAGACUUGGUUAUUUUUGGCUGACGAUGGAAAGAGAUUGCAUUAGCUACACACGAAAAUGCCACAAGUGUCAAAUUUACGGCGAUAAAAUUCAUGUAGCUCAUUCGCCCCUUCAUGUCAUAACUUCUCCGUGGCCUAAUCUAUGUGGGCCAUUGAUGUUAUAGGGUCAAUUUCCCUGAAGGCUUCCAAUAGACAUCGAUUCAUCUUUGUGGCUAUAGAUUACUUCACAAAAUGGGUAGAAGUCGCUUCUUUUGCUAAUGUGACAAAGACUGCCGUCUGCAGGUUCCUAAAAAAGGAAAUUAUAUGUCGAUAUGGUUUGCCUGAGAGAAUCAUUUCAGAUAAUGCUUUGAACCUGAACAACAAGAUGAUGAAGGAAGUAUGUGAGAAAUUUCAAAUAAAGCAUCAUAAUUCCUCACCUUAUCGCUCAAAAAUGAACAGAGCUGUUGAAGCAGCCAACAUUGGGAAGAUGACUGAGACAUAUAAAGAUUGGCACGAGAAGCUACCAUUUUCUUUGUACGCAUACUGCACCUCUGUACGGACAUCUACUAGAGCAACUCCUUUCUCUCUGGUGUACGGAAUGGAAGCUGUUUUGCCAAUCAAAGUAGAAAUCUCAUCCCUACGUGAAUUGAUGGAGAUGAAGUUAGAAGAAUCAGAGUAGGUUCGAACUCGAUAUGACCAGCUAAACCUUAUUGAAGGGAAACGCUUGAAGGCAAUUUGUCAUGGACAGAUGUACCAAAAGAGAAUGAUCACAGCCCAUGAUAAAAAGGUGCGGCCAAGAGAAUUUCACGAAGGGGAACUCGUACUAAGAAAGAUCCUCCCGAUACAAAAAGACUUUCGAGGAAAAUGGUCACCAAAUUGGGAAAGGCCAUACGUUGUAAAAAAGGCAUUCUCGGGAGGGGCUCUGAUUCUCACUGAGAUGGAUGGGAAAGAAUUACCUAAUCCAAUGAACUUAGAUGCUGUGAAGAAAUAUUAUACCUUAAAAAACAAAAAAAAAAAACAAAAAAUAUAAAAACAAAAAAAAUGAAAAAUCAAGAUGAAAACCCGAAAAGGGCGUCUUGAUAAAUAAAAAUGAUUAGGAUGAAAACCCGAAAGGGCGUCCUAAUGAAGUAGACUCAGACUUAAUGACCAAGAUGACUUGAACGGGGAGUCGAAUGGCGAGGUUACAAUAUUUGAAGCAUUCUCAGAAGCUUGAAAUCUUCUACACAGGAAGCCAUGCUAAAAAAGAUCUUUGACAAAGAAACGUGGAGAAGUUCAUACGUUGGAUAUCUAGAGCGUUCGUGGCCAUUGAAUUCACUUUCCUUUCUUUAUGAUGCUUUCUUUUUUUGAACUAUUCCUUGUCAAUUUUCUUUGCUUGUUUCUUUUAAAAAAAUAUGAAUGUGAGGUAUUUCUUUCAUGCCUACUUUGCCAUUAUUUUUUUAAUGCAUCUCAUGUUUGAUUCAUUUAAAUGAUAAAUGGUAAGAUGACAUACUCUAAACAAAAGGAAUGUUGAACAUUACCUGGAUGAGAAUUUGACAAGCACAAGGGUCCCAAAGCAAGAACAAAGUUCAACAAGGGGACAGGAAGGUGAUAUACGGAAAUGUGGGUUACUCACCAAAUUUGAGGAUGAGUACAAAACUUGGGAGAAAAGUCAAGAAUUGAGAAAAUGAAUACGGACCCUCACGAAAAUAAAAGAGGGGCACGUGACAAACAGCCCAUGGUGCAUGACACGAUCAUAUAAGCAUUUAGGACAAACACGUGUAUAUCAUGAUAACAUAAUACAUGACAUAUACAGGUAUCCCAGCGGAGCAAGGAAUUUUGGAAGAAAACUGCACAGAAUCAAUGAAAAAGACGGCUUUUAAUUUCACCUGGUGAUUUUUUUUCGAAACCCUGAUUCUUUCAAGAAUUAUUUUUCAAUUUCAUUUUUUUUUUCAAAAAUUAACUCAUAAUGCAAGAGGUGAGUUGAGCCUCAGGUAGCACGCCGAGAUAUUUUCAAUUUUUGUUUUUUCAAAAAAAUCAACUCAUAUUGCUAGAUGUAAGUUGAGCCUUGGGCCGCACGCCGAUGUAUUUUAAUUUUUAUUUUUUCAAAAAAUCAACUCAUAUUGCUAGAGGUGAGUUAAGCCUCGGGCCACACGCCGAGGUAUUUUCAAUUUUUGUUUUUUUUUUUAAAUCAACUCAUAACGCAAGAGGUGAGUUGAGCCUCGAGCCGUACGCCGAGAUAUUUUCAAUUUUCGUUUUUUUAAAAAAUCAACUCAUAUUGCUAGAUGUGAGUUGAACCUCGGGCCACACGUCGAGGUAUUUUCAAUUUUUGUUUUUUCAAAAAAUCAACUCAUAUUGCAAGAGGUGAGUUGAGCCUCGGGCCGCACGCCGAGGUAUUUUUAAUUUUUUUAAAAAAAAUCAGCUUAUAUUGCUAGAGGUGAGUUGAGCCUCGGGCCGCACACCGAGGUAUUUCCAAUUUUUUUUUUCAAAAAAUCAACUCAUAUUGCUAGAGGUGAGUUGAGCCUCGGGCCGCAUGCCUAGGUGUUUUCAAUUUUCUUUUUUUCAAAAAAUCAACUCAUAUUGCGAGAGGUGAGCUGAGCUUCGGGUCACACGCCGAGGUAUUUUUCAAUUUAUGUUUUUCAAAAAAUCAACUCAUAUUGUAGAGGUGAGUUGAGCAUCGGGUCACAUGUCGAGGUACAUUUAAGUUUUGUUUUUUUCCAAAAAUCAACUCAUAAUGCGAGAGGUGAGUUGAGCCUCGGGCUACACGGCGAGGCAUUUUCAAUUUCUAUUUUUUCAAAAAAUCAACACAUAAUACGGGAGGUGAGUUGAGCCUCGGGUCAUAUGCCGAGGUACUUUUAAUUUCUAUUUUUUUUCAAAAAUUAACUCAUAAUGCGAGAGGUGAGUUGAGCCUCAGGCUGCACGCCGAGGUAUUUUCAAUUUCUGUUUUUUCAAAAAAUCAACACAUAAUGUGAGAGGUGAGUUGAGCCUCAGGUCACAAGCCGAGGUACUUUUAAUUUCUAUUUUUUCAAAAAUCAACUCAUAAUGUGAGAAGUGAGUUGAGCCUCGGGUCACAUGCCGAGCGAUUUUUUAUUUCUAUUUUUCAACAAAAAAUAUAGAGAAUAAAAUUGGACAAUCGAACAAAAUUCAGUGCUUUUAAAGUUUUAGCUCUAUCCCUGUUUCACAGCGAUGAGCAAAGAAGGGCAGCUAUAAGCACUAAAUUUGUUCGGGUCAGUGUCGUGUUUAAUUUUAAAAAUUUUGGAAAAAUAAAAAAAUUUAAAAUUACAUUUCAACCCCUAAACCUUUUAAAAUUACAUUUUGACCCCUAAACUUUUCAAAAUUACAUUUUGACCCCUAACUUUCCUAAAAUUAUAUUUUGAUCCCUAAACUUUUCUAAAAUUACAUUUUGACCCCAGAAGUUUUACAUUUUUACAAUUUGAUCCUUCUAUCAGAAAAUCCCCAUUAAUCCAGUAGAUUUCGUCCACUUGCCCCACGAUUUUUGGCCGCUGACCUAAGGCAUGGCUUCCCCACCUGGUACCUGCAAAAAAGAAGAAAAAAAUCAAAUAUUUAUAAAUAAAAUAAGAAAAAAGAAAAAAAAUACAUAUACAUAUUGAUGGGUUUUUUCAUGAUUAGACUUUAUUUUUUCCCAGGUAAAAGUAUUUAUGGAGAGGAUCAUGUAAAAUUAUGACCAGAAUCAUUUUAAACGUUUCAUCAUUGCAAAAAUGAAAUAAUAGAAAAGAAUGACUAUAUGAAUUUGCAUUUGUGUUCUUUUUCUCAAUAUUUGCUUUCAAAAAUGUGGGAAAUUUUUAAAUUUUAUGAAAUUUUAAAAUUGCACUUCAGUAAAAAUAAAUUUUAUGAAUAUGGACAAGCCAUUUUAUUUAUAAUUUUCUGUGUUUUUCUUCUUUGCUGACUUUCUUAAUGUCAUUUUCUAUCAUGAAAGAAAAUUAAAGAUUCACUAUGUAUUUCUCAACCACUAUGAAAUUACUUGACAAUGGGUGUAGAAUUUUCUCACCAAUUUUCUAACAUGAGAUUUUUUGAAUGGGACAAAUAUUUCAAUUUUAACACAAACAUAUCUUUAGUUAUUGAGAGCGUUUCCCAUAAUUAGUCACCCCUAUUUGUGAGUGAUCUGGGGAUAAAAGCUUAAACAUUUCUGGAUCACAUUGCAUUUAAGACGGGUGUUUGGAGUUACAUGAUAUUUUAACAUAGACCGAAUUUUCUAUGAAGAGUCAUUGCUUUACUUUGGGUGGAUUCUUCCAAUUAGCGUGGUCGUUGGUACUACUCUCCAACAAUUGUUGUACUGUCAUCCUUAUUCCUACCCCACCUAGCAGAGAAGUUAAUGAUCAAAUUCAUUCGAAGAUGUCCUUUUUUUUUAAAUAUUUUUUAUAUUUUCAUGGAUGUGAGGAGAUACUGAAAAUUAUUAUACUAUGAAAUUUUAAUUCAUUCGAAAAAUAAGUGUUUUAUUUCAAGGGAUUAAUAUUAGCUCUCUCUUUUUCAAAUUUUGAAAUUCUUUUAACAACUACGUAAAUAAUCACUCAACUAUAAGUAAAUUUAUAUUUUAAUCAUUUAAAUUUAAAAUUUUAAUUACAAUAUACAAAUAAUUAUCUAACCAUUCGAUUUAUUCUAUUUUAAUCUAACUUUUCCACAAUUGUACAUCUCUGGGUGGGCACAAAAACUUGUACAUUUCCUGAUGACAUUUAAUUCAAUUACAUUAAUUAGGAUCACAUAAUUUUCUUUCGUGCUUUUCAUUAAUAAACUGUUUCAAAAACAAUACCACGUGGACAAUAAAUUUGCUAUUACACAUUCAAUUUUUAGACGGGUCGUUGAAAUAUUAAUUUCACUUAAGCUAUUAUUGACAGACUUUUCAGUUUUUAGUCUUUUUCCGUAAAUAAAUGUAUUUAUGAGCCGGGUUAAGUAAGAUUAUGACAUGAACAGAUUUGAAAAUUGUACUCAAAUUUAAUUUAAUUUAAUUCAAAAAUAAUAAAUAAUAAAUAUAUUUAUAUUGAAGUUUCUAUAUAUAUUUAUAAUAAAAUAUAUUAAUUUUGGGGUUACACUUCAGUCCUUCACUGACUUUUUCACAAUUGGUUUAAAAGUGUAUCCCACCAAUGCCAAAUUGGUACUUUAUCUCUUUUCUUAUUCAAUUUCUUUUAUAAUCAUAUUUAUUUUAGUAUAUUAACUAAUAAUAAAUCAAUUCAAUUAGUAUUUAAUCAUUUGUAUUACAUAUUUUUAAUAAAAAAGAAUUUUUUUUAUAUUUCUAUUUUCAAGUUUAAACACAUCAUUGUUAGGCUUCCUAAAUCCUUUGAGGAUGAUUUUAAAGUUUCUAAAGAUGAUUUUAAGUAGUCCCAAAAACCACUGGAUUUUUUAGUGACAUCCAAUUUUUCUUUUCCUGCAGUAUUGUUGAAAGUUAAUUUUCAGAACAAAAGUUUGCCUUACCAAAGAUGAUUUACCCUGACAUGUAGCAUGCAAAUAUGAAACAAUAAGAAAUAACUAAAAAAAAUGAUCCUUCAAAAUUAAAAAAGAAAGAAAGAAAGAAAGAGAGUGAGAUAAAUCUAAAAUUGCUUAAUAAGUCAUUUGAUAUUUGAAUUUGAUAUUUUUUAAAUAUUAUUUUCUUGUUUAGUGAGUUAUUUAUAUUUGAUAAAAGUUAUACAUCUUGGUAUCUAAAGUUAACAAUGUUAACAUUUUAGUGUUUAAUGUAGGUUUUAUGGUAGCGAUUUGAUGAAAAUUUCACUGUAAACUAAUAUUAUUAGCAAUUAACUUUCAACAAAUCUAUAACAAUCCCAAAUCCAGCCUAGACGCUAUGGUCAAACCUGGAAGGUUACAUCAGUACGUAGAAAAUUUUGUUCUUCCAAAUGUGUUUUGUUACUAAAUUAAGUCAUCCCAGGUUGCCCAAAAACGAUGACUCGCCACCAUGAGAUGCCCGACAACGAUGGCUUAUCAAUACGCAAUUAAACUGUUAGAUCAGAUAUUUGUGGUCAUGCCAUUGAAUUGCAACUCAGCUACCGAAACAAAAAUAUGUGGUGAAACCACUAUAUUGUAUCCAAGCUGCCAAAUAAAAAUAUGUGGAUAAACCAACAGAUAGUGCAGACCAUUAAACUGCCAAAAAUUCCUCCCUUUCAUAUUAUCCCAACCCCAUGCAAUGUGACAUGGCAUGCAUUUACAUAAUCAAAACGACAAGCAUGUAAGACAUGUAGUCGUACCAUAACAGAACUUAGAAAGCAUGGCAUUCUCACAAAUUCAACAAAAGCAAGUUGGUAUGCUAUAAAGUCACAUGCAUGAUCACAUAGCAGAAUCAGAAACAUAAAAAUAACGUAACCAAACCUCAUACCCAUAUACAAACAUAACAAUACAAAUCACGCUACCAGAUUCAUUAGAAAACAGUUCAUGCACACGAAUUUCACAUACCUUAUUCAUAUCACCUACAAUGUCAAAUUAUCAGACGUUACAUUUUCAAAGUCAGUUUUACACAGUACGAACCCUACAAAAUGGCUAAACAUGACUCACGAAUCAAAACGGGCCUAAACGAAAAUUUUUAGAAAAUGGGCCAACAUGGCCCAAUUAACCUAGGCCGUAUGGCGUCGACAGUCCAAUUUUCGACUUUCAGCAGUUCAUUAUUUUUUGAGUUUUUCGAUAUACAGCUUACUAUUUUCCGAAGCAAAAUCAUGGCAAGAAUUCCAAAACCUAAAAUCCAUAUUCAACCCACUCAAAUUAGUAAUGAAACCCAAAACUAAAUCGUUAAACAACCAAAACUGCUACCAAUAAACCUUAUCAAACCAGGAAUCAACCUUUUGGCAUCUGACUACUAACCCAGAAUAGUAGCAGCAGUACUAAAAAUCUCUCAAUUCACCGGAAGACUAUUUGUUACAGAAACGUCACCUAAACCAAAGAUUUCAGAGUAAUCAAAAUCGCGUCACACAAAGAAGGAAACAAAUUAACCCCAAAAUCGUGAAACUCAACAAAGUACGAAUCUUUUCACAUAUUCCUUACCACCAACCGUCAAGAUUGCUCAAAAACCACUAAUGACACCGACCUUCGCAAGGUUAAAUUGAAACCAAAAGGCAACUAAAGAUGGAACAAAGGUUGUUAUAAAAAAAAUAUUAACAAAGACUUAUUGGAGCAAAAAUGGCGAAAAAUCAAGAAUAGGGAGAUUGGAAAAAAAAACAAUGAAACGGCAAAGAGAAGGAGUGGGAAAGUGACGACAGUUUGUGGAGGGAUUUUGGGUAAAUAAAAAGUAACUCACCACUCAACCCAUUAAAUCUGAUUACCCUCUAAACAGAUUCCCUUAGAGUUUAAAUUCAACUCAAAUACCACUACAUGGGCGGCAUAGUGUAAGGAAAUAAAAAUACUUCUACUUUGCACACACGGGGUCUUGAACACGAAACCUUAGGGUAAUUUGAAGCCUUACAACUAAAUUAGUAGGCUCAUCUUUGAAAUUAAUUGAAUGAAAAUAUUAUUUAUGUCAGAUGAUCAGGGAUAGAGGUUAAGACCAAAGAUGACAAAAAUUCAAAGGAAAGAUUUAAACCUAGAACCUCACACACACAAGCAUAACACCUAUCCACUGAACCAGAUUUACUCCAUUGACAUAAUUUUCACAAUGUUAGGUACUACACUAUUACAAGAAUAGAUUUUAGAGAGAAAGAAUUUUUUCUGAGAAAUUGCUUAGUAUUAUUAUCUACUUUAAUCAAUACACUAUCAAUGUUUAUAUACUUCAAUAUGAGUAACUUCUCCUAACCAACUAUACCAGACUAAUCAACUGAAUGAUAACAAACUAACAAAUCUUAUGUUAACAAUCUCUAUUCUUCUAACAUUGUCUAUUUAUGCUUUUGAAAUGCUGACUUGUACUACUAUUUCCAACCCUCUUUUCCUUUAUUUUUUUCAAGCCUUAUACUACCCCUAAUCAGCCCUUAAAUUUCCCUCCUUGUGCCGCCCAAAGCAGCCCUCGUGUGUGCCAUUUUAAACACUACAUUGGGGUUACUGUUUUUCUCUCUUUAGCCGUAUCUUUCUAGAAAAAAAAAAUUGUUGUUCCACUCCUCUAAUCAAUAUUUAAUUGUGUCGUUUUCAGGUGUAUUCGAUUCCCUUCGUUCAAUGAUUUCGAAAUAGUUAACGGGUAGUGUAAGUGUGGAAGCUAGUGAGAUUUAGUGUCAUAUUAAUUUCGUUUAAAUAUGCUGAUUUGGCAGAUUAUUCUAAGGAGUUAUUGAUUGUUUUAGCUACUAAUUUUUUAUAUAAAAUUAUCGUAGGGGCUGAUUGUAACAUCCUGAUUCAACAGUAAGCCGAAACUUAUUCGCACUCUCGCUUGGCAUUAUUUCAGUAUCAACGUGAUUAAUUGUCCUUAAUUGCUCAUUUUUUAAAUUAUCAGAGAUAAUUUACUCCAUUUUUUUUAGAGGAACCAAUUUACCUAUAUCAAGAUUGAGAGGCACGUAGAAGUGUUUUUACUAAUAAAAUCGAAAUAUAAAAGUAUACAUUUCGAUAACACAAACACUUGCAUACUUAACCCUAUUUUCAUAAAACAUGGACAAAAAUCAUAUACCCAUAAAUAAUUUAAAGCAUUCAAGGUUGAUCUUUUAGGAAUUAAGACUAAAUUAACAAUAUAUAUAUUAAUUAUCUCUACAUUAUAUAUAUUUUAAAUAAUAUGUUAAAAUUUAUCAAUUUCAGUAAAUUUUAUAAUUUUUUUGAAUGUUUUAUAAUAUUUUUGAAAAUUUGAUAAAUUUUUAUUUAUAUAUUUUAAAAUUUUUAUUUAUUAUUUUUCUUUUAGAAUUAAAGUCAAAUUUACACCAUGUAUAAAUGUUGAAGGUUGAAUUUAAAAAAACAAAUAGAACUAAAUAAACAAAAUGGGUGAAUGUUGAAGACCAAAUUUGUUAUUAUUCCAAUAUUUCAUUUGGUGAUCAAAGGUAUUUUAAUAGUAGGAUGACUAUAAACUGCAAUUGAUCUAAUGGGAGUGACUAAUAUAAUAAUAAUUUUUUUUGUGACCAAUACAAAAAUACCUUAAAAUUUGGGUGACUAUAAGGAAAGUUUACCCAAAAUAAAACAUUGUAAGCUUUUACAAAUUCGGACGUCUUCUACAGGCGUGAUUGUUCCCUGACUUACAGGUCGGGAGUUGUCGAGCGAUUGAAGUUUUUCAACUACGAGACCACCUUAAGCAAAUAUGUCAAUAAAUAAAUAAUCUAACCCCAUCCAAUCAGAGACUUCAAACUCUUACUCCCCAUCUCUUAUUACAUCUCUUGCGUUCCUCCUGUAUAUGUUUUUUUUUUCUUUUUUAUUGCAGAAAUCUAGUUGAAUUCAGGAAUUGUUACUUUGUUUUGGCCCUUCAAAUCAAGGUUCUACAUCUGGGUAAACAUGGAGGGUUGUUCAUCAAAUGGAUCUACUUCAUUUUUUGGCUCAAACAUACCCAACGAGCUUCAACUUCCACACCAAACUGAUUCUUCGGCCGGAGUAGAUGAAAUGCUUCGCAGACAAGAUUCUGUGUUAGUACAGGACGAUCUCUACUUCUCUGCUGGAGACGAUGGACCAACGGAUCAGUCUCUGCCAGACCAAGACCAUCAAUUCAAUCAAGAAGAAACACCCGAAGCUUCAUAUCAAACGGUAUCAGAAGGUGGGACUCGAUCUAAACUCACUCCAGCUCAAAGAAAAGAAAACAAAAGACAAAGUGAUUACAAGUAUAGGCAAAAGCGCAAGGUAUAAGAUAAUCCAAUUAUUUUUCUCUCUCUAGAAUAUUGCCUCUAAUGGAAUUAGUUAUAAUCAAAAUGUUUACUUUAAAUGCCCUUUUUAACCCAUCAUAUUGAUAUGAUUGUAUUUUACCUAGAAUGGUCAAGUGGUGACCAAAUUAUGUAAAUUGAUUUCUUAGAUUUGUCUUGUUUGAUAUUAACAUUCUGCGGUGUAGGUAAAAGCAGAUGAACAGAAUGGGGAGAUUAAACGCUUGAAAGAGGAAAUUCAACGGCUCAACGUUGAGAAUGGACAGUUGACAGCACAACUUGGAUUGCCACUCUCUAUUGCGCAAUUCCAAGCAGCAGCUCAACAGAGACAGGAUGGUUACAUUACCCAGUCAACCGGCAAGCAGCUUCACCCUCAAACUCUUACUGUCCAUGGAACAAACUCUGAAGCUGUUGACAAGGUAUGGCAUAUUAAUUGUUCUUCAUGUUUGAAAAAUCUAAUGCUUGAACUGGAAUUUAUGUUUGGAUUUCGAUACCUUGGGUUAAACCAUAUUAAGUUUCUCAUAAAGAUUCAAAUUCUGGAAUCCUGAUUUGUUUUCCCUCACAAUUCAUUGUCUCGGCUCUGCAAUUUGGAGAUGAAUGAGAUACAAAAUAUACAGGGAACAGUUUCUGUAAUUGUAGUUGAUGGUAAUGACGGUAUAGCAAAAAAUCAGACGAGUUCUGAAGUUGAAACAUGCAUUAAUAAUGAAGCAGCCAUAACUGACAUUCUUAUGAAACUUGAAGCUGAUGACGAGAGCAGAGUGAAGUUCUCUGACUUCACUGGCUUACAUGGUGAGUGCAUACCAGUAGGAAAAUAUAGUUUCCCACCAGCCCUACAUCCGAUUGUGAACAGCAUUAUCGAAGUCUACGGUGAUGUUUCAGCAACAAGUAAGAUGAGCCCAAGUAUUGCCGAGACCGUUUAUAUCGUGUUCUGUGCUUCUGUCAAAGAGAUGAGCAAUCUACGGCUGGAGCACGUCACAGAGGAUCUGAUAUUGAAGUGGAGGGAUGCAAUCAAAGAUGCUUUACGCAUCAAUUUCAAGGUGGAUUUCGCCAUGGAACAUUUGAAGAAAAUUGCUUGUGCAUACAUCGGUUUAAUGGAACGUCAAAAGCUGGAUAGUGCGGGUUUGAGGAUAUCCAAGUUAGAGGCUGAGUUGAGUACUGCGAAAGAGGAGCAUGCAAAGAUAUGCGAGCAGUCCAAGGUGUUUAUAGAUGCUGCAGAAGAGUUCAACGAUAAGCCUGUCAGCUCUGGUAUGUUCAAAAGACCUGGCCAGAUCAACGUUGAGCUAGAGCUAACAAAUGAACCGGAUUCGAGUACCCUAAUACUUUGAUUUGAGUAGCUAUCAAGUCCAAUCGAGUUUUUCUUGUUAAUAUAUAUUUUUUUCAUUUUUGUUUGAAACUAAAAUUUGAGUUUAAAUAAUUGAAUGAGAAUUAUGCUCAUUUUAAUAAGGUAAAUUGACCUCAAACAUUUAAAGUGAAAGUUGAUAGAGCUAGACCGAGCUUGACCAAGCUUCUAAACUCUUCUACAGCAUCCAUAAACACCUUCGACAGUUCACACAUAUUUAGUAUGCUCUUCUUUCCCAGGAUUCCACUCAGACUCAAUUGGAUAUCCUCAAAGCCAUAUUAUCCAGCUUUCGACAAUCCAUUAAACCGAUGUAAGCGCAAGCAAUUUUCUUCAAAUGUUGUAUGGUGAAAUCCACCUUGAAAUUGAUGCCUACAUCAUCCUUUGUUGCAUCCCUCCACUUCAAUAUCCGACACUCAGUGAAGCAUAGAACGUGAUAUAGAUCGCCUCGAAAAUGCUUGGGCUCAUCUUACUUGUUGCUGAAACACCUCCAUAGAAAUCAAUGAUGUCGUUUACAUUGGAUGUAGAGACGGUGGGAAACUACCGUCAACUACCACAUCGGCCUUUUAUAGUAGAAAAUUUGUGAAUAAAAACAGAGGAAGAAAUUCAUAUGUUACGAAGAAUCAGAUUUUGGUUUUGCGAUAAUCGUUCGAAAACUUGCGAUAACACCCAAGUUGUACGUUUUGUAUCUUUUGGUUGUUUUGUGUUUUUCUUGUUCACAUUGUAAAAGUCAACAAUCCCGUGAGAAGAAGUUGCACGGAAAAGUGCAACCGCUUCUUUAGUUACAAUAACCAUAAAUAUAAAUAAAUGGGUAAAUUUUAUUAUGCUUCUUUAGUAUCUUAUAGAGGUGGUAAGGGGCUGGCUAGGUUCGGGUCAGGUCAAGUAAAAAUUUAUAUUCGUUUGUUAGGUCUAGGUCUGACAUGAAAAUGAGUUUAAAAAUUUGUCCAAAUUCAGCUCGGAUAAAAAUGUUAAAACUUGAACCCAAUCUUGCCCACCCAUAUUAAUUUUUUAUAUUAUUUUAUUUUUACAUAAAUUUUAAAUAUAUAUAAUAUAUCAAAAAUAUUAAAAAUAUUAAAAUAAAUAUUUCCAAACAAAUUGAAAAUAAAUUUUAAAAAAUAUAUAUACUUAAAUAAUACUAAGAUAGAUGCAACUUAACAAGAAAAUUCUUUAAAAUAAUAACAAAAUUAAUAAUAAAACAAGUGUUAUAAAUAUCCAAACAAUAACAACAAAAUAGUAGUAAUAUAAUAGUGAAAUGGUAACAAAAUAUGGAGAAAACAAAAAAAUAUCAUUAAAAUAACAAAAAGAAAAGAUUUUUUUGGCAUUUAGUGAAUUCGGGCCAGGCUCGGGCAAAAAAUGUCUUUACCCAAGGCCUGGCCCAUUUUUAAAAUGGACCUUAUUUUUUUUGUCCAAGCCCAUUUUUCGAGCCUAUAUUUUUGUCCAAACCCUUUCAUUUUUCAGGCAGGCCUUCGGGCUGGGAGACCCAGCCCAUGAGCAAGUCUAAUAUCUUAGGGCUUUUUUUUGUCAGUUUCAAAAUAGUCACCCAACUGGUUUGUUUUCUUUUAUCUAUUUCUGUUACAUAUUUAACAGAAAGGUGAGAUGACGGUUCAAAUAUUAAUAUAAUAACAAAUUUAGUGUACAAUAUUACAUAUUAUGUCAAUUUAGUCAUAAAUUAAAAUAAUUAACUCUUAACGUUUACAUAUUAUGUUAAUUUGAUCCUAAUUCUAAAAAGUUAAAAAAGAAAUUAUAAAUAUACAUAAAUAUUUAAAAUAUAUAAUAAAUUUAAAAAUAUAUAAAUAAUAAAGUCAAGAUCAAGAAAAAAAAACUUGGAGAAGAAGUAUGAACAAAGUCGAAUUCCAAGUUUUUAUAGAUUUCUUCAUCAAGUUCUCUUUUGUAGAUUUUAAAAUAAAGAGCAAAUCUUAUAAAAAUAUGAUAUUUGACUUUAUUCAUACUUUCUCUCCAAGUUUGCUUUUUUAGAUCUUGAUUUUAUUUGAUAUAUAUUUUUAAAUUUAUUAUAAUUUUUGAAAAUACAUAUGUGUGAUUAGAGUUAUGAUCAAAUUGAAAUAAUUUAUAAUGUUGAGGGUUGUUUUUUAAAAGUUGUGAUCAAAUUGGCAUAAAAUGAAAAAAUUUCAAGGUUAAUUUUAUUAUUAUAUUACCUUUUGAACUGUCAUCUCACCCUUCUAUCAAACACUUAAAUAAAAAAAAUAAAAAACUUGAUUAGUUGGGUCACCCUCAUAUCACCCUUCUAUCAAUUUUGGAAAAUUAGAGUAAAUUAAUUUUAGGAAAAUGAUUUCAAUGAUUUUCUAAAAUAUUGGUAUUUUCCAAUAUUUGGAUUAUUCAACCUAAAAUAUAUUUAGCUGUUUGGUAAAUUUUGUCAGAAUAGUGAAACAAAUACAAUAAUAAUAAUGCAUUUAAUUAACAUAUUUUUAUUAAUUAUUUUAAUUAAUUUGGAUAUAUAUUUUAAUUAAUUUCACACUUAGUUAAUUAUUUUCUUUGUCGAUACAGUUAUUAUCUAAUGUGUCAAUAAACAAGUGGAUAUGUGAUUUGCACAAUAAAUUUGACACAAGAAUUCGAAUUGACGCGCGAAACAAAUACUUUAAAAUUAUUUUAUUAUUAUCUCUUUUUAUUUUAGGAUUUUAUAUAAUGUAUAAUUACCGGGCAGCACAUGACAACCAACCCUUAUACUUACUAGCAGGGUCGGAGUCAAACAGGUUGAUAAAGUUCCCAUCCUCCUAAAAUUAAUAUAUGAUAAAAUUAUAUUUUAACUCUUAAAAAAAACUUUUUAAAAAUUAUAAAAAUAUAAAAUAUCAAAAUAUAAAAUUUUUAUUUAUAUCAUUAUAAAACCAUAUAAUUUAAUUCCAAUCUCCUUUAAAAAAAUUUUGACUUCGCACCUUCUUGUUAAGUUUUAUCUUAUUAUGAGUAUUAAAUAUAUAGUUAUAGUAAGCAGGGGAGGCAGGAGCACAACAACCCUUCCUUUAUAUUCACAUUCACUUGCGCAUGAACUAGAAACCACUGUUGCGCUAUUUUUAUUUCAUUUAAUUUGAAUACAAUUCAUCCCUUUCUUUUAUUAUCGUUCUUCAAUUUUUUGAUUUAGUUUUUAUUAAAUCUAUUCUUGAGUUGGGUCAAAUCAUGUUUGAGUCGAGUCAGGAUAAGAUUUUAAAUUCGACUAAUAAGACUAACCCGACACAAUCCAAAAAAUAGAUUUAGAUUUUCUUUCUCAAACUUGGCCCAAAAUAAAGUUAUUAAGCUUAGGCCUAACCCAUAUUAUUUUUUAAAAAUAUUUUAUUAUAUGAAACAAAUUUUAAAAUAUAUAAUAUAUCAAAUUUGAAUUUUUUUUUUCACCGGGACAUUUUCAACAAAUAUUAAACAUCAUUCUAAUAAAAAUAAAGGAUAAGCAUUUAAAAAAAAAAAGAAGAAAAGAAGAAAAGUAAAAAAACAUAUUAAUAUAAGAGCACAAGACAAAGAAGCAAAAUUGUCAGGUAAAUUAGACCUUUCAUUUCAUCAUAUAAAUGCAGCCUGGCAUAGACAAAAAUUCAUACUCAGAAACCAGAACCAACUUGAAAUCGCACAUGCAUGUAAGCAUAUUGGAUAUAAAGUUUGGUGUAAUAUCCUAAUUUUCCUCGGCCCAACACAAAUAAAUAAACUUAAAUAAAUAAAAAAAUUCAAAACAAAAAUAAACAAAAAUUCUAUUAGCAGUCCAAGUUACAAUCCCAAUAAUAAAGUCAAUUUACAAAACCCUAACCUAAUACCCAAUAAUCCAAAGCCCACAACUUAAAUUUUUUCAAAAAAUAAAAAAAAACCCUAGAUUUGUUGAAAGGCCGCGUCGGAGGAAGACCAAAAAUCGAAAGGUCCCUUUGGUAUUUUCGAAUCUUGACCAGAUUUUUAGGGAUUUCAACCCUAGAUCUUGGUUCUCUGUGAGACGGAGAUGAAAAAGGUUUUUUUGACAACUUCGGCCAUCGGAGGCGAUGGUCACUGUCACCGUUGUCGAUGGCCAGUGGCCACAGCGGGGCGACGAUAGCCUUAUGGCCGGACCCAGGGAGUUGUUUCUGUAACAGCCCAUUUUCAGUUAAAUCGGAACAGUGGUAACGUGACCAAAAAUUUGAAUUCAAAAAAAUUUAUUAUUAUUAUAUGGUCUACAGUAUGAUAGAAAUACUGUGUAAAAAUUUCAUUAAGAAAUUUUACCAUUUACAUACCUAAUUUAAUGUAAAGGACUAAAUUGCAUUAAGGGCAAAAGCUGAGUUCUAAUAGCUAAAGGUAUUAAAUAGCUAUAGAAUUUGAAAUUAGAGGUCCUUAUAUAGUAAACAGACCAUUAAAGUGCUUAGUGGUUAAGCAUGAGUAGUCAUCACUGGAAAUUGAAUAAAUUAUUAAGGGUAAUUUUAGAAAUUAUCAAUUAAAGUUAUAAUAAAUAAAAUAAAAUAAUCUAUUAUUAUCAUCUACCACCAAAAAAAACAGAAGAAGAGAAAACCUAACCAUAGAAGCUUGAGAUAUUAGCAAGCUUAUUUUGCUCAAUUAGGUAUGUAUUGUUGUCUCGUUUUUAAUGAUUUAUAUGUUUUCGAUAUCGUAGUAGCUUAAUUUAGCUAGCUCAGGAUUAAUUUGCAAGAUUGUUAAAGUAUUAUGAUAGAAAAUGAAAGGUUGUUGUUAGAUAAAUAACUUUUGUAAAGAGAAUUUUGAUGAAAUUAUCAAUGAGGGAUUAAAUUGAAAAAGAUGAUAAAUUUAUGGUUAAAUUGUGAAAUUGUGAAUUAUGUGGGCUGUUAUUAAUAUGUAAAAAAAUUGACUAGGCUUGAGUAAGGAUUAAAUUGCAUAAAAGUCAAUUUUCGAGCCUAGGGACUAAUUUGCAAUAAAUUAAAAGUAUAGGGGCAAAAUAGUAAUUUCCCAAAAAUAUGUGUUGGACUAAAUUGAAUAUGAAUUAUAUUGAAUUGAGUUAAACUCAUUUGUAUAGAUCCGGUUAGACCUAGUACGGAGUUAGAUCGAGGCAAAGGAAAAAUAUCAGAUUAGUCACCUUCGUAUCUACUUACAUUUAUCGAGGUAAGUUCGUAUAAUUAAAUUGAGUAUGUAUAUGUAUUAAUUGAAUUAUAUGUAUGUGAAUUGUAUAAUUACCAUGUAUAAAUACCGAUCACAUAUCCGAUGAUUAUCGAGUCCCGUUUGAACCGUAUGAAAUUCGUAGGAUAGAAAUGACAUGUCAUUAGGGUUACCGAUUUGGUUGGGGUCCUGCAUGUGUUGCAGACACACCAAAGCUCUUAUGAGCUUUGUGAUACCCAGCAUGCAUGAGCUUCCCAUUAUUCAACUCCCAUGAGCUUCCUAUUAUUCAACUCGGAGGAGCUUCCCAUUUACUGCUCUUAUGAGCAUACAUGUACAUGAAUUGACAGAUUACAGUUUAGUACACUUUGUGUGUACUACUCGUGUAUCCAACGAUAUUUUAAAUGGUUCAAUGGGCAUAGUUCUGUUACGAGAUUUUAUGAGUUUGAUAUGAACUAUUAUUGGUAUUAAUAUAAAAAACAUGAAAUGUGAUUAUUUGAUGAAUUCAACCAUGUGUGUUGGACCUUAUAAGUGAUUUUCAUGGCUAAUAUGUUGGUGAUCAUGUAUUUAGGCUUUUGGCCAAAUUGAUUGAGAUAUGCUAUGUUUACUUACCAUAUUUUAUGGAAAUAUGGUAAGUUAAAUUUUGUAUUAUAUGAACUUACCAAGCUUAAAUGCUUACUCUGUGUUAUUUUUCAUGUUUUAUAGUAAUUCAGCGUACGAGUUAGAAGCUGGUCAGAGCUAUUUCACACUAUCCAUCAGUCCUUUUAGUAUUUUCAGUAAAUUAAUUUUGGUUAUAAUGACAUGUAUAGGUUAUUUUGACCAAUGUUGGCAUAUAAAUGUUUUAUGGAAACUAGUUACUUGAAUGACUUGUGUUUGGUAUAUUUUGAUGCAUAUAUAUAUAUAUAUAAGUGACUUUAUCAUGUUUGAUGUGUGAGUGAUAUGGUAGAAUGAAAGAAAGUAAAAUGUGGUUUGAAUAUGCAUACAUGAAUUUGGUCAUUUAGGUAAAUUGAGAUACUUGUUGAAAUGUCUUUAAGUUUUCAAUUGAGGUGCCUAAGGGCAUAUUAGUUGUAUGUGGUAAUAUUUCAUGUUUAAGAAUUGAUUUUGGAUUAUGUUGAAUGCCUUGUUAUGGCUUGUUGAUAUGUAAAGUGUUGUGUUUAGGUUGAUGUCAAUUUGGGUGAGAAAUGUGGCUUGGAAAAUGACCUAUUUUCGUCCACACGGGUAGAGACACGAGCAUGUGUCUCAACUGUUUGUCCCCUGUAUCUUUUAAUUGAGCAAGUUAGUAUUCUCACACGGCCUAGCACACGGGCGUGUGGCUUGGCUGUGUGACCCAAGUCAGACAGUUACACGGGUACGGACACGGGCUGGACACGGCCGUGUAUCCCUAUUUCGAAUGCCUACAUGGCUUGAGACACGGGCGUGUCUCCUGAUUGUGUGAGUCAUAAGGCCGUGUGUCCCCUACAACUUUAAAAAUUUUUAAUGUUUUCGAAAAAUUCUUUGAGUAUCUGAUCUAGUCCCGACUUGUUAUUAACGUGUAUUUUGGGCCCCAAGGGCUCGUAUAAGGGACAAUAUGUAUGAUUUCGAUUGAUUUUUGACAUGAAUGUUAUACGAUAUGAAAUAUCUACUUAUUUGAUCUGUAAACUUUGGUAAUGCUCGGUAACCCUGUUCUGACGAUGAAUACAUGUUAGGGGUGUUACAUUUAUAGAGAAAAAAAACCGAAAGAAGAGGUUUUUUUUAAAACACAGGAGAAGUGAUAUUUUUUCAACAAAUUUUGGCUUAUGGGGGCCUUGGUGUGACUUCGUUUUGGAUUGGCAUUAGAAGCUCCAAAACGGCAUCGUUUUGAAGCCUGACUGCUGACCCGAUCUAGAUCCCCUAGGAGCCGCAUGUUUUCGUGACAAAGUUCUAAUUGCUGACCUAGUCCUUCCGCUUUUUAAACGUUUUUCAACACAGUCCUAUUUCUGGUCUUUUUUCUUUUUCUUUUUAAAUUAUACCACUCAAUUUUGGAUUUUUUUUAUUUUGGUCCUUUGGACCUUGGUCUCUCCGGAAAAUGGUGUGUGUAAUGAGGUUGGGAAUAAUUUCCCAUUUGGUCACUGUUCCUUUUCGCGUUUUACAUUUAGUCCUUUAUUUUGCUUUAUUUAUUCAUUUGUUUAUUUGAUAUAAUUCAUUAUUUAAAUUUCAUCUAAAUUUCAAUUUAAUCAAUCAUUUAUUUAACUUCACACUUUUAAUUACUAUUUUUUUUAAAUUUUGGCACUUAAAAUUUAUGUUGUUUGGAUCUUUUUUUAAUUUUUUAUUUAUAUAUUUUUUGGUGGUUAUUACAUAUUUUUAUUUAUUUAUUUAUUUUGGUAUUAUGAUAAUGAUAUGACUAUUGCUAUUAGUAUUAUGAAUUAAUAUCUUAUUUAUUAUUAUGGUUGCAUUAUUAUUAUGGUAUUUAUUUAUUUAUUAUUUAUCCUUUUAAUAUAGAUGUUUUACCCACAUGAUUGUUUUAUGUUAUUUAGCUAUCACUAUAUCAUGUGUCAUGUUAAAUAUAUUUGUCCAUUUUCAUACUAUGCGCAAAUAAAUUAACUGCACAUCACUUUAAAUGUUAUUUUCGUUUUUACUCGAUGCAUAAAAAAGGAAACUUAAAAAAAAUGAGGCAAUGUUCAUUGUUUAGGGAUUCAAGAAAUAGUGCCCUAACUUACGGGGUACGACUUUCUCCUUGAACCAAGAUAAAUGAGCAUCCUUUUUAAAUUCAAGACAUAUAAGAUUUGAGUAAUGAUCAAAUGGUGAUUAUUCUUGUUUUCGAAGAUUUGAAGCAUCGUGUUCUAACUUACGGGGCAUGAUAUUUUCUUCUCGAUUAAUUUGAAAUAAGACCUUUUUUGUGAAAAUUAAUUUAGUUAAUCGAUAUUUUAAUUAAAAAAAACAUCAUGCAAAGAUAAAUUCUAUUUUAAAUUUUCUUUUAAAUUUUAAAUUUUCGACAUCAAAACAUCAAGUAACCAACUAGGUACCAAUUUUGAGGGUUAUGAGGGUGCUAAUCCUUCCUCAUACGUAAUCGACUCCCGAAACCAUAUUCUUGGAUUUUGUAGGCUAAAAAUUAUCGUUUUAGUAAAAUCUAAUCUUUUAUUAAGAUGAUUAAAUUUUGAGGUGACCCGAUUACAACUAAUAAAAAGGAUAGGUGGCAACUCCAUUUUCGUUUUUAAAAUAAAAAUUGAUUUAAAAAAGGUUUCAAGUAACGUUAAAUUAGCCGCUGCAAACUGCUACUAAAACUACAAAAAAGAAAAAUAAAAAGAACACUCAUAAUUUCUAAAAAACACUCAGCAAAUCUUUAAAUUAAUUAGCAACUACCAUUUAAACCAUCUACCACUUAAUCAAGCAGAUCAACCACUAACCAAACAAACUGUAAUUUAUAAAGUCCAAUCUAACAACCAAAACUUUAAAUCCGGUUUUCUUUUAUUAUAAUUUCUGACAAAUCACUCAACAAAUCCGUAAAUUAAUUACCGUUACUCAUCUGCUUAAAUGUCAAUCUAAAGCUACAAUUAGUAUCAAAGACGAAGAGAAAAAUCAAAGAAAAUACAAAAAAGAAGUAUAGAAUAAAAGAAAAUAUAACCUAAAAAUAGUCGCUGAUGAAAUGAAGAAGCACUUGGACUUCGAUCAGUCCAAUAAAAGAGUGGAGCCAGCGAAUGAUGCGAAGAUUAUGAAAACUUGAAGGGUGCCUAGCGUAUGAUGAAAGUGAAAGUGAAAGUGAAAGUGAAAGUGAGAAAUUAGGGAUUUAGUUUUAGAAAUUGUUUUUGUUUGAAAGAAGGAACAUUGUUUGGAGUAUUGGACAGAGGGAAAAACAAAGAGGAAGCCUUAUUUUCAAACAAGUAACAUGGUUUUCCAAUUUCAAAGCCCAAUCCAAUAAAUUCUUAAUUUGCUAAAAAUAUGAUUUAUUAGUACCGUUGGGGUUAGAUUGGGCCCAGGUUGAAAAAAACUUACUCGAGGCUUGACUCGUUUAGAAAACAGGCCUCAAUUUUUUAUCCAAUCCCAUUUUUCAGGCUUAUAUUUUUGUCCAAAUCCUCCCACAUUUCAAGCGAGUUUGGUCGAGCAGCCCGACCCUUGGACAAGUCUGUUUUUUAUCUGCGCUAAUUUUUUAUCUAGUCUUUGAAACUAUGAGACUCGAAACCAUAUCUAAAAUUUUUCAUUCUUAUAUUUAUUAUUUUUUUGGGUUAAAGAAAUAGACACUAUCGUCUCAUAAAAUCAUACUGGCAUAAAAUCAAAAAAGAUUCGUUGAUUGGGUGUUGUGUGGUGUCUAGUUGGCAGAACCAAUACGGUUGAUUGCUAUAUUCAGUUUACUAAGAAAUACAUUGACGUGUUCAAUUUAGUGGUUGGUUGGACCCGUCAAAGAAAAUAACAAUCGGGUUUAAAUGACUUGCGCGGUUGAGGCCAUUUAUCUGAGUUGGGCCCUUCUGGUUCGCGAGGCUAUUGAAAAGUUAAAUCAUGGAUAUGUGUUUCAUGGUUUGUUUGGUAAGGGUUAAUCAUCGGACGUUCUCAUAUUUAUUUUAUACACGGAAGGGUUGGUGGCCUAAGGCGUCCUCGAUCACUAUAAUUGACUUAUCGAUUGGAGGAGAAAAUUCUUUGCCAAGAACUAGUUUGAAGUCAAAGUUUGAAGCUAGAGCGUCGUCACAUCGGUUUAUUUAAUUUUAAUUUUGUUUUAGUUUAUUUUACUCUAAUUUCAAUUUCAAUUUGUUUCUAUUACUUUUAUUUUUAAUCGGAUUUAAUCUUCCCUUUUAUUUUAGUAUAGGUUGACACACGUUGUGGACACGACAAUUGCUUGACUGCGUAACAUGGUUAAACCAAAAGUCAAAUUUCGAUACCUCAACACUAUGGGAUCAACCCUGCCACUUAUACUAUUUAGGUGUAGGAAUAUUAUUUUUGGUAGAUUCGACAUCCAUCAAAUUUUGGCAUCGUUCCAAAGGAUUGCUACUAACUAAUUUUGUGUUUUCCUUUUUACGGGCCUAGACGUACAGAUUGCUCAAGCACAAUCUAGAUGUAGAGCGUAAGAGGUAAAUGUAUCUUCAUGGAAAGUACACUUACAACAUGUUUGGUUGGGGGGACUAGGAAUGGUUUACAUCUUAAUUUGGUAGGCCCAUCACCAAACUAAUGUUUGGUUGACUGUAAUGGCCUAUUACGACUUGUGCUGAAUAGGGCUCUAUUCUGGGAAAAGGCUACAUAGUCAUUCCUUUCCCUUACCGUUAAAUAGGUAUUCAACUCGGUGGAUUAGGAAGAUUUUUCCCAUUUUCAAUUUUUUCCUCACCUUUACCCGGAGGAUAAAAACCAUGUAAUUGGAACCAUCAUCGUUCUCCCUCGGUCUCAUUGGUAACUUCCUUUCAUUUCCAUUUCUACUAAGGAUAUUGGUACUCUUUUUUAAAUGCUUCCCUUUUUUUUCCUUUGGUUGUAGAGGAAACCUACGUCAGUCAAUUGAAGCUAUCAUCCUUCGCUCUUUUUUCUUUUUCUUUUCCUAAGUUUAUAUUAUCUUGAAGCUAUCAGGUCCUCCUAAUUUUGAAAAAAGGGUAAGUUUUUUAAUGAUAUGUUUUCUAAACCCAAAAAUUAGGGCCUCGAGUUGCAUAUUCAACUAUGUUUCUUAUGUUUAGUGCAGGCAGUGAAAGAUCCUAAUUCUUCAAUUCUUUUGUUAUAAGAUUUUUAUGCAGAAUUUUAUAUUAUGAUUUGUAGCAUGUAAACUAUUGUAAUAUAACCCCUAGGCUUGAGAGUUAACUACAUUGGAUUGAGGGAGCAUAAGUUUGCUUUCUUUGUAUCUUAAUUGUAUUUUAUUUGUUAUUAGUCAAUUUUCAAAUAGGAACCUAGUUUCAGUUAACUUAUGAUUGUCAAAACCAUUUUUUUAUUUGAAAACAGAAAUCGACUUUUAAGAAUAAAAAUGGGAGUCAUGACCGAUCUUUUAUUGGGGUGUGAUCGGAUCACCUUGAAAACGAUUUUAGGUCUACAAAUUUUGAGAAAAUAGGUUCGGGAGUCGGUUACGCACGAGGAAGGGUUAACACCCUCGCCACGCCCAAAAAUUGAUACCGAAUUGAUUGCUUAAUGUCUUAGUGUUGAAAAUUUGAAAAGAUUUUAAAAUACGAUCCUUUGAAAAGAAAACUUGAAUAAUCGAAUUGGAUGAUAAGACAUACCCAUUUCAAAGAAAUAAAUUGUCAAGUUAGGGUGCAACAGUCCAAUCUUCGAAAUUAAGUUUGUCUUUUUAAAAUUUAAAAUUCAUGCUUUUUAUGAAGGAUAUUUGGUUAUUUGGGUCAAAUAAGAAAUUAGAAUCCAGUAAGUUAGGGUUCAAUUUCUCGAAAUUCCUAAACAUCGAAUAUUGCCUUUAUUUUAAAAUCCUUAACUCGAGAUAACAAAAUGUCAUAUCCAGUGAGUUAGGAUUCAACAUUUUGAAAUCCCAAAAAACUUUAUUUAGAAAUUUGUAUGGUUUUAUUGCAAAAGAAAUACUUGGCUAUCUAAAUUCAUCGAAAAAAAUUGAAGCUCGGUAAGUUAGGGCACAAUCCUCUCGAGAAUCGCAAAUACCGAGUAUUUUGACAAUUAACAAAAUAAGAUGAUUUUAAUGUUUUUAAUGAAACACGGUUUCUUUUAAAAAUGUAGUGUGAUUAAGCGGCAACAUACCACACAAAAUUUGAAUAUAAGAUGUACAUCAAUGAGUAAUGAACAAUAAAUAAAUAUAAACAAAUAGAAUAACAAUAAUUUCAAUCAUACAUUAUGCAAAUAUCAACAUCAACAUUAACCUAGAAGAAAAAUAAAAUGUAACUUAUAAAAACAAAAAAAAUGAGAGAAAGGAAAUUUGGAAUUAAUAAAGUAUGUACACAAAAUUAUACAUAAAAAAAUUAAAAAAAUAAGUAAUUAAUGUGAAGAUUUGAAACAAUUUAAUAAUAGAACUAAAAAUGAAAAAAAAAUGUUUAAAUGAAUUUUUAAGAAAGAAUUAUAAAACGAAAAUAAAAAUGAAUAAAUCUUAAAAUUAAUAUACAUAUUUUAAUCUAAAUGAGUAAAAACUUAAUGUAAACAAUAAUAUACAUUUAAUAAUAAUAUGUGUAAAAAUCGAAAUAAGUAAAACAUAAUAGAAAAUUUAAAAGAAAUAAAGUAUUUAUGUAUAGAAAAUAGGUAAAAAUUUAUAAUUUGAAAUUAAUAAUAUAUUUUUUAUAUAUACAUAUGUAUAUUAAUCACCGUGCUUAAGGGCUAAGAUAACCCUAAAAACCAAAAACCUUUCACUAAAAACCUAAACUAAACACUAUUUGCGCCGCUCUGUGAAUUAUCCAAUCAAGGAUUCUCCGAACCUCGCCCAAACUCCGAUGACGAAGGAGAGAGCAAGGAUUCGGCCACAAGGUCACUUCUCUGCUUUCUAAUAUUUAUUUUUAUAUUCUUUUAUUCAAAAAUGAAUCAAACAAACAUAGAAAAGAUAACCGAAAGAAAAAACAAAAAACAAAAAGAAAAAAGAAGAAGCAAAGGAAAGAUUUAAAAUCACCUUUAGAACUCUCUUUCUCUGAAUCUUUUGUUUUGAUUUCUUAAAUUGUGUAUGCAUAAAAAUUUACAGUAUUCCAGUGGCUCUUUUAUAGUCAGAUUUACAGAAAAAAUAAAACAAAAUAAAUAAAAUGAAAUUCCCUCAAAUUACAUCUGUUAUUCUGUUACUGCUGGCUUUCGUGUGUAUUUGCAGGUAUUCGGCCAGCCUCAAACAACAGACGGAGACACACCCAUGUGAGGAAGAUGCACGCGCCUGAUGGUGAUACACGCGCGAAGUCUGGGUCCAACCGCUGUGGCGCCGGUGAAACCCUAGAAGCUUCUGGGGUACUCCCCUGGUUCAGACUGAGUUCUGGGCCUGGGAGAUUCGGGUUUAGAAAAUUGGGUUUGGGGUCUAUUAGUAAUUUGGGCUAUUUUUAUAUUGGACUUUUAAUUUUAUUUUUCUGGUAUUUACUGGGCCAGUAAUGUAAUUGGACCUUAUUAUUAUUUUUUAUUUGGCUUGGUUUUUUUUGAAAUGUAUGUGGGCCGGGCAAAUUUGGGUUAUUACAAUGAUCAUCAUAACAAACCUUGUAUUUGACUUUUUGUUGAGGGAUAUCAACUCAUUUGGGAGAAGUCUUUUGAGUGUUGUCUACCAGACAACCGAUGUUGCCCUCAACAACUAAAGGUAUUGUCCCCAUGUCAAGAUUUUAACCCAGCCUCUGUAGAAUAAUUAUGGAGAAUAUGUGCAUAGGGAUUCAAACCACCAACCAAUGCAUAUGUAUCCUUUACUUGUAGAAUCAAGAUGUAAUAGCCCAUUUUUAGUAGUUUUAGAACUCCUUUUUUCGAUAAUCAAUUCAGUAAAUAAUAUUUAUUAAUAUUUACGAGUCUAUUAUAGUGUUAUAUUAAUUUUUGGUCUGGUAAUUUUGAUGAACGAUUAGUAAUUAAGGUACAAGGACUAAACCGUAAAAAACAUAAAAGUUGAUAGCUAUUGAAUUUUAUUAGUUAAAAGAAUUAAAUAGAAAUUGUUCAAGGGUUUAAGUGGUAAUUAGGCCAUUUUUUUAUAGUGGUGGACAAUUGAUGUUUUGUUUUAAGUAAUUAAUGUUAAAAAUUAUAAUGAAAUUGUGUUAUAUGUUAUAAGAAAAAUAAAACAACAGUGAUCAUCCGCUUUAGUUUCUUCCUUCUUCAACCAUGAGCACCAAAGAGAACUUCAGAAACCAUUUUUUUUACAUCAAUCUUGUUCGAUCCUCUUGCAUCAUAUGUUAACUAAGUCAUUUUCUUAUAAUUUUUAUGUUUUGAGAUCCCGGGGAGCUUGAUUUAAUUAACUCAAGUACUAAUUCACAAAGUUGUAAAGUUUUGAAAUGUUGUCAUUGAUGAUUAUUAAGCUUUUGGUAUUAAUUGGUUGAAUGUUAAGCUUAGAUGUUAAAUAUGACUAUUUUGUAAUGAGAAAAUUACUAGUUUUGAGUAUACGGACUAAAGUGUAAAUAUUUUGAAAUUGACAUGAAAUUUAUAUAAUUAUUGAUUCUAGAGGGUUAUAGAAUGAUGAAAUUGAAAUCCGAUUGAAAAAUGAAGCUUGAAUAUGAAAGUUAUGGUUAUUUUGGUUUUAGGGACUAAAAUGAAUAAAAUGUAAAAAAAUUAGUGAAUUUGUGAAAAUUAAAAUUUAAGUGUCAUAUGUAUAGAAUACGGUGUUGUAAGGUAAUUGGAACUGAUAAAUUGAAAUGAAUUACAAUAUAGUUUAAGAUUUGAAUUGACCAGAAGUUAGUCGAGGAAAAAGGAAAAUUGUAGAUUAGGCCCUGACACUUCGCUUACUAUCGUUUUUUCCAGGUAAGUUUAUAUGGUAUACUUAUAUUUAAUUGUUAUAGAUAAUUGAAUUAUAAAUUGUGUAUGUGUGUAUGUAAUUUGAGUUGCUUUUAUGUUGAUGUAUGAUUGCACUCUAAUGCCCCUGAUUGCACUCUGGUGCCCUUGAUUGCAUUUUUGUGCCUCUAUAUGCACUUUGGUGUCCCUGUUUGUAUUACAAUGAUCGUCAAGAAAUGAACAGAGUUUGAGCGAUGAGUUCAAAUGGGAUAAUAUGAACAUGUCCAUGGUUGAAUGUGGAAUUGAUUUUGGUGUGGUACUAAAGCGUUAAAUUAUAAUAGAGUUUCUUGUACACUGAAUUAGCAUAUGGAAGGAUUGUGUGAACUCAUCUUGAGGAAAUUGUACUACCAUGGUUAGGUUUAAUUGGCAACUUGGUUAAGUAAUUACUUAUAGGUUUUAAAUGAGGCAAGCUAAUCAUUCUAUGCUUAUGAACUUGCUAAGUAUUUUAAAAUGCUUACUUUGUCUUGUUUUCCUAUCUUUUAGUUGCCUUUUGCGGAACGCAACAAUGGAUAAACUUGGAGCUCACACAAUCUAGUCUUUAAUUUGUGGAAUAUUACAUAACCCAAAUGGCAUUACUCUCCAUUGAUAAUGUCCAUUAGGAGCACUAAAGGCUAUUAAGGGUUUAGAUUUAUUGGUUAGCAUGAUUUGCCAAAAACUCUAUUUACAAUCAAACUUACUAAAGUAUUUAGCUUAUUUAGCCUGAUUAAUCAAAACAUCUUUUCUUGGAAUAAAAUAUCCAUCAAAAAAUAAUAUUUUGAUUUAACCUUUUAUAAUUAAUUACCAUCCUAACUUUUCCUCUUUUUAUUUCGGCAUGGUUUCUUACCAUAAAAGCGGGACUAGAAUGUGGACUAUUAGUUUUUUCUAUUAAUCCCUUUUCUAAUAGUUCAUUUAUUUGAACUUCAAAUUCAUCUAUAUCUUGUUUAGUAUGGAUCAUAGGUUUAACUCUGAUAAUUUUAUUGGGAUUUUCUAAUUUAAUAUCACAGUGUCUAAGACUAUUAUUCCAUAAUUUUAAUGGUUCUUCACUAAAAUUAUCUUCAAGAAUUUUAAACAACCAAUGAUUUGUUUCUAGUUGUUUAAUUUGUUCCUUUCUAGUUGGUGUAAAGUUUUUAUCACACACAAACUUAUGAUUUUCUACAACUGGUAUUUCCACUGAAGACUUUUCUACAGAUAAAAUAAUUAAAUUUCUAUCUAUAGAAAAUGGUAGAUGCUGAUAUAUAAAAUUAUUUCCUAAUAAUAUAUCUCCAUGCAUCACAGGAAAACAUAAUAUUUUUGGAAUCACAAAUCUUACAUUGUUCAUGUAGAUUGAUAUAUUUCUAGCCUUAUAUUGAAUUAUGGUUUCGUUACCAUCUAUUCCUAUUGCAUUUAUAAGAUUUUUCAUUAAUUCACAUUUUUCUACAGGAAUGACAUUUUUUUGACAACUACUGGUUGUAGCUCCUAUAUCUAAUAAAGCAUGUAAAGAAUAUUUUUUAUAUUCUUUAAACUGAAAUGUAAUUUUAAUAUAUGUAUAAUAUUUCCUUGAUUGAAAAUUUGAAAAGGUAAUUACAUCAUCUUUUCUAACUUUAUUUGUUGAAUAAUUGUUUGUAGUUUUUUCAUUCUAGUGUUUCUAGAAUUUUCCAACACAAAUAUAUAAUCUUUAUUAUUAUCAAAAUUUUUUUCUGAUAGUAUUUUACUAGGAUUUGUUUCCUUUUUAUAACAUAUUUUUAAAUCUUGUUUUUCAAGACUUUUGAUCCUUUUUCUAGCUUCUUUUCUUUUGUUAGAAAAGUUUUUGACUAUAUGAUCUUUCUUAACACCUAAAAAGCAUUUAUAACUUAGUUUUUUAAGUUUUCUAGAAGUUUUUCCUCUAAAAAGACUUUUUGCUACCAGAAAACUUAUUAUUUCUUAAUUUCCCUUUAACUAAUUUAUAAUGUUUUUUCUUUUUAUGCCUAUGAUGUUCAAAGGCGUCCAGAGGCAGACAAAAAAGUUUUGCAAUGUGGAAGCAACCAUCAAAUCCAUGAUGGGAAAAGACGGUGAAACGUGGAAGCAACCAUGAUCACACAAGAAACAUGACAAAUGCGACGUGGAAGCAACCACAUCCAUUCAAGAAGGGAUCCUUAUCAGAAUCACUGUUCAAGAUUCAAAAUACAAUUGUAUAGAAUUUUUGAAAUUGGACUAUAAAUAAAGAUAGGCUAUCAAUUGUAGAGGCAUCUUGAAAAUAUCGUAUAGUUUUCCCUUUUAUAUUUUCUCUUCUGUAAACACUUUCCUUUUGUAAAUUAAAAGAGUAUAUAACCUUCCACACAUAGCAUGCACUCUACCACCCUUCCCCCUAUUGGUAUCAGAGGUGCCGGUGUAAAUAUUUUUUGGAGAAAUAAUAUCGUAGUAUUCAUUGUAAGUCUUUAUCUUUGAUUUACAGUUCUGUUUGUUUCAUGUUUAUUUGACUCAAAACCCAUAUAUCUAUUAUUCUGUCUUUCUAUUGCCGUUGAGUCUAGGGAGGACGUUUAGGCCUUUGAGAGAAGACGUUUAAGAUAAUAGACGGUUUUAGGUACCAGGGACAAAUAAAAUGGAGCCGAUAGAGUGUUUAUAUAAAGAUAAAACUUGUAAUCAUACUAUGAUCUGUUGAAAGGCAAAUCAUGAUCAUGUGUGCAAUUUGAAUUAUGGUAUCUUGGUUCAUGAAUGUGACUUGGAUUUUUAAUGUAUAUAUGUCAUAUACCUAUAUGUAUUUACUGGUUAGUAAUGCUUGAUGAAAGACACAUUUGUUUAACUAGAUUGGCAUUGUUAUGCUUGUAUACUUGGUGAAUGUAUUUAGGCCUUAUUAGAUACAUGAGAUUACUUGAAUAUGCGAACCUCAUUGCAUUGAAUAUGCCAGCUGUCAUUGUAUUGAAUGUGUGAAUUUUCAAUGUAUUACAUAUGUGAACUAUCACUGUAUUUUUCUGCGUGAACUGCAUUUGUAACGCGUGAGUUAAUUAUCCACUCAAAGUAUGAGUAACCAACCCAUAAUAUAGUUAUAAGCGAACUCUAUAUAAAUGGUUUUGAGGUGAACUGUGACAAUGUGUGAAUUGUGUUUAUAUGCGAACUGAGUUAUAUGUGAACUGUGUGUAUAUGCGAACUGGGUUACAUGCAAAUUGUGUUUAUAUGUGAAUUGUGUUUAUAUGCAAACUAUGUUUAUAUGUAAGUUGUGUUUUAUGCGAACUAAGUUAUAUGCGAACUGUGUUUAUAUGUGAAUUGAGUUAUAUGCAAAUAGUGUUUAUAUGCAAAUUGUGUUUAUAUGUUAUCUGUGUCAACGUGUGGACCGUGUAAAUGUGAGAUCUGUAAUUGUAACUUAAUAUGUGAACUGGUUCAUUAAAAUUAUGUGUGAACUGACUUUGUAUGGCUUGUAUCAUAUACAUGCUCUUUGUAAAGUAAUUACGUGCGAGCUCUUUGUAAAGUGACUAAGUGCGAGCUAGUCUAUAAAGUAGUAAAAUGUGUGUUAUGUAAUCUAUGACUUGUAUUGACAUGCGAACUAUGUUAAUACAUGAGCUGCGUCAACUUGUGUGCAGUAGCAAAAGUACAAGCUAUACUGUGAUAGUAGUUAUAGCUCAGGUUCAGUGAUUGGACCAGGCGAGGGGUGUUAAACAAUAGACAAAAUCUCAACACGAAAAUAAUACCAUUUUUUGAGAGUCCGUCAACACAAUAAAUGAAAUUUAAAUGCAUACUUUUUUCAAUGAAAGUAAAUAUCAUAUUAAUUAAAGAAAAGCAACUAAAAAUCCAAUAAUAAAAUCCUUAGCAAAAGAUUGAAACACAAUUAUAUUGUAAAUGAAGUAAGAAACUAAGAAAAUCCAAUCUAAUAAAGAAAAUAACUUGAUGCCCCAAAGCUACCAUAAAACUAAAUCAUGGUAAGGCCUGCUGCUCGUUUUAUUGGUUUCCAUCUUUAUUUUGCAAAGGAAGUUUGAAUUUCGAAUAGAGCCUAGUACAUGGGAGCAAAAGAAAGAAAAUUAGUAUAUUAAUUUCCACGAUUUUUAAAACAAACUUCAUGGAAACGAAUAUUGACAUAUUAGAUAUCUAUGAUUAUAAUGCUAAAAUAGAUUAAAAUUAUUAAAUUAAUGGUAAAAUUUAGAGUGAAUUAAUAACCACAAGCGUACUCGUUACUCACCAUAUUUGUUAAACAUGUUUGAUGUUGUUUAGCAACCUUUGUUUGAUUUUCUUUAGUUCAACCACAACAUCUUUCAUGUCUUUUCUUUCUUCUGGUAACUCAGCUGAACAAUUCAGAGCCAACUCCAUGAUGGCUGAAAUACAAUUUGUUUUAACAACGAAGUACUCAUCCUCUUUUCUUAAUAAAUCAGCAUCUGCAAUUUCUAUUGCUCCUUUAGGCAAUGAAUAUUCCAUCCAAUGCCUUAUAGUCACUUCUUCAGCAAAAAGAUUAUCAGUUGGCUUUUUCUUUGUGAAAGUUUCUAUAAGGAUGAUCCCGUAACUAUAUACAUCACAUUUUAUAGAAACAAUUCCAGUUGAUCCAAAUUCUGCAUUUCAAGUAUAAUUAGAGCAUCAUUAAUCCUUAAUUAUUUCUAAAAUGCUUAUUUGCAUGAAGCAAAAAUAUAAAUUGCAAAUCAAGAAAAUAAUCAUACAAAAAUAAAAAAAUUCACCUGGUGCCAUAUACCCGAUAGUUGCAAGAGUCAUGGUUUGCUUCAUUACAUCACCUUCUCCCAACAAUUUGGCCACAUGUUUAGACAAGCCAAGAGACCUUUGGGAUCAUACGGGUGAUUUUGAUGCUGUUAAUGGUUAUUUUGGUGGAGAGGGUGAAAAAGAAACAAAUGGUCCAUUAUAUAUAAUAUAAUUAUGAAAUUCAAGCCAUAUAUUGUAUGUUUCAUACAUAAAAAUUUCAUGGGAGGUCCAAAAGUAAUUAAAUGACUUGUAGGCUUGCUGAAUUUCAUCUUUUGAAUAGGUGGUAUUAGGUCCAAAAGUAAUUUAACAUUCACAUAAUAAUCUCUAAAUACUGUAAAGACAAAUCAAAUCCACAGCAACAUUAGAGUUGAUCAAGCUAAGCAUUGGCAAAUAUUACUUUGAUUUUGCAUGCAAUAUUGGCAAAAUCCCCUCUUACAUUAGAAAAACAACAUAAUCCAUGAAACAUUGAUAGCCCAAUACAAAUUUCAUCAAGAAAAAAGUUUCUUUGUUUUGUAGAACAUGAUGGUAAAGAUGUGGAGUUUCCUUUAGUUUUCCUUGAUCAACAACCACUUGCCAAAAACACAAUUAGAUUAGAUUAUGAAUGAUACUUUCAACUAUGACAAUAUUAAAUACUAAACACUCCAAAUAGCUCUAAAUAACUGGAAAGCAACAAAUUACCUGACGAGGCAAGCUAGCUCAAUUAAGACCAUUGUGUUAUACUUGUCUCUGAAUUGAAAAAUCUAGAAGACAAUAAAGAGAAAGAGUUAGCAAAUACUUGAAAACCGAUAAAACUUAUAUGUCAUUGAUUGGAUAAACUACGAUCACCCAUAAUAGCCUUUAUCUUGCAACCAUCUACAUGAACCUAUAGGGCUCUUAGCAGAAUCAAGAGACAAAACCUUAACAUGAGAAAAAUACCAUUUGUUGAGGGCUUUGUUAAUAGGGUCGUACCUAGGAGAGUUGGUAGGGGUCCCAACCCCCCUUAAAAUUAAAAAGUUUCCAUUUAGGCCCUUUAAAAUUUUUAAAAUUUUUAAUUAAUAAACGUAAAAUUGUACUUUGGCCCCCCCAAAAUGAUAAAACUUUGAUUUAAUCCUUUAAAAAAUAUAAAAAUAUAGGCUAUUAAAACGGUGAAAUUACGUUUUUACCAUCGUAAAAAUUACAAUUUAAUUUCAACUCCUAAAAAGAUUUUCUGGCUUCGCCCCUAAUAAAACCUUUGGCAAAAGAUGAAAAUAAAUUUAUAUCGUAAAUAAAAAAAGAAACUAUGAAAAUCCAAUCCAACAAAGAAAAUAACUUGAUGUCGAAAUUUAAUGCAUUUUAUUGGUUUCCAUUUUGAUUUUGAAGAGAGCCUAGUACGUGAGAGCAAAAGAAAAAAAAUGGUUUAUUAAUUUUUACGAAUACCGACAUAUUAUAUAUAUGAUUAAAAUUCCAGAAUAACCACAAGUGUGAAUUAAAGAUAAAAUUAAGUGUGAAUUAAUAAUUAGAAGUGUACUCAUUACUCACCAUCUCUGUUAAAAAUGUUGGAUGUUGUUGAGCAACCUUUGUUUGAUUUUCUUCAGCUCAACCACAACAUCUUUCAUAUCUUUUCUUUCUUCUGGUAACUCAGCUGAACAAUUCAAAGCCAACUCCAUGAUAGAUGAAAUACAAUUUGCUUUAACAACAAUGUACUCAUCCUCUCUUCUUAAUAAAUCAACAUCUGCAAUUUCUAUCGCUCCUUUAGGCAAUGAUCUUUCCAUCCAAUGCCUUAUAGUCUCUUCUUCAACAAAAACAUUAUCAGUUGGCUUUUUCUUUGUGAAAGUUUCUAUAAGUACGAUCCCAUAACUAUAGACGUCAGAUUUUAUAGAAACAAUUCCUACUGUUCCAAAUUCUGUAUUUCAAGUAUAAUUAGAACAUCAUUCAUCCUCAAUUAUUUCUAAAAUGCUUAUUCAAAUAUAAAUCCACAUACACAUGAAACAAAAAUAUAAAAUGCAAAUUAGGAAAAUAAUCAUACAAAAAUAAAAAAAGAAUUCACCUGGUGCCAUAUACCCGGUUGUUGCAAGAGUCAUGGUUUGUUUCAUUACUUCACCCUCUCCCAACAAUUUGGCAAUGCCAAAAUCUCCAACAUGUGCAACCAUGUCUUCAUCUAGUAAAAUAUUGCUUGGUUUUAUGUCACAAUGAAUUAUAGGUGUUGGAUGUCCAUUGUGGAGGUGUUCUAUAGCUACCGCAACAUCUAUCAUUAUGUCGACCCUUUGUAUGAUAUCAAGGAAACAAUUUUCAGAAUGUAACCAUUUCUCAAGGUUUCCAUUAGACAUGUAAUCAAGCACCAAGGCUUUGAAGUCAACACUUGAACAGCAAGUAAUGACCUUCACAAUAUUACGAUGAACUAUAUUACGCAUAGCAUCACAUUCAAUGUCAAAACUCCUAAAUGCUCCCUCUGUUUGCAAAUUGAAAACUUUUAUUGCAACUUCCAUUCCAUCUGAAAGCCUCCCUUUAUAUACACAUCCAAAACUCCCUGAACCAAGCAUAUUGCUUUCCUCAAAUCCAUUAGUUGCUCUUGAAAGUACAGCAUAUGAAAUUCUUCUCGGUGUUUUCAAAGACAGCAAAUCAUCUUUAAUUGGUAGAGUUGUACUCCUUCGCCGGCAUCUUCUAUACAUAAUAGUUAAGACUAAUAGUACUAUGACAAUACCAAUUGUUGGUAAACCAUACCUAAAAGCAUGCAAUAUAAUCAUUUGGGAGUUUUUGUGGAUGUCGUUUUUGCAAGGUGGGACUAGCAAUCUAGGUGGACCACAAAGUGCAUAAUUCCUCAUGAAUGAUGUGCUAGAAAAGUUUGAAAAACAUCCUUUGCUGGGAAUUUCCCCUUCAAGUCUAUUGAAUGACACAUUAAAAUACUUUAGAUAUAAAAGCUUUUCCAAAGAUUUGGGAAUGACUCCAGAGAGAUUGUUAUUGGAUAAAUCCAAGAAUUCCAAACUAAUCAACCCAUCAAAUGAUUCAGGGAUAUGACCAUGUAGUAUAUUAUUUGAUAAAUCUAAUGAAACCAAAGUUUGAAGACCCCCAAAUGUGGAUAAGACAUCGCCCGUGAGAAGAUUCCUUGAUAAAUUUAGUUUCAGUAGACUCCUCAAAUUUCCAACAUCAAUAGCAUGUGAAUUGUGAAGAUGGUUUGAUGAUAAAUCUAUUUCUAAGAUAUCUUUAAGAUUCCACAAAUUUGAGGGUAUUGCGGAACUCAAUCUGUUGGAAUUUAAGUAAAGAUAUCCCAAAGAAGUAAUAUUACCCAAACAAGAGGGUAUGGGUCCAUGCAGCUUAUUCAACCCUAAAUACAUCUUGUAUAGUCUCUCCAAACCACAGAGGCUUUCGGAGAUAGGCCCUCCUAAUUUAUUAGAGGAAAGAAAUAGACCUUGGAGAUUUCUCAUUCCUCCUAUUGAUGCUCGAAUCAAUCCACUUAAUUUAUUAUAGCCAAGUUGUAAAAGCAAUAGGUUGGUUAAGUUACCUAUUUCCAUAGGAAUAAUGCCUUGAAGCUCACAAUUAUGGGCAUAAAAGUAUUGAAAGGAUUUUGAAAGGUUCCCGAUAUAAGUAGGAAGAACGCCACUCAAUGGAUUUCCUGAAACCGCUAUUUUUCUCAAAUGCCUGCAAUUCGAUAAAGAAGAAAGAAAGCUCCACUCAUGAUCAGUAGCAGAUCCUGUGAUGAAAUUAUUGUUUACGAUUCGGAACCGUUCAAGGUGUCUUAAGUUGCCAAGUGUUUUAGGGAUUGGACCAGAGAAUAAGUUAUGUGACAACUCUAGUUUCUUAAGCAUGGAAGCAUUGGAGAUAGAGUUGGGAAUGUUUCCGCUAAGUUUAUUUCCCCACAAAAAAAGAAACUCAAGCUUUG
rnacentral:lncRNA from 1 species